rnacentral:lncRNA from 1 species
UUUUUUUUUUUUUUUUUUUGCAGUAUGACUAACUACUAAAAGGUGUCAGUAAUUGUAUAUUUUUUCAACCAACUGUAAUAGGUAGAAGAUGAAAUUAAACUUUGCCAUCCAUAAGAUUAAUAAUUCUAUGAGUGCAUAACCAUUGAGUCGGCUCAAUACGUUGUUAGAUUUAGGAUUCAAAUCUUGUACCUAUCAGUUAGAGACAGAAGGAUAUGGAGAGUAGUGAAAGGGUUAAAAAAAAAGAAUAAUGAAAAAAACUCUAUGAGUGCAUGGGUUUCGGAUUCUAAAACCAUUUCUUAAAAGGUUGCAAUCCUUUGUCUAUAUUUUCCGGUUAGCCAACUAAAAGAGUAUCCCACGACGUACUACUACACUUCUUGAAAUUUUAUGUAGCAAUGGAACUAACUGGAGCCCUUUAUGUGCAUCGGUUUCACGAUGUACUACUACACUUCUAUUAGUUUUGGAACUUUGGCAUCCAUGAGAUUAAUAACUUUUUGAGUGCAUAACAACUGGGUCGACCUUGUGAUCAGAGAAUGACAAUUAAAAUCUUUUCAUUGACAAGUUUGGAGUUCAAAUAUUAUGCAUGACAUUUUGGGUGGAAGGUAAAAAAAAAGAAUAAUGAAAAAAAAAACUCUAUGAGUGCAUCGGUUUCUGAUUCUAAAACCAUUUCUCGAAAGUUGCAAUCCUUUGUUUGUAUUUUUCUAUCAGCCAACUAAAGUGUAUCUCACGACAUGCUAACGCACUUCUAGAAAUUUCGUAUAGAAAUGGAAUCAAAUGGAGCCCUUAUAUAUUCACUUGAAAUUUUUCGCAUUACUCCUGCUGCAGCCACUAGACUUGUCAAAUAGUUAUUCCAAACCGACAUAAAAUUUUCUUUGUAUCAACUAAUGACUGUUGAAACUGUCAUAUAUUGUCUAUUUUCGUGAAAACUUUAUUCCUUGAUACAUUUUCUAACCACCAUUUUUUCUCAUUUAUCAUAUUAUUAUAAUAUAUUUUUCUACAAAAGAAACUCCCAAAACUCAAAAAAAUUUAGGGUUAAUUACAAUUAAUUCCCUUAAGAUAUAUUUCAUUUCUCACUUUACCCUCUAAACUUUAAUUUUGCUCACUUAACCCCCUAUAGGACAAAAUUAUCCUUCCAUUAUUUUGACUUUUUAUUUACCUUUUCUCAUCUCUUUUAUUUCUUUUUCUAUUUUUUCUCUCUUUCAUCCUUCCCAAUAAAAAACUUCAUCUCAAUGGAAAUUUUUAUUUUGAGUUUGUAAUUAUAUUUCUGGGUGAAGAUUUAAAAGGUAUCAAAAACUAAUUUUGAUUGUUUGUAUGACACCAAGUGUCACAAAUUUCAAUUGAUGAUCAGGUCACAAUUUCAUCUUAUGAUAUUUUCUUGAGAAUAAAAUGAGAAACUAGAAAGGAAAGAGGAAAAAUCAAAAUUAAAAUAAUUGAAAGGCUAAAAAAAUUGUAUUUUACGAAAGUGAUUUGAAUUUUUUUUUAAUCAUUUAAGGAGAAAAUAGAUCUCUGCAAUUUCUCUUUUUUAAUUUCAAUCAUUAAGAUGAAAAUUUUUGUGAGAAAGAGGAAGAAUUAAAGAAAGAAGAAAGAGGCAAAGAAAAUAAAAGAGCACAAAAGGGGAAAGGAAAAAAAUUAAAAAGAAAAAUAAGAUUAGAAUAAUAGAGGGACAAUUUUGUCCAAUGGGGGAUAAAGUGUGACAAAAAAAUGAUUAGGGGAUAAAAUGAGAAAUAAGGUAUACUUAAGGGGAUUAAUUGUGAUUAAUCCAAAAAUUUAUAAUACAAAUGGGCUAGGGUAGAUAAAACUAGGCAACACAAGGCCUUUAACUUCCAAUGUGGGACACAUGAAGGCCUGUUUGGAACCUGAGUUUUUUGGGAAUUUGUUUAAAACUUUACUAUAGUGCACUGUAGAAGUUUUUGUAAGGUGAAAAAUUUUGUAGAAGUUUUUGUAAGGUGAAAAACUUUUUUUCCUUUUCUUUUUUUUUCUUUCUUUUUUUCUUUCUCUUUUUUUUUCUUUUUCUUUCUUUCCUUUUUCUUUUCUUCUUCUUCUUCUUCUUCUUCCCCGUUACCUCCGCCACCCCAGCAGCAACUCCACCAAUGCCACCUCCCGCCACCCCUCUCCUCUCUUUCCCCUUCUCCUCCCCUCCCCCCGCCACCCCUCCCCCUGCCACCCCCCUCUGCGCCUUAUCCCUCUGCCCCGCCACCCCUCCCGCCACCCCCUCUGCCCCACCUUCCCCCUCUCCCCGCCACCACCUCUGCCCCGCCUUUCCCCUUUGCCCCGCCAUCCCUUGUUCCCCUGUUCCCCUUCCCGCUUCUCACCAUCUUUCUUUUCUUUCUUUUUUUUCACAAAGAGGUGGGGAGGAAAUGGGGGAGACGCAGAGAGAAAAAAAAGACAAGAGGGGAGGAUGGCAGGGGAAGUAGAGGGGGAGAGGGAAAAAAAGGGGAAAAAAAAAGAAGACCGGCACCGGCACCGGAAAUUGGCGCCGGAACCGGCGACGGAGGUGGUGGUGGGGGAGGAAGAAGAAGAAAAGGGGAAGGGAAUUUUUUUUUUUUUUGUGUUUUGGAUAUUUUAAGUGUGUAGAUAAAAAAUUUUGGAAAGUUUUUUGGGGUUUCUGUAGCAAAAGUUGUUAAAAAACUAAUAGCUAAAAAACUUGGUAAAAAAUUAGGAUGCCAAACAGGCCCUGAAACUAAAGGACUGACAAUAGUUCAGACGUCGCAACAAUGGGCCACCUAUUCUAAAAUAUAGCCUACAUUUGUUGGCCAUUCCCCUGCAUGAAAUAAAUUCAAGGACUUCGGCUUAUGUUGUGAUUCACUGAUUCAGCAGCACGCAUUGAUGGUUUUUGACUUUUUGUUUCUAAGAACUGUUGGGAAAUUAUUGCUCACAACAUGUUUUCGGCUUAUGUUGUGAUUCAGCAGCACGUAUUGAUGGUUUUUGACUUUUUGUUUCUAAGAACUGUUGGGAAAUUAUUGCUCAAUAUGUUUUAGAUGCUUCUUUGAAAGUACACAAUUUUUUUCCUUGCGUUCUGGGUAAAUGGAAACCAGACAAAGUUGGUGGAAAUACUGAGGAGCAUCUUAUCAAAACAUAAGAAAAGAAGCACCAGAAAAUUUACAGCGUUAGAUUUGAAGCCAAAAUAAGACGGAGAGAAUUGUAGGUCAAAAAUGCAUAUACCAUUGUCAUGCUCAUAGCUAAACAAAUUCUUAAGAAGAAAAUAAUAUUUCGUUUGUAUCAUAAAUAUAUUUUUCAACUCACCAUUUUAUAUUUCCAAUCACUUUUUUAUGUCACAUACAUUAAAUUACAAAAAAUGCUACCGUAAUUAUUUCAAAUAAUACUCUAUCUAAACAAUAAUUAUACACAGGAUAAAAUCAAGCCCAUUUGGCUAAGAGAGACAUACAACCAGCACCAAAAAGAAGGGAUACAUUUGCCCCCAUUAGAAGCUUUCCAUUGUUUUGCAUCUUUGGAUUCAUGAAAUCUGCAGACAGGAGGUCCACCAGUGCCAUGUAUAUUAGGAUCCCUGCUGAUGCUGAAUCAAAAAUUCCUUGCACUAUGAGAGCCUUUGGGCUGUUCUCAUUGUAGACAUUUGCUAUUCCAAUCCCUAUUGCGAUGCCAGCAGGUGUUGUGAGCGAGAAGAAAAUAGCCAUGAUUGUUAUUGCUCGAGCAUUGAAUUUCGCCUGAAGAUGCCAAGUAGGAUACAAGAGAUUACAUGACUAUUCGCCAACCCAAAGACACUUUUGUUCGGCAUUACUAUUACUACUUCCUUCUAAACUCUCAAGAAUUAGAGGUCUAGAGUUUAAAUUCCCCUAUUUCCUCCUCGCUUUUUAAGUCUCACCCUUUCCUACUAGAAAAUAUUUGUUAAAAAAAUACUUCUAUUUCCUUCCAAAAAUUAAGAUGAUGUAGUCCAUCUUUACACCACGGAAGGAAGGAAAUGAACCAACCAAACCAUGCAAAUCAAAUGAAUGCAUAUCCAUAAUAAGUUGCAUUCCUAUUAGAAAAUAUAUGUACUUUUCUUGUUCUAUUUUUUGAUUUUCUUUUUGACAAUAUUUCAUACAAUAAAACAACAAAAUGAUUAGAUGAAUAAAACUAAGAAAUAAGAAUAACAAGUUAGAUGGUCAUACGGCCAAAAUUAACUACUCGUACACAAUUAAUAAAUACCCACUAUUUAUUGUAUUUGGUUAGAAUACAGAAAUGAAUGAAACUAAGAGAAAUUCAAGCAUGGAUAGGAUAUUUUGGAAAGGUGAUAUGAUUUUGACACGACAGCAAGAAAAACUCUAAGAACGGACAACAACGUAAGAUGGACGCCAGUUCAAAUGUCUAAAUCCUAACUUACGAUGCAUGACUUUAAGAAAUUUUAAGUCCUGGAUUGUAUUUUUUAUCAAAAAUUACGUCGUUUUUUGUGAUUAUAAUUUUUUUUAUUACAUACAUCGAAUCGCUACAGUAAUUUUUUUAUAAAAAAUAUUAUGCGAGGCUAACGUGUCCACGAAGGUCAGUUCAUGUCCAAAUAAAUACAUUUUCAGAAAAGUUAAGUGACAGAAAGAAAAGUAAAAGAGAACAAUUUAUGGAGGAAGGGACUAAUUUGCUCCACAUCUUUUUUCAAGAAGUCCACGUCUGAGAAUAAUCUGAAACCACAGGCGAUACAGGAAAGCACACAGGACGACCAGCCUCACUGGCAGGACACAUAGCCUAAAAUAUCUAGUGAUUCAUAUCAAAGUUGUACGCGGACUGGUAGCUUCAAUAUUAAGCAUGCACCUAGGACAAAAAAAGUUUGUUUGAUUGGCUCCUACACUCGCAAUGUACAGGAAGGGGAAAAAUAUAGCUCUUGAAAAAAAGAAAAUAAUAAAGGAAAUAACAAAAGUAUAAUUAGUUGUGAUAAAGGAUGAGACUUCAAGAAUUAAUCACCUCCAAUUCUUAAAUCUCAUUCAUUUCCUGAUUAAAAAGAAAAACUAGUUGUGAUGAGAUAAUUACCUGAGUGAUGCAUCCGCCUAAUCCAACACCCUCGAAAAAUUGGUGAAACGUCAAAGCUGCCAGAAGAGGCCUUAUUGUUUUGGGACUAUCCGAUGCACCCAUAGCAAUGCCAAUAAUUACAGAAUGUACGAUGAUUCCCAGCUCUAAAACCUAUAACAAAUUUAAAGGAGCAAAAACCUCAUUAGAAGUUAGAUUUCCAAUUAGGUUUAACCACAAUCUGCACCUCCAUAUUAUCAUAAAUUUGCACCGUAAGUUACGAACUUUAACGAUUUGGUAGUUUAUAUUGUCAAUUUAUGACAUAUUAUUCAUUUAAGUUCAAAACCAAUAAUUCUUUCUAUCGACUCAUAUAUAAAAAGACAUCACUAUCCCUAUUGAGUGCUCAAUGGCUACCAGAAUUCAUUAAGGGCUAUAGCAGUUUAUCGAAAUAGCUACCAGAAUUCACUGGUUUUUCAAUUCAUUAAAACAUAUUGUGUUACAAAUUGAGGUAUUAAGUGCUAUAAUAGAGAGUUUAGCAUGCAAACCAUAAAUCGGUUAUAAUUCAUCAACUGUGAAUUUAGCAAUUAUCUCUUGUAGCAAUAAUUUCUGGAACCCAUAGCUUCUUAUUAACGGGUCAUCCAUGCAUAGGAUUCCAAACUAAAGAGAAGGAGCAAAAAAACUUAACUGAUAAAUGAUAAUUCAUAUAAACAGCAUGAGGAACGAUACACAACUCGAACUCCAUAGUUUCUAUAGGAGGGAGAAAAGAAAUGGUCUGGUCCAAGUGACUAAAUUGUUGAAGGCCAAAUUUAUCUUAAACCUUUCAGCAGUCACUACCAUGUCUAGGUUUCUUCACAUGGAAAUUUAAAUUUCUGAUCAAGAAAUAUAUUCUAGAGUUAAUAAAGAAUUUAAAAAAUUACUUCUAAAUCUCUGUUUCUUAAAUCCAACUUCCUCUUUGCUAGAAAAAAAAAAUUACCUGCGAUAUCACACGAUACCGAAGCUGCGUAGAAAGGGUAUCCCCGUCCAUGGAUAACGAGGUAUGUGCAUGACCAUGUGUGGCAUGUGUAUGAAGAGGAAGCACUCCAGAAAGAUUACUCUCUCCAUUACGAUCACCUUCCUCUGCUACAGCUUGAAUGCCCUUAUUGCCAGCCAUUUUUUUAUAAUGAGAAGUUGCAUACACAUCAACCAUAAGUGUACCGAUCGAAGCAAGCAUUGCUACGAAGCCGGUAAACGGAAAUUUUCCCCAAGGGUUGUCGGGAAGGCAUGGAGAAGUCAAGCUCUCGAAAGCAUCAGGGAGGACGUGAAUGAACCCAGUUGCCAGAAUCACUCCCGCAGCAAAAGCUUUGAUGACGAAGAAGAGAUUGUUUUCAGGGCUUAAAGAUGGUAUCUUCUUGCCCCAAACUGGCAGAAGGACGCCAAUGAAGCUAGCAACCAAGAUUGAAGCUAUUGCUCCUGAUUUGUACUUGAGGGCUAAACUCCUGUUUCUGUCAUCGUCGUCGUCAUCACAGGUGCAAUCUCCUAAAACUAUGGCGGGAAAGAGCACUAUAAUAAGCACCAAAAUGAGGAACUUUUGAUUCGCCGCCAUAUUGGUUCUGAAAAUUGAAAAGACACACUAACACCGAUUGAGGUUUCUUUAUUUAUGCAAGAAGAUUGGAGCUACACGUAUUUGUAGUUUAUUAUGUCUACAAAUUAGGAAGAAAAGAGAGAAGCCGUGGGAGUCAAAGCUGGAAGAGAAUUUUAAAUUUAAUACUAUUUGCUUGGAAUUUCGGUUGAGGGUCCAAAUGAAUUAAGAAUUGUAAACAAAACAAAAAGAAAAUGAUGUUUAGAUAGCGAAAUAAGUGCAAAGCAAGACUUAGAAUUACCCUUUGGUUUCGGUCAAAGCAAAUGGAGAAGUGAAGACAUGAUGAGGCCAUCGGGGCAUGUGAUUUGAACAAUAAAUGCGAGAAAAUUCAGAAGUUGACGGCUAUUAAUUGGGAAAUGGAUACAAAAAGUGCAAGAUAAACCAGUUUGAUUAAGAGGGAUUCCACAGAAUUAAGUUGGGAAUGUCGACAUAGCUCGGGAGAAUCAAGUCAACUGGUUCGCAAAGUCUCUGGCUUUUUUGCUAGGAAACUUAGCGUGUUGCCAACACGAGUUGUUAUCUUUUUAGUUUGUACAAGGAAUGGUAGCCACUUGGCACUUCCAAGAUUCAAUUCGGACAACAAAGCAAAAAUCAAAAUGUGUAAUCAUAUAAUGAAAGUUGCGUAAUUCUGAUGCAAUUAUGGCGUAUUGUUUCAAAUAAAUAUGAAGCUAUAUUUUAUACUAAAUUAAAAAAAUUAUUACAUAGCUGUAUUGUUCAGGUACAUAGUAUAAAAUUUUAUUCAAAAAAAUUGUAUCGUUUGGGAUGUAAUAUAAAAAAUUAUUUACAAGCUUUUACUAUUGGGGAAUAGUGACACUGGCAAAAUCUUGGUUGAAUUUGUAUACAUGUUAUUCUCUUUAGUUGUAAUCUUAUUGGACCAAUAUGAUCGAUUAUCCAACAAAAGGCAAUCUGUAUGGAAGGGUUCUUUUAUUUUAUUUUAUUUUUUUUGGUGUUAAAGUCACUCUCUUUAUGCUGCUUGUACUUGAUCCAUCCUUUUCUUUCUUGAGAUGUUCGAGGAAAAAUGGGCCAUCAUUAAACCCAAAAACCUUUAAGCAUUCAAUUUGGACUUAGUUUCUAAGAUUUUGAAUUGUAAGAUCUAUAAAUCAGUUGGCAACUUUGUGUCUUUGUAGCUGAAUAGAAUGUCAAUUACUAUUACCAUCCCAUAAUUUGUUAUAUUCGUCACUUUUUCUUGUCCCAAAUUAGUUGUUAUCUUACAAAGCCAACUUACUUUUUUCAAUGAACAUUUAUCUAUAUUCUUUGUAUGAUCCACCAUUUAUUCCUUGCAAUUAUCAAUAUAUUAAAUAAAAGAUGGUUCUCUACUAAAAAUAUUAAAAAAAAAAAGUUAAAAUUUUCUUUGGUAUUAAUACCACUAUACAUAAAUUGCAUGCUUUUCAAAAAUAAAAAAUUUAUGAUACGGAAGGAGUACUUUUUUAAUACGAUUUCUUUCACUUUAUGCAUUUUAUACUUGAAAAUACUCCAAAUAAAGGCUUCAAUUAUGUGGUUCUUUUUUGAGAUUUUUAAAAAAAAUUACUAUAGCAUUUUUUCAAUGAAAUAUGUAUGCAAGAUUUUAAAAAUUACUACAGAACGCAGCCAUUUGAAGUUUUCGAGAUAUAAUAUUCCUCGAGAUGUUUUCACCCAAAUGAUUAAUGGUCAAAUUAGGUUGGUAGCUGGGUCUUCUAACGGAUGAUUACCUUCACGUAUGAAUGUGAGUUGGCAAUUUAAAAAUCGUGUUUUAGUCCAAAGUUUGACGUUUCAAAGCAAUUUCUAAGACGUGGGUUCCACUUUCCGGUAGUCUAUAGAUUCCUUUUUUUAUAUAUAUAAAAUAUAAAAAAUUUAUUAAAAUAUGCACCAACGUCAGAAAUUACAUCAUUAAACAUACAUAAAUAUUAAAAAAUAUAUCUGAAGAAAAAAUACUCCUUAUGUCAAGAACAAUAAAAUUACAUUACAAAGUUCCAAAUUUAAAAAAUGAGAUAAAAUAAUUGUAAUUCCAUGAACAUCUGUGCAUGCUUUCAAUUGCUAGAUUUGCCAAUUACCUGCUUUAAGUCCAGAUAUUACGGUGAAAUCUACCGAAUAAAUCUAAGAAAUUCCAGAUUUGAUAAUAAAAAUUUGAAAAAAUUCAGAUCUAAUAAAAAAAAUUAUCAAAAAACUCUCACUAAAAAUCCCAAGAGAUAAUAAAACUCUCAUUAAAAAAUUUAGAAGAUAAAAAAACUCAUACUAGGCAACCCUAAGGAGAGAAGAAAUUUUCACUAGAAAAUUUUAGGAGAAAUUUUAUUCACAUAAAUUAAAAGAAAUUAUAGAGAGAGUUUCUCCCACAGAGAAAGAUCAGCAAAAUCUGGUUUGAUUUCUCUCCCAGAGAGUUUUUUUCGAAGAGGAGGAAAGAACGGUGGUCCAUAGAUUCUACAUACUAAAGAUAGAUAGGGAUUUGACAAAGAAGAAAGAAGAACCAGACGUGUAGAACGAAGAAGACAAAAAUUCUACUUUACUUUUUUUAAGCGAAGACUUUACCGACAGUUUUAGAAGUCUAUUGUCAAGUUGGAACAAAAAUGUCAAUUAUUGCUCACAGAAGUUUGAUCGAACGCUUGCAAAUCCAUAUAAUUUCAUGUGAACAUGAAAAGUCUCUUGUUUUGUGCUUUCACACGUGGGAGUCUUUGGAUAGCAUAAAUAUCUCAAAUAAUAUUUGGAUUGUAUCAUAAAUACAUUUUUCAAUUCAAUUUUUUAUAUUUUCAAUUACCUUUUUAUCUCAUAUACAUCAAAUCAUAAAAAAUAUUACAGUAAUUAUUUCAAAUAAUACUCUAUCCAAACCUCUCCAACUAUUUUUGGCUUGUUUUUGUAGCUCUGUACACACACACAAUUAUCUAAUGUGAAAAACAAUUGGGAUGUGUUUACACAUUAAACUAGAUAUUUUGGAACUGUACUGGUGGCGCACCUAAUUCUCGGGCGCCACCACUAAUUGUGAGCAGUGUCAAUCUGAUUAAUUAAUUUCAUUAAUAUAACGCACUUAUGGACCACUCUGAGUACCUAAUUAUUUAUGCCAAGCAUGUGCAAAGUCUUGUUUACAGAGAUCGUCUUAGAUCGAUAUGAUAAUAAUGAUGACUUAUCCUACUGCGCAUAUUCAAAAGAGAACAUAUUUAACAAGUUAUUACUGUGUAAGCAGGAUCUGCAGCCCUGAAACUGCAGAUGCAAUAGCAAAUUUGACGGUCAACAUUGGCCGGCUGAUCUGAACUGGUAAUUUAAAACUUAUUAAAAUUCAUUUGAAUUUUAAAUUAACAUUCAAGAUCAAUCUGAAUUUGAUUGCAACUGUAGAGAUCCAGAUCCUAACUAAUUGCUUUAGAAUAGUUGACUAUCAUGAAGAAUUUUAAAACUCAUCUUAAGUAUAGGUCAAAAGACCUGCAUUCUUAUUUAGGAUUUUUUAAAAAUUUUAUAUGAUUUUGUAGAUCUAAAUCCUAAUAUGUAUAUGAUUUUGUAGUACAACUCCAGAUCCUAUGCCUACGAUCUCGUAGUACAAUUUGAAUUCAUUCCGAUAAGAUUGGCCCGGCCACUCCUGGUACUUAGUCGGAUAAGAAGAUUUCUGAUUGAUUUGGGAAGUUCUUGACUUCUUGUAGCGUAAGAUUGGCCCGGCCAUUCCUGGGUACUUAGCUGGAUAAGAAGAUUUCUGAUUGAUUUGGGAAGUUCUUGUAGCGUACAACCCUUUUAACAAACCGACUUUUGCGGACGACAAAUGCACAAGUGGUAAAACAACUUGCUUAGUGUGUCCAAACUUACUCCAAAGCCAACCAGCAUUUAGUACUUGUUCUCUCCUUCCAUUAAACAAAAAAAAAAAGUGCUUGCUCUUUUCCUCGAAGCUCACAAGAACGCAAGCGAUAAGAAUAGAGGACUUGCAGUUGGUAAGCAUUGGCGUCAACGGUCAACCAAGAACGGUGGGUUCACUCAUUAUUAUAUUUGCCUGUUUCAUCAUUUCAUGACAGUCCGAAGUCUCUAAGAGUCUAAAGCAUCUUGGAGUGUUGAAGAACCCGAAGAUUGAAGCAUCGCUUGUUUUCAGUUGAUUUUGAUUUUGUAAAAGCUGAUUUUAUAAAAUUAAUUCUUAAAAGUCAGAUUUUUCAGAAUAGCUCAUUUGUUUUCAUUUACUGUCAACAAAGCCAUUUUACUAAGUUAAAAAGAUGACCGUGUUACCCUUAUAUGCUACAUAGAUGAAUUUUUUGUGCUAAUUAAAUUUUUUUUUAUGUAAUUAAUUACUUUUUCUUAUGAAGAUUAAAUGAUGGAUGAGAAAAUCAAGGAAAACAUAGAUAAAUCUAGAAAUGAUAUGAGCAAAGGAGGAAACUAGAAGACCAUAAAAAGUUCUCUAAUAUUUAGGUAAUUUUCUAAUUAUAUGGAAAUUUGAAGUGUAAUUUUGCCUAUAUGAAAAAGUGAAUCAGAAUCUAAAAACACCUCAAGAUUUGCUUCUGAUUUUCAACUUUUUGUGUUCAAAAAAUCUAAAAUCAGCUGAAAACAUAACAAAAUAUAUUUUAACAAAUCGAAAGCUAAAAUUAUGUUUCCAAAAUCAUUUUAGAACAAGCCUUUUAUAUAUAUACACACUCACACACAUACAUAUAAACAUAAAUAUACCGCCUGUUUUGGCUGCACAGUGCAUUUUAUUUACUACAAAAUCAAUUUUCAUAUGGGCUAUUGCCCAAGGAUGCCACUUUUUUUUUGUUGGUCAACGUAGUUUUGGAAUAUCAUCUUUAUCAACUCUGUCAUUGACCAUUUGGCCUCAAGGUAGUGGCGAGACGUAUGGAAGUGGGGCAGCGUUAUUGUAACAUACAAUAGCUUUUUUUUAAAUACGUAAAGUAUAUAUUAAUAAAGAAUAAUAUUUAUAGAGAUUAUUAAAUUAGGAUUAAUUUGAAUUAUCAACAUUAUGCACUAAGCCACACGAGUGGAGUUGCUAACAAGGGCCCAUAAAGAUUAGAUAUUUUUAGGAAUUUUUGAAAAACUUUAUUGUAGCAUUAUAUUUAAAACAAUUUCAACUAUAAAUGAUCCAUUUAAAUUAUGUAUUCCCUAAGAUGUAUUUUGGAUAUUUUUAAAAUUUAAAAUUUUAUUAAGAUAUUUUUUAAAUUUAUUAAAAAUUUCUUACUAUCACCACCUCCCUCCUCCUUUCUCCCUCCCCUUCUUCAGUACAAAAAUAUUAAUUUUUGGUGACAAUCAAGUGUUGUCAUAGAAAGUAAGGAAUUUCGUUUGCAAAAGUUUUCUUGACGACACAUCUUAAGGAAUUUCGUUAGCAAUGAAUGGUCCAGUCGCCUAUGUACCAUCGGGGAAAGUUAUGGUGACCAACGAUGGCUUUGAUGGCAGAGGUGUGCACUCCGUACAAUUUCGAUUAUUCGAUUUUUUGAAUUUGAUUUUUUUGAUUAUUUCACUUGUAAAAUUCUAAACCGUUUUCAAUUUCGAAUUGAGAAUAACCGAAUUCAUUCGGUUAUCGAAUUGAAUUCAGAAAUAGUCAUGAAAUUGGUUAUAACCUAAUUGAAUAGUAAUUUCCAUAUAAUUAAAAUGGAACUCAUUCCUAUAGUUGUAGACACUUAGUCACAUAUAAUUUACUAAUUAUGUGUUGCAUUACGCUUACAUUUAUUCUUAUUUUUUAUAGGAUUAAUCUUUCCUACACUGACAGUGCAUAUACUGUCAACAUUGGAUGAAUGACAACUAUGCAAAAUUUGAAUUUAAAAUUUAACUUUUACACAUAUGUCAUGAAUCAAACGGUGAUAGUGUAUACAAUGUCAGUGUAUAUAAGAUUUACUUUUUUUUUAUGUAGGUUAAAUGCUUAAUCUAUAAAAAACUUGAUUGCUUUCAAUGGUGAAUGCUAAUACGCUAAUAUGUUAACAUGUAAUUUAUAUAUAUUUGUUUAGACUUUUAAUCAUAGUACUUAGUUAUCUACGUUUAAAUAAGAUUAGUAAAUAGAGAAUAUUAAUCCACAUAUUAUAUAUGUAAUGUAAUUUUAGAGUAUACUAAUACUUGCAAGUUAAAAGUUACACAUUCAAAUAUUUAAUAAUCCAAACAUGAAUAAUGAACCAAUGUGUAAAUUCUAAUUAUUAAUUAUGUGUAAUAUUUAGUACUAUACUUAUACUUAUUUUCUAAUUCUAAUUAUGUAUAAAAGGAUAAGUAUUAUGGUUAUGUAUUAAUGUAUUAAUGUAUAUUUGUAUUAUUAUAAUCAUAUAACAAAUACUAAAAUAGCAUAUUGUACAUCAUUAUAGAUUUUUAUUGUUAUAGGUACAUGAUAUAUGCUAUCUAUUAUUAAUAGCCUUUACCUAUAUAAUAUAUUAAUACCAUAUAGCAUUUACCUAUAUAUUGGCUAAUUUUAUAAACUAAUUUGGUAUUCGAAUGCGGUAAUAUGGUACCCUACUGAAUUUGAAUUCAAAAUCGGUUACCAAAUUGAAAAUCUCAUUACCUAUUUCAUACCACAUUAGAAUUCGAUGAAUUUAAUAAAUACCGCUUUGGUAUCAAAUUACUGAAUACCCAAUUUCAAAUUAUCAAAUUGAAUUUGAAAUCGGGUACGAAUUCAAUAUAUUCUGAAUUUGUUCGCCCCUACUUGAUUGUCAUGGAAAAGCAACUUUUCCGGACGACAUGAUCGCCAUGAAAACUGCUACCAAAAGUACUAACCGAAGGAUUUUUCCUCACAAUAUUGGUAUUACGAAUAGGACUGCAAAUGAAUCAAAUUGCUCGUACAAAAGAAUCGAAUUGCUUGCAAGCCGAUUGUGAGCAACUCAAGUCAAAGCACGACUUGAACUCGAUCAACAUCGAGCUCGAGUCGAGUUCAAGUUGAUUAAGUCGAACUUGAGUUAAAAAAUACUUAGGUCCUGUUUGAUAACUAAUUUAGCACUUAAACUUAAUGGAUUCAGAUUUUAACAUAUUCAAACAGUUUGAUAACCAAAAAUUGAACAUCUGAAUUAAUUAAAUGACACUAAAUUUUCUAGGUAAAAUUUACUCCCAAAAUUAAGUGAUAAACGAUUAACUUAUUACUGAAUGUGAUAUGCACUCAAAUAUAUUAUAUUUAAUACUUAACAAUUCAAUAAUUUAAUGGAUUCAGACUUCAAUUUUAUCAAAUGCACCCUUAAUUCAUUAGCUCGCGAGUCAUCUUGGUUUUAUAUUUUUUUAUUUUUUAUUUUUUAUUUUAAUGGUGAAAUUAUAUAUAUCUCUAAUGUUUUAUUAUUUGUUAAGAAUAAUCAUUAUUUUAUUUAUUUUUUAAAAAAUUAAAAAAAUUAUUUUUUAUUUUUUAAGUUCGACUCGAAUUGAAUUUGAGUCGAACUCGUCCUGUAGCUCGACAAUGAGAGCUUGUCAAGCUAUUGUCGAGUUUGAACUUGAUAAAAUUAAAUCAUGGUUCGAUUUGAUUAGGUUAAAGUUCGACUCGACUCAACUUGUUUGCAACCUCAUGAAAGACUAUAUUUCUUUUUAAAAAAAUACUGCAACAUUUUUAGUGGAUUGGUAAUCAUGAUUGUCUUGAAUGCUCUAUCGCAUACAAGAAAAAAUCACCAUCAACUCUAACAAAUGCUUAAGAAUUGCUAGAAAAAUCAUCUCCAACAAAAAUUAUUGCCAAUGCUAUCAAUACAAUGUUAAAUGAAGGUUUAAGAUACAUUAAAAUCACCAAAUUGAUGUUCAAUCCCUGGCCUAAGGAUGAUAACAGCUAGAGAAUUAAUUUAUGCAAUAAGCUCUAUUCAAAUAGGAAAGGGAAAAUUUCAAAAACCUCCCUUGAGGUUUUUAACAAUUUCAUUUAGCUUUCUCGAGAUUUUAAAAAUUACACAUACCUCCCUUUUUAUUUAAAAUGACAAUACUACUCUUAAAUAUUUUAAUAAAAUUCCCUUGUUUGGUAUGCUUAUACUUAGAAUGACUUUUAAAAUUAUUUUUUCAUUCUUUUUCCUUCUUAUUCCCUUUUUUUAAUUUUUUACCGGUAAAACUGUAGAACUAUCACUAUUACUUCUAGUUUCUAUUGUAACCAAAUGUCAAACUAAUGAUUUUUUGAUGAGUUGACUUAUAUGUAAUCCAAUGUUUUUUUGUUUUCUAACUUUUGGUAUUAAAAUUAACAAUAAAUAUAAAAUGGCCUAAAAUCACUACUAAAUUAUAAUAAUCCCACUACUUGAAAAAUUCAUAAAUUCUGAAUGAAUUAUUUUAACAUUUUCUUUUCUAUCUUAUAUAUCUAAAUCCAUAAUCAAAUACCAUCAAAGGUAUCUAGUCAUGGUGAUAAAAUUAUUAUUAUAAUUAUUUAUCAAAUAAUAGAUAGAGACAUGAAAAUUUUGACACCUUUUCUUUAUAAUUAUACUAGAUAAUCUUAUAAUUGUAUAGAAAAAUAAAUUAAAACUCGUUACACAAGGACAUAUUUGGAUAUUCAUUUAAAAACUUGACCAAGUCAAUAUUAUUUAAAGGUUUUGAUACUAAAACUAUCAAAACUGUGAUGGCCCUACCUCCCCCUGGGCGUACCCUAGGGUUUAGCGGACCGCCUGCCCAACUCUCGUCAGGACUCACUCACUCGUAUCACGUGCAGACAACCGUCGACAAUAAAUAACAUCGCAAUUCACACUUAUAAUUUACAUCAAUGCACAAUCAAUAUACAAAGCCUCUAUAUACCCAAACUGGUUCAAAGUGUAUACAAUCCAAGUACAGUCAUCCUAAUCGAGUGAUAGCGCGAGUACAAGUCAAAAGUCAAAAACAACUAGACUACGCUAGUCUUUACAUAUCUCACGUCUCGCUCGUACCCCUGUAAGGAAAACAAAUAGCGUGGAAUGAGCUAAAAGUCCAGUGAGAUUCCAAAUAGCAAAUUGACCAUUAUUUAUAAGUACAAGUUUUCGAUAUAGCAAAGUAACGAGCAUGAAGAGUUCAUAAAAAUGAGCAAUAACACGUCAAGUAGCAAUCUCAAAAUGAGCGAGCGUAAAAAUUUUUCAUAAUAAACAAUAAUCCAAUAAGCAAUAAUCAUUCCAAAGUAGAAGGAUACGGAGGGCUCUCAGGAACCAAAUUCUCAUUGCAUCACCAGGAGUUUGAUCACGUAAUAGUUGACACUCCGUCAACUUUCAAGUAAGUAACCAAUCCAAUAGGACACCACUUACACUACUCUCCGUCCACCAUUCAAACUCCCUGCUGGGCCCAAAAUCCUCAAUAAAUUCGGGUGGUAAUACUCGAGUAUACCGAUUAGUCGAGGUGAUAUCACUCCACUCGACAAACAAGAGACCCAUGGUUCGUUACCCAAUCGACCAAACUCUUGCCGGCUCGACUCGAGUAACUUGCCGCAGGGUUUCUGGAAUUCCAGGAAGUGCGUACAUCAUAAACAAGUAUAUCAAAUCAAUUUCAACAAUAAACAAGUAUAUCAAAUAAGGGCAAGUGCGAUAAAGUACACUCUUGCCCGAUCAAACCAAUCAUAUAUCAUUUAAUCAUAUUGAUCAAGUAUUGGAAACAAGUGUCCAGUUCAAUCAGGUAUUUGGAAGCACUCACCAAAAUGAAGUGCCCCUAGUAAUCACGUCUAGGUUAUACUCCGGGUUCGGAGUCCAAAUCUGCGAUAAAACUUUGUUUCAGAACUUUAGAAAUCAACUAAGGUUCGAAACGUAGACGUUUCGUUCAAUAAGAAUCAAGACAUGGAAAUUCACUUGGAGAAUAUUCGUAAAACACUCACUCGCUUUUCAAACUAUAUAACUUUAUAACAUUUAUACUUGGAAAUGCCAUUUGAGUCGAAAGUAUAAGGAAAACGUAUUCCUAGUAGUCAUAGUUGUAUUUCUCAAGGGUACAAGUUCGGCCAAAUCCUUACUUAUAUACCUCGGUAAAAGAAGAUGCAAAUAUCCUAGAUGUUCAAGUAGUAAUCACUCUUAACCCUUACUCAAGUCGCAAGUAUAUUUCUCUAGUCCUUGAGCGUAAAUUUGGGCAGCAUGCCUUUUGUAUUUACCUAAUUUUUCAGCCAUUUAUGGCUUCAUUAUUUUCCUCAGCCAAUCCCAAAGUCAUACACAAUAUAAAUUCAUCACAAUAGCCGUUCAAUAGGUUCAAGGUAAUACGAGUACAAAAAUCAAGCUAACGACAUGUGCGGAAAUGAAGUUUAACAAAAGAUAGAUUUGACAUGAUUUUACGUAACGGACACAACGAAGCUACGCUUAUCGGAUUGGAAUAAAAUUUGUGCCGUUUCGAAGCUAAGACAAAGGCCUACAAUUUUGAUGAAGAUCACUUAGUCCAAUUUCCAGUGUAACCCAGUCAAAUUCGCAAUUCAUAGAACCAAAUUCCAACUAACCGGCCAGUUAACCGUACUAUCUCCAAAUGGCCAUAUCUCAAGCUACCAAAGUCCGUUUAAGGCGUUCUUGGAGGUGUGAAAAGCUAAGACAAAGUACUAUAAUUUUCAUGUUUUGAAAAAUGGCUAAAUCUGCACGGAUCAUAAUGAAUAGAUACGGUCAAUUGGAUGAACUGUCUAAAACUGAUCACUGGAUGCAUCAUAGGGCAGUGAGGGUAUUUUGAUCUUUUCACAGGCUACGUUGCUCCGAUUGGGCUGAAAUUUUGUAGGCAACCAUAAAAUAUCAUUCUCUACAACUUUCAUGUUUUGUGCUAAGGCUGGUUCGGUCUCUAACAUACUCAAACAGAAACGGGCAGAACUAAACCAUAAGAAACCGAAAUUCUGGUAAUUUGCUCCAUUCAAGGUAUAACUCUCAUUUUAAGCUUGAAACCAGCACUACAACCUCAUAUACAAGCUUAUAUAUAUCAUAUACCAUCCAUACAGCAAGUAUAAGAAGAAAAUCAUUCAAACCCAAAGCUGAAAUUUUACACUACAAAGCUGGAAUUGACCAAAUCUACUACUAAACCAUGAGAUCUACCCAACAAACCAUAACUUUCACUUGUAAACCAUUAAGUAGUACAACCAUGAACUAAUACCUUCCUUACCUAGUAUUGGAGAAGCACAACAGCCUCUAGGAAGCUUGAACCACCAAAACUCUCCACUCAGUGACGGAGCCAGGAUUUUUUUUUUGGGGGGGCCAAAAUUGAAAUUCCAUUCAAAGAUGACUAAUUCAUAUAUAUAUAUAUAUAUAUAUAUAUAUAUAUAUAUAUAUAUAUCAACUCUCAUAAUAUAAACUAAAAUUGAAAAAAUUUAGGGGGGGCCAAUUUUAUUUUACACACAUAUUUACAUAUUAUGAAUUAAAAUUCUCAAAACUUAGGGGGGGCCAUGGCCCCCCUCUGCCCCCCCUUGGCUCCGUCAUUGUCUCCACUCCAAGAUGGCAAUCCACCUUCCUAAGCAACUUUCAUGGAUUAUUUGGUGAAUCUAUCGGUUAGUUUGCAAGAUUGAGUAAGAAAUCAAGAUGGAAUGAAGUGUUUCUUUCUCUCCUUUUCUCUCCUCACUCUCACGGCCAAAUGUGCAGAAAUGAAGAAGAAAUACAGCCCAAGGAAAGAUAAGAAAGCAAGAAAAAGGCUUGGUCAAAGUUUAACACAUGUCACAAUUUGAUUGGUGGUCAACAUUUUCUUUUCUCUCUCUUUUUUUUUGUCCAACUUUUCGGCUGCUUUAUCAGAUAUUUUGGGGCUGAUUUGACUCAAUUAAUAGCAAGGGUAUUAAGGUAAUAAAAUGGUGUUCAAGUGAUGCACUCACUCGAUAACAAACGGUGCACGUCGGUUCCACCCGUUUUUCCUUAACUCGCACGUACUAGGAUUUUUUUUAUUUAUAAUUCACUAACUUAUUAUUCUCACUUCUAAUCUCAUAUUAUUUCUCAUCUAAAAGUCACUCUUGCCUACCAAAUUUGAUCCUCACUCCGUACCGAAUAGUCACACUACGGAAAAACGUGAAAAGCCUAAUUCACUCUAACUUGAAAACGAAAAGGGAAAACCUUUACUUUCAUGUUCAUUUGCACUUAUUGUGGGGUGAUUGGGUGGUAGGGCUAUUAUAAAAUCAUAAGUUCCAAAUAAAAUGGGAUUUUUAAAAUAAAAAAAAACGUGAGGGGUUUUACAAUUCCAUAAAUUGAAUUUAGGGUUUCGGUUAAAAUAUGAGAAAUUUGAGAAAACAGUCAGUCACAAGUGAAACUAGGGUUUUGAUUAGAUUUUAGGGUUUCUAACCCAAAGAAAUAACUUUAGUUUCUUCUUUAAAACAAAAUAAUGGUUUAAAAUUAAAUAAACUAAAGAAACCGUAAUAUCCUCUUUGAGACUAAACAAAAGAUGAUCCUAAAAACUGGGGUAUCACAAAAACAAUAUGAUAUUGGAUUAAAUAACAUUGAGAAAAGGAUUGAUCAGUUGGCUUUUAACUUUGAAAUGAUAGUUAGCCAAUUAGAUAACCUAGUGCAUGCUAUGUGUAGAUAAUUCACUGAAUGAACAUGAAACCAACCCCAGCAUGACUAGUAAGUCUUCACACAUGAUAGUGGAUUGUAUUUGAUGAAAAUGAUGAACCUAAUUGGAGUUAUUGUGAGAAAAUGUCCAUUUUGUUUGUAAUAUCGUUAAAAUGGAUUUUGAACCUCAAGACGUAUCUAUGAAUGAUUCAUUUUUAAUCCCUCAUGAGGAUAAUUUAGAAAAUACCCAAGACAUCUAUGUUAGAUCUUCUUUGGUGAGUUUUCAAGUAAUGCACAAAUAAGGUAAUAGCUAUGAAACACUUAGGACAUGUAAAUCACUUCCAACUUUCAUAUUAUUUGGAGAUAUAGCUCUUGAAAUGGAGCCACUAUUCGUUGAUCCACUACGUUCUAAAAUAGUGGAUUACUCUUUGAUGCAUCUUCCUUGACCAUGAGGAAAUCUAGUCAAGUUAAUGAGUAUAAAGAAGUACGCGUUCGGAAGCAACACAACAUUUGUUUAGGUUUCGUUUCGUUUCUAUAUUGUUUGUCCUUGUUUGUGUCUUUUGUGUAAUAUUGGCUCAUGAUACUUUGAUAUCUUCUUGUUAAUUUUGAAAUUUCUUUAAUAAAUUUGCCAAAUUUGUUUAUCAUUAUGUGUUGGAGUAGGUUGGAGGCUCAAUGGUGGAUGUCCCACCCCAAUUUUAAAAAAUAAAAGAGAAAGUGGUAGUAGAAAAUGAAUUUUUCAUUUUUAGAAAAUAAAGAAAAAAGGGCCUAAAAUAGGACAUAGAAAAUGCGACGGUUUGAACCCAAAAUAAUAGUCCAAAAAAAGGAUUUUUAGAAAAUAAAAAGUAGAUUUGCCACCUGGUAUUGAGUUUAGGUAUACCAAGUCACCCAAAAAUAUAUUUUAAAUAAAUAAUAAAAAAAUAAAUAAAACCUUUUUUAGACGACUCCAGGUCAUUGAAAAUAAGAGAAAAAAGUUCGGAAGUCACGGCUAAAAAAAGAAAAGGCAAAAAUUUGAUCUAAGGCACCCUUUCAACCUAGUCAAGGUUAGUUGCGAGAUUUAGUCGAAAAUUUUCCUAGUCUAACCUAUAAAACAUAUCAUAUUAUGAUGCUUCUAUAUAGAUGCGAAUCUAGACUUAGGGAGUAUCGAGAAGGUCGGAAUGUCUUUCAAAAAUUAAUUGGUAUCAAUCACAUUAAUUACGAUGCCUAAGAGUGAUUCUUUGAAGAGAUCACGAAUAUACAAAAGAUGAGAUUUGAAAAAAAGAAAAAUUAUAAUAUAUAAAUAUACGUGAUCUAAAAGAGAGGAAUGCAACAUAACGGGUAUGGGAGAUUAAAAUUCGUGACACAAUUUUUCUUCUUAUAGGGGGGAAUAAAGCGUGCUAAGGUUAAAAAAUCACACUCGUUCAUUUCCCAUAUUUGAAGGGUGACUCUUCUAACCUAGUCAAACAAAUGGACUAACUUAUUUCUAAUUUUCUAAAUAAGAUGCAAUUUUAAAUGAUAUGGUCCAAACAUAUAGAGGGUAAGGAAAUAAUAGUAGGGAAAAUAUCAUACAAAUGCAAAUAAUCUUUUUUUUUUGUUUUUUUUUUGUAGUAACGUGCUUUUAUUGCCCAAUCAGAAGCUUACAAGCCGAGACCAGGACCGAUCAUCAAGACGAUCCUUUGAUAAGUCUAAUAGAAGGAAGGCCAGGCAGAUUCAACCUAACUUCCCCUCUUGCUAGCUGUGGAAGAGAACAGAGUUGGUGAUACACCCUUACAGGAUCUUGCGGAUGCAAGAUACCUACAUUAGCUAAGAUGUCAGCCAUUUUAUUGGCCUCCCUAAAACAAUGCGAAAAGUGAGCAGGAUCCGUGACUAGUUGCCAUUUUUGGUGUACCUCUCUUCGAAUGAGCCAUGGACACUAGAACCUUCGUUGUAAUGUACACACUAGAACCAGCGAAUCUGUCUGCACUCGCACCUGCACAUAGCCUUGCUGGAAGCAUACACGAAGCCUCGUUAACAGUGCAAAUGCUUCAGCGCGCAAGCUUGUAUUGACCCCCAGAGAGACUAAGAAUGCCACUACCACCUGCCCAUUUGAAUCCCGUAAUAUUCCAUCACCACCACUCAUCCCUGGAUUCCCCUUUGAGCACCCAUCCGUAUUAAGGGACAAAAUCCCCCUCCCGGCUGCCUGCCACUUGACCAAUUGCACCCGACGUACUAACGGCGGCUGAGAGAGUCUUUCAAAAAACUGAUCAAAUGUUUGCGCUACAAUCCCAUGACGAAAUUUAAUCUCAACCGCUGCAGAAAUAUCCCGGAGAAUGCCAUGGCAAUUCUCCCUCCUAGUCAGUUUGACCCCUUCAAAGAUUGCUUUAUUCUGUGUCUUUCAGAUAUGCCAACAGAUGAAACUUGGCAGGAUGGAAACAACAUGACUUCUUUGAACAUCUGAGUGCGGGGACAACCACCAAGCGGCCAGUCGCUCUUGCAAUGAUACUGCCGGUAGAUAAAUACUGCAUGGGGAUCCAAAGACACCCCAAAUCUCUACCGCUAGUUGUCCCGUUGAGAAAAUGUGUUCAAUAGAUUCCCACGCCGCCGCCGCCGCCGUCAUGGAACAACAAAAACAUUUGGAAGGUAAUUGAAAGCCAAACUUACCCAAGACAUCAUCCAGGGGAAGCCUCCGCAUCAAAAGACGCAGCAUAAUGAAAGAAACUUUUACAGGGAGCUGGGGGCGCCAAAUGUGGGAAAAUAUCCAAGAGGAAUUCCGAGCUUGCCUUACCUCACGGAAAGCAGAGGAUAACGAAAAUGAGCCUGAAGUUGUUAGCACCCAUACCACCUCAUCGGGCCUCUCACCCUCUGGGGUCGGGUGCUGUAGGAUCAUAGUUGUGAUGUCCCUUGGGAGGUAUUGUGCAAGUCGCACCGAGUUCCACUUCCCAUCAACAAUAAAAUCUCUGAACGAUAAGUCCCCCUGACCUGGAACUUUAAAGAAAAGAGCUCCAUUCCCUAGCCAGUUGUCAUACCAGAAGUCACAAGUACCGUCAUUUACCAACCAUUGCAUAGACAACUCCGCCUCCCUGCUGACAUUGAGUAACCGUUUCCAAGUUGCUGAUACGCCCACUUUAAGCUCCACUUGACAAGGUUGGCAACUCCCACAAUACUUAGCAUGUAAGAACCUUGCCCAUAAAGAUGUUCCCGUGCGAAAUUUCCACCAGAGCUUAUGAGAGAAAGCUGUGUAAACAUCCCUUAGAAGCCUGAAGCCGACUCCCCCCUCCUCCUUCGGAAAGCACAACUGCUCCCAGCGGAUCCAGUGAUACCUGGCCCCCAUCUCCAUCGAACCCCAUAGAAAGUCAGAACAAACCUUUUCAAUUACCCUGAACACCAAAGUCGGCAUUACCGCGACAGAUAGUAAAUGCAGUGGGAUAGAAGAGAGAACAUGUUUGAUGAGGAUGAUCUUACCUCCCUGCGACAAAAACUUGGACUUCCAUGAGAGGAUUCUUCCGAUUAUUGCUUGACUCAUCUCACCAUAAUAGUAAGCCUUACUUCGUCCCAAGUACAUUGGGAAUCCUAAGUAUCGAAUAGGCGCCUGUUGCCUAGAAAAGCCUGUGAGACUCUCAAUCACCCUCCGUCUAGCAGUCGAGGCGGAGGGAUGGACGAUAUACCCACUUUUUUGCCUAUUCACCAACUGGCCCGAGGAUUGUUGGUAAAGCUCCAACACCCGCAUAAUGUCUUGCAAAGCUCGAUCAGACCUAUUAGCAAAAAUCAAUACAUAGUCAGCGAAGGCCAAGUGCGUGACUUGGGGACACCCCCAUGGGACCUUAAAACCCCUAUAGCCGCAAUGUAACACUCGGUUGUUUAAAGCCCUUGAAAGCACCUCCGCCCCAAUUACGAAUAAUGCGGGGGAUAAUGGGUCCCCCUGCCGUAAUCCCCUAUCCGAUUUGAAAAAGCCAUAAGACGCUCCAUUAAUUAUAAUCGAAAACCAAACAUUAGAAAUCAAUCUCCACACCAUGUCAAGAAACCUUUCCCCAAACCCAAACCGCCGCAUUACAUUCAUGAGAAAUACCCACAAUACACGGUCAUAUGCCUUGGACAUGUCUAACUUCAAUGCUACAUUACCCCCCUGUACGAUCUACGUAUCCCUGACAUUAUUUCCUGGGCGAGAAGAUAAUUCUCCGAUAUAUUUCUGCCCUUAACAAAGCCCGUCUGUUGGGGUGAGACGAUUCUUGGCAGAAUGCCAGCCAACCUAUCGGCCAAGAUCUUGGACAAUACUUUAUUAAAGAAAUUGCAGAGACUAAUCGGUCUGAACAUCCAAAAAUCCUGAGGGUUCGGUCCCUUUGGGAGAAGGACAAUAGAAGUAGAUGUAAUAAAACGAGGAAGCUCAGCCCCGCAGAAAAAGCUCAAAACUGCAUUAUAGACAUCCUGACCAAUCACUUCCCAAGCAAAAGUAAAGAACUUACCCGUGAAACCAUCGGGGCCCGCUACACUAUCACCGUCCAUUGCAAAAAAAGUCCGUUUUACCUCCUCGAAAGACGGGUCGGCCUCUAAGCUCCUAUUUUCCUCCGCCGUGAUGCUGGCAGGGAUAACGUGCAGCAAUUCUGACGAGGAUGCCGUCGGAGUAGAGAAUAAAUCAGAGAAAUACUGUACCGCUUCACGUGAAAUAUCUUCAUCCAUCGCCACCCAUAUGCUAGUCUCAUCUUUAAUCCUGUGGAUUACCCCUUGCAUCCUCCUCUAUCUCAGGGUGGCAUGGAAGAACUUUGAGUUACAAUCGCCAUGACGGAGCCACUUGACUCAAGCCUUCUGCUUCCAAAACUCCUCCUCCACCGACAAAGCACGGUUGCGCUGUGCUUGAGACCUAUGAAGCUCCAUCUGAGCAUCCUCCAAUGCCUCAGUUUCGACCCUUGCUUCCGCCCUAAGCACCGAAGCCUCUGCUUCGCGAAAUGCUACAAAUAUAUUCCCAAAUGAGGACUUAUUCCACUCUUGAAUAGCUCUCCUUGUUGCUAGCAAAUUGGAGCACAAGAUCCUUAAGGGAGAUCCCUGACAUUCCUGUUGCCAAGUCGUUCGAAUAGCAUCAAGUAAAGAUGCUUUGGAUGUCCACACAUUCAGGAAGCGGAACGCAUGAGGCUUAUCAUCUAUACGGGAUGAGAAAGAAACUCGUAGUGGCGCAUGGUCGGAUGGAUGUCUAGCCAAGUGAGUGACCGAUACAGCUGACGGUAAUUCUGAACACUCUCCAUUAACCAAUAGCCUAUCCAAUCGCUUCCAUAUCCGAGCCCUGCCAUGGCGAUUGUUUCACCAAGUAAAACUCGAGCCAGAAAAACCCACAUCAAAAACUUCCACCUCCUCCAUGAAGGUCAGGAGCUCUAACCCCUCCGAGGCACGAAAAGGCCGACCUCCUCUUUUUUCGUUAGGGGAUAUGAUCAUAUUGAAAUCCCCACAAAUGCACCAUAGCUGGUCGCUUGGUUUGUCAACCAGAAAUGCUUGCCACAACUCCCGUCGUUCUUCCAAUGUACACCUGGCAUGCACAAAAGAAAAUCGCAAGGAGCGAGGCAACCAUGGAUGAUGGACAUUCAAGGAGAUAUGUUGCUGAGAAUUCCCAGCUAUAGUGCAUACCAACGGAAAAUUAUAAAAGACCCAGACAUUUGCUGAAAAGUUAACAACAGCAGCAUCGAACGACAACUUUAAGCGGAUGCUUUCAAUAUUUGCGACAUCAAGUUUCGAUUCACAAAUAGCUACCAGCUGAACGUUAUGUAAUCAAAUAAGUUUUUUCAACCGUCUCAAAUUAGGAGCUUUAGAAACCCCCCUAAUGUUCCAAAAUAUGCUAUUAAUCAUGGGAAAGAACCUAGAAACCGUUUUUGGAGGAUGUUGACGUGGAACGCAGCUGCUUAUCGGAAGGGAAAAUCAUCCUUAUUCCCUUUGAUUUCCCGAGUUUGAUAGCCAGCUCCAAUGCCUGUGACUGAUCUACAUUCAGCGCCUCCAAGGGAGAAGCUGCCAACUCCCCAUUAUGGGCUCUGGGCCGCGGAGACAGAUUGCCCGUUGCUGUCUGGACAUCCGCACUACACCCCUCCAAUAUGAUCUCCACUCUAGCAUCCACCUGCUCAGAAUGGUCCCAUUCUGGUCUGCCAACAGCCUGCCCACUAUCCUUCAAGCCUGCUGACACUGGAAGCUCAGCCGCACGUUGCCCCUCCACCAUUAUCUCCGCUCCAGCAUCCACCUGCGCAAGCGAGGCUCCUUCCCUUGCUAUGGGGCGCUCCCCCUCUGCCGCGCCAUUAUCCUGCCCGCUUCCCUCUAGCAGCUCCACACUCACAUCAGCAACCCGAGCAGGCUGAUGCUCGAGGAUUGGCAGCGCUGCCUCCCUGGUCACCAUCUCUGUUACCACUGCUGCCGCUGCUGGGCUUUUGCCAUCUCGACCAGGGGUAGAGAGCGGAGCCUCCGUCAACGCUGCUGGGAUUGGUUCAAUCCCCCCCGGCUUCGACGCAACCGAACUGCCCUUUGCCUCCAUGACAUCCCCUGCAGCGUCACUCUGCGAUACAAAUUGUGGUUGGGUGCCCUUACUCAAGGCCUGUGCACCGUUAUGUAUAUCCUUCCUGCACUCCUCCACCGAAUGCCCCAAUCUCCAGCAACCGCUGCAGUACUUGGGUGUGUUCUCAAGCACUAUGUUUUGCCAGAAUCCAGCCUCUCCCUCAAGUGCUACCCAUACCCGCGAACAUAUCGGUUUCAGCAAAUAGACCUCUACGCAUACCUUGCUACACUUGGUCUCGUGCCCGCUGCCAUUGCUGAAUCUAGGAAGAGUGGCUUCCCAACUGGAGCUAAAAUAGAGAAUAACGAAUGUUUGUCAAAGUAGUGAAUAGGGAGGGCUGGCAGAGAUGCCCAAACUGGAACCGACGCCGACUCCUUCACAUGGAAUUCUCUUGUCCAACGGAAAACUCUCAUGGGAUAUUUCCCCAAUUGCCACACCCCACGAGUCCAGAUACGGUUAAAAUCUUGUUCAGCAGAACAUGUCUAUAAUCCAUGAGCGCAAUAGAGACGUUGUCCUUCAAGUUUAAUGUUGAGAAGAACUUGCGAACCCCUUCCAAACUUGGACGCCCGCGCGAAAAUUUCCCUACGAGAGCCCAGCGAAAAGGACUUGCGAGUUUAUCCGCCUCCGCUUUGGAGAAAAUCACAGCCGCCUCCCCCUUGUACUUUGUUGUUGGCUUCACCUGGAUAGGUGAUUCGACAGGUUGAGAGAAAAGCUGUGCGAAGGAUUUUGCCGCACUUGGGGACAUGGGCUGAGGCGCCGCCGUAGGUGCGCCGCCAACCACCAUUGCAUCCCAAGGGUUUUCGCUCAGCACGGAGAAUUCUCUUGUCGCACACAACUACCUUAUUACUCAAAAUAAAUGCAAAUAAUCUAAAAAUAGAAAAAAUGCAUGAAAUGAAAUAUAUGUUACACAAGGUAUGAAUCUAGCGCGAACACAGUCUAAAGCGUCUUGCAUUAGACUAACCCAUUUUUACAAGUUCUCAUUAGCGUUAGACUAGUGAGAAAUCGAAAAAAAGCCCACAACUAGUAUUGGACUAGUGUGAUGUCGUCAUGCAUUUAUUAUCAAUAAAUAAAGCAUAUAAAGCAUAAUUAAAACAAAUAAAUACAUAAAAGCACAUAGAGCAUAUAACACAUAUGCAUAAUAUUUUAGAUCUAAAACCUUAGAAAAAGUGAAUAAACACAUAAGCACAUAAGUAUGCAAGCAAAUAAAAACUAACUAUUAUAUUAGGGGCUCUAACAACAAUCUAGAAAGGGAAUUUUUGAAAAUAAUAAAUCUAUCUAUUAUAUUUAUCUAACUAAUUACAUUUUUGACAAAAAUAAAAUCUAUCUAUUACAUGGCCUAACUAAAUACAUUUCUUGGGCACUAUCUAUUACAAUUUGGCAUUUAAAUGUCUCCCAAAUAAUCAUAAAAAAUUAAAUAAAAUAAAUGAAAACUUAAAAUGGAUAAAAUGAGAAUAAAAGAAAAAGCAUUCAAAACAUGCAAUCAUACAUAGGAGCACAUAAAAGAAUUUAAAAUAGUAAUAGAAGGUACCUCCCUUGAAGUAGUGGUUAAAUGAGGUGGAAUUUGUUCUAUUUACACCCCAAAAUCAAUAAAAUAGUCAAGAAACCAAUUUAAUUGACAAUUUAAAAGAAAAUGUAAACAUAUAGCAAAAUUCACUCUAUUAUUCCAAAGAAAUAUGAAUAAACAUAAAAUCCCUAAAAUUCACCGAUUAAAUGCAACUAAAUGAAGCAUGAUUAGCAAUUAAAUGAGAUGAAUAAUUGUAAUUAAGAAAUAAUAAAAAUUAGGGAUCUAAUUGCAAAAAUUUGAAAAGUUUUUAGGGUCAAAUUACAUUUUUGAAAAAAUUAGGGGUCAAAAUUAAAUAAAAGAUAAAGUUUAGGGAUCAAAUGCAAUUAAAUUAAGCAUAUAAUUGAAAGAAAUACAAUAUUUUAGGGUCACAGUGAAGUUGUUCAAAAGACUAGGAGCUUAAUUGCAAAUUCCGUUUCUGGUUUCUCAGCGCCAGAAGGCCUUUGUGCCAUUUCUUUCUUCUUCCUUUGUUUUGGCUUGGGCCGAAACGCCUUGGCCCAACAGACUAGUCCAUUCAUUUUAUCAAGACCAAUCCAACACAAAACGUUGGGCUUGAACUAUAAAACCCAUACGUGAACCCAAGUAAAAAUUAAGUCUUGGCCUAUGUUUUUUAGCCCAUGACAUAUUUCAAUAAACAUUUAUGGCCGAAAUCUGAUCAAAUCUAAUAAAACAAAACAAGAAAAAUUAGAGGAAAAAUAGGAAGAAAAAAAUCAAGAACAUUCCUGCGAGUUUGAAUUUUUCGACGGGUCGACUCACCGAAAACUAGAAAAAUUCAUGCCAAAGUGGCUGGAAUCUCGCCGAAACCCCAUUUUUCAAGCUUUUAAGUACGGAUUUUUACAUAUACACGAAAUUCAUGUCAUUUUGGACUCAAAUAAAUAUCAAACAAAGUUCAAAAAUCACAUAAUCAUAGAAAAAUAUGGAUCAAAGUCUCUUGAAUAUAAUCUCUUAUAAGAACACUCAAAUCUCUUACAUGAAUGUCGAAUAAGGUAAGGGAAAAUCAUGGGAAUACCUGAAAAUGAUAUUGGAUGAGAUUAGAACAAGAAAACACGGGGGGGAAUGAGAUUUCUUGAAUCUUCAAAAAAAAUUGCAGCAAUACAGGUGAUGACGAACCCGUAAUUUUCAGGCUCGAUUCGAAGGGUUUCCUAAUGUUUUUUGGGAAAACUUUCUAAACGAAACCUUCUCUAAUGAUUCCCUAGAUUACCCCGUAAAAAAAAUCUCUCCUAAAGGAGUUGUAUCGAAGGAGAAAAUUGAGCUCGAAGGUGGCUGGUCGGCCAGCCUACUUUUUUGAAAAAAUUUCUGCAACCAGAAUUUUUUUUCCUUCUCUUGCCUUUUUCUCUCUUUUCUUUCUCGCCCUCCCCAGAUUUUUGUGCAGAAGACUUUCUUUACCUCCCCUUUCUCUCCAGAAACUCUUUCUCUCCUUUUUAAAUGAGAUUAAGUGGCAAAAACCCUCCUUUCAAGGGUGAGGAUGAGACGGGUUUUGUUGGCUCAUUUGAUAAGUUUUGACAGUUGUUUCCUUGCUAGAUUUUUUAUGAUUAGAUGUCCAAGUACUUAUUAAACUUGGAGGGAAAGAGAUAAAAAGCAAAAUUGAAUUUUGUUGUCUCAAAACCAGAUUCUGGUACUAUUUUGUUGUUGUCAUUCGUUGUUGCAAUUGCAGCAAUUUUUUUUUUUUUUAAGGAAAACAUAGGAAUGGGCUAAUGGGCCAUUUUUGUUUCCAUUUUCUUCCAAGCUUUUUGUGGGUUUUAUUUUGGGUUUUAAGGAAAUUUGGUUAGGUUAAAACCAAAGAUCCUCUACUAUUUUUCUAAUUUCAUAUUUCUUUUCUUUUCUUCAUUUUCCAAACAAAGCAAAAAAUGAUUUUACAAAAAAAUAAAAAUAAAUAAAUAAAUAAAUAAUCAAAAUUUUGGUGUCUAUAGUUUGCUCCUCUUUGUCUGAGUUUCGAAAAUUCUCAAGACAAAGACGUAGAUACCAAAUUAUUUAUCUGUCUGCUUUAGCUGCAACUGAAUCAAAACAAACAAAGUGAAUAAUUUUAAAACAAGAUUGAAAUUAGUGAAACUGGCAAGCGUUUGAAUUGAUCAGCGGAAUCUAACUCAGUCCCAAACAAGUAGUGAAAAUUUGUAAAAUUAUUUUGAAACUAAAUUAAUUGGUGGGAUAUAACCCAAGCCCCAAAUGAUUAGUAAAACCUAAUAGAUUAGUGGGAUAAAAUUCGAACCCAACAAAUGAAAGAUUGGUGGAUAAAAUCCAAACCCAACAAAUAAAUGAUUGGUGGGAUAAAAUCCAAAUCCAAUAAAAUAAAAUCCAAAUCCAACAAAAUAAACGGUUGGUGGGAUAAAUCCAAACCCAACAAAAUAAUUGGUUGGUGGGAUAAAACUCAAACACAACAAAAUAAACGGUUGGUUGGAUUAAAUCCAAACCUAAUAAAAUAAAUGGUUGGUAGGAUAAAAUUCAAACCUAACAAAAUAAAUAGUUGGUGGAAUAAAAUCCAAACCCAACAAAAUAAACGGUUAGUGGAAUAAAACUCAAAUCUAACAAAAUAAACGGUUGGUGGGAUAAAAUCCAACACCAACCCCAACAAAUAAACCGUUGUUUGGAUAAAAUUCAAAACCAACAAAAUAAAUGGUUGGUGGGAUAAAAUCUAAACUCAAAAAAUGAACGGUUGAUGAGAUAAAAUCCAAAUCCAAUAAAUAUGGUGGGAUAAAAUUCAAACCCAACAAAACAAAUGGUUAGUGGAAUAAAAUUCAAACCCAAUAAAAUGAACGAUUAGUGAGAUAAAAUCCAAACCCAACAAAUAACAGGUUUGUAGGAUAAAAUCCAAACCCAACAAAUAAAAUGUUGGUAGGAUAAAAGUCAAAUCCAACAAAUGAAAGAUUUGUAGGAUAAAACCCAAAUUCAACAAAAAAAAAUAGAGAAAUGAAAAUGCAUUCCAAUUAAAAGAAAAGGUGUGAAGCGAUUUUGCUAUUUCUCUAAUCAACUAUUGAACUCGCUUAUAGAAUCAGAUAUCACCUUUAUGAAAAAUUUGCCUAGCGUGGAUCAGAUUCAACUAAAAAAGUGUUGUUCUUUCUCUCCCUUCAAGUAGGCAUGCGUAAUUUAAUCCUACAAAAGAAAAUGAAAACAACUGCAAUGAAAUAUAAUGUCACCACCGUGUGAUCCCUCGAACCUUGAGGGCCAUGUAAACAUGAGUCUUUUAAAUAUCGAAAAAUUGUCCGAUUAAGAAAUAUUGUGCAAUCUGAUCCUGAUCUGUUAGCAUCUGUACUCAACCAACCAUACUUAUACCAUGAGACAUACAUGUCUAUACACUCAUUAUAAUAAAUUAUGAAACUUGUCUUUUGGCGAAACAUAUAAAAUAUUUUAAACAAAAUUGUUCCAUGCAAUGACAAAAAAUAGAGUAAAAAUGAUUUCAAUGAGAAAACGAUUCUUAUUAAGUUUAUGAAAAGUGACUUGAAGACUCAGAUACAAAUUUGAAUGGCCAGUCUAUGAUGAGAGAAAUGCUACAUUUGACGUCUUCUAAUUCACUUUUCUAAAAUUUAGUGUUGCCAGAAAAGUCUCAGUAUGAAGAGAAACCCAAAUAAACAUAGUCACCAGCUAUUCAACAAUCGACCCUCUAUUUUUCAUUCAUGGCUGUCUUUAUAUUUCAAAACCCUACUUUAGCGCGGUUUUUAGUUUUCAUUAAUGUUGUUCCUGCCCAUUUUUUUCUUUAUUUUUGCUUUCUCUUUAUUUUUUUUUCUUCUUUCCCUUUUUCUUUUUUUCUUUUCUUUUCUUUUUGAAGAGGCGGUCUUUUGGAUUUUCACCUAAUUAAAAAUUUAAUGACAACCUCUAUGAAUUCAGAAAUAAGUUUCAAAAUUGAUGGCAUCAAUGAGACAAUUAUUCCCUUGCAAAUUUGGUGAAUUUGUAUUUACAUCAUCUGCCAUUCGAUUAAGAAAUUUUCUAUUAAAAAUACUGUCAAAGGUGAAAGUCGGGAGCUUUUGGGCUAUUGUAAUGGGGGUCAGGUGGGAUUUUAAAAAAUUUUAAGGUUCGAAAGCAGAUUUUUUAAUGAUUUUUUAAAAUCAUGGGACCGCAUCCUAUAAAAAUUUGCCCCAAUAUAGGGUCAUUAAAACUAAAAAAUUAUCCCAGUUUGAAUUUUGACUGGGUUUUCUUCUCCUUUAUUUUGUAUGUUUUCACUCUUUUCCAUUCUUUUAAACCAGAUGGAAAAUAAAAUCUGCGGGUUUAUGAUCCUCAAGAAGCUACCAAAUGAAAGAGUAGAUCAUUUCGGAGUUUAAAGGGGAAAAGUAAGGGUAAAAUGUUUAAAGGGACAAGAAGAAGGUCAACCUUUUAGUCCACUCUAUGCAGUGUCUCAAAACGAAAACUUACAUAAUCAGAUCAAGAACUUUUUGCACAUAUCUGAAUUAAUUGGUUGAGGAAAAACUUGUCCGUCUAUCUCCGUAAGAAUAAGCGCUCCUUCGGGUAAUACCUUCUUAACAAUAAAAGAUUCUUACCAAUUUGGAGCAAAUUUUCCUUUAACUUUAUCUUGAACAGGGAGGAUUCGCUUCAGGACCUUGUCUCCUAUUUCGAAUAGGCGAGGUUUGACUUUUCUUAUUGUAAACACAAGUCAUUCGCCUUUAAUAACAUUGUCCAUGAUAAACAACAUUUAACCGUUUUUUGUGAGGACCCGUAAAUUUUCCUUAUUUUUAUAUUAUUUUAUUUUAUUUUCUUGUAUGCAUUUUCUUCAUUAUACCUUAUUAUAUUGAUUUUUUCAGACAUUUUAUAAGUGAGUAGAGUUUUUAAAUCAUUUUCCUAAUUUAAGUUAGUUCAUAUUCAGUUUGAAGCUUAUUAUGGAUAUGGGGCCCGCUAGUGCGCCAAGUGCAAUAAAUUUUUACCGAUUAAUUGAAGUUUUGUAUAAAGGAAUAUUACUGUACAAGGUGCUAGGAGACAAUUAGAGGUUAGCUAGAUAAAUUACUUUUGGUAGACAAAAGGAUAAAAUUAAAACCCUAAAGGACCAUUUGUCACAAAACCAUUGGACCUUGACUUUUGACCAAGACUUUUUUUUGAUCUUUAUCUUGGAAAAAUUGGACAAAAUUUCUUCAUUUCUUUCUUCCUCUUGGCCGACUUCCUUAGCUAGAAAAGAGAGAGAGAAAACCUCAACUUCAUCCUCCAUUCCAUGCUUGAAUCUUGAGUUUUAACCGUUAGUUUUGGAAACUACACCAUACAAGUGCUUAUUAAGGAGGAACAAAGGUCUUGGUGGAGUGAUUUUUGUAGAAGAAACCCUAAGCUAUCAUCUUUCCUCUAGUUUCAAGGUAAAUUCCCUAGAAAUUUCUUUUUACUUUUGAUAAUUGUCAAUUAGUGGAUUGGAGAGGUUAAAUAUGUAGUUUUGUGGACAAAUUUAUGGUUUGAAGUAGGGGCAUGGUGAAUUUCAGUUUUUAUAGUAAAUUUUCUGUCCUCAUAUGAUGAUUGAUGUUUAGCCAUGAUUUGGUAGUUUUUAUGAGUAAUUUUGAGCUUGAAAAUGCUAGUUUUGCUUGCCUUCAAAGAAUUUCAGCUAGAGUGCAUAAAUUUCAGUUUUAAGGUUUCCAAUUUGCCUUGUUCUGCACCAUAUUAGAAACCGAAUUAGGCUUAGCACAAAACAUGAAAGUUGUAGGAAAUGAUAUUUUAUAGCUGUCUAUAAAAUUUCAGCUUGAUCUGAGCACUGUAUCAUAUGAAAUGACCGAAAUACCCUUGACUGCCCAUAAGCCCUGUUUCGCGGACAGUUUUGUGUCUUCCUGGAGAUUUCAAUUUUUAACUUUGAAAAUGCAUGAUUUAGCUUUGGAGGCCUUCAUAAGAUAUGUAGGUAUAUGUCUUGGCUUCGAAACGCCAUAAGAUACACCUCAAUCGGACUUCGGUAGCCUGAGUUAUUGUCAUUUAAUCAUAGUGCGGUUAACUAGUCUGAUUGUGAGAUGCUAGUUCUGUAAUUUGAAAUUUUGACCUGGAUACACUACGAACUGGAUUGAGUGGUUUUCAUCAAAGUUGUAGUCUUUAUCUUAGCUUCGAAACGGUAUAAAUUGCUUCCCAAUCUGAUAAGCGUAGCUUUGGUUGUGUCUGUUCCGCUAAGCGACGUCAAAUCUGUCUUUUGUUUUCUGACUUAAACUUCAUUUCUGGACAUUUUCCUAGCUUGAAUUUGUACUUGUACGACUUUGAGCCUAUUGAACGGCUAUUGAAAUGAGAUUAUUUUGUGUGUGACUUUGGGAUUGAUUGAGGAAAACAAUGAAGCCAUAAAUGGCUGGAAAAUAGGUAAAUACAGAGAGCAUACUGCCCAAAAUUUUAGAGCUACACAAUUCCUUCAAGUUGAGUUGAUCUUGGUAAAAAUAAAGGGUUUUCGGAGUUGUUUGUAACCCUAGGACCAACUGUUAUCUUUUUGCUCAAAAGUCAUAUUCUAUUAUUUUGUACUAGUACUUAACCUAGGAAGGCAUACGACUUGUAGUCGAGCCUCAUUGAUGCUUUUCAUUUACUGGGUUUGUGGAUGUGCGAACUAUAAUUGUUUUAUCUUGAUUAUUUUAGGGUUUCUUGGCGAUUAAAGCCACUUUGGGUAAAAACUUUUGAAGUAUCUGUAUUGGAAUCGGUGAGUGUACCACUUCCCUCAUUUGUUGCUUAACUUGGUUUCUGCACCUGCAAUCUGUGAUUUGAAUGACUGUACUAUCUGUUUAUUCUGUUUGAGACAAGGGUAUACUUUAUCACUCGUUCUCUUGUCUGUCUAUAUGCCAAUUUACUGUGUGUAAUCUGUUAUCUGUAUUUGAAUCUGUUCGGACGUCAUUUGGAGGCUAGUAUCCAACGACCUUUCUGUGACUCUAAGCUCAACACCUGUGGCUAGUUACUCGAAUCGGGCCGACAAGGGCCUAGUCGAUUAGAUAACGAACCACGGUAUUCUGUUUCUGGGAAUCUUUGAGUAUUGAGACUCUUGAUUCCAGUAUACUCGAGUAUUACCACUUCUGUUUCUAUUGAGGUGUUCGGGUCCGGUAAGGGAUAUAUUUGGUGGACAGAAGUUGGUGUAAAGUGGGGUCUACGGACAUGGUUGUUCUUUAUACGUUGACGGAGAGUCAACGAGUUUGGUUCAAGUACGGCAAUGGGAAUUUUGGCUCCUAAGAGCCACCUGUAUCCUUUCUAUCUAAGGUGUCUGUUCAUUUCUCUAUGUGAUAUGCACAUGUGACUAAUUGAACUUGAAAUUCCAUGAUUCUUGACUGCUAUUAUUUUGGUACCUCAUUGAGCGUAAUCUCACCCCCUUCCCGUUAUCUUUGUUUUCCUUUCAGGGGCAAACUUUGAAUCCUUGAUUUUGGAAGAAAGGGUCGAGCUAGUGUAAAUAUUAUUUUGUUGAGCUCUUUUGUAACCGAAACCCGAAUUGUAUUUUUAAUUGUAUGAAUACUUUCGUUUGUACUUUAGUUUAGUUAAUUUGUUAAAGACUCCGAUGUAAAUAUAUGUAUAAGUGUUUAACCUAUUAAGUGUAUUCAUUUGAGAUAUUAAGAUUUUAUGAUUUGGUAAGCAUGUUUUCACCUUAGUAGUUUCCGAUUGUUCGUUUUCUUUGGAUCCUAUCACGCGUAUUAUUGGGUUUGUGUGAUUCAACUCCGUAGUCUUGGCGAGAAUUGGGCAGGCGGUUCGCCGAACCCUUUGGUUCGCCUUAGGGUGAGGUGGGGCUGUCACAGGUGGUAUUAGAGCCGCUUCGCGUGGUCUCUACGCGGAGUGAGUUUGGGCCAAGUGGUGUUAUGGUCCCGAUUGUGUGAAUAAGUAUAAAGGACUUAGUACUUUUUGUUGGGCGUAGGCUAUUAAUCGUGUCCGUUAUAAGUGUAAAUCCCUUAUUGUGGUACUUACAAAAGAUAGAUAUGUAUGUCGGGUAGGAAUCUUUAAUAGGAAUGAUUUACGCUUGGGACAGGCCGACUCGAGUUGUGAAUUAUCUUCUUUGGGAUUCUUGUACCCGGCUACUAAAGAGACGAGAGCCUAGGUUAGAAAGGACUUGGGCGAACUAGAAAUAUGAUUCUAUGAAACUUCGUGUGAUUUGUUCGGGUGUCAUUAAGUAUGAGUAACCCUAUCUAAGAUAGGAAUUGUGUUAUUCUCAUAGAGUAUGGAUGGAACCCUAGAGGGGGAAAGCUUUUCGUUAGUUGCUUUUCAACCUUUGGCCUAUUUGGUAUAUAGUACUUUUGAUGACCCUGAUACUUUCAUGGAAUUCCCUUUUGCUUGUAUCUAACUGACUACUACCGUGUGAUUUAUUUGAUAAAGUUGUGUUAGGUAUAUAUGUUUUUGAUCUGUGUGUACUUUUUGUUACUUACUUAUGUAUAUAAUUAUCUUUAAUGUUAUAUCCACGCUUCAACCCUAGAUUGGUUAGACAAAUUGAGGAUAUUCGUAGUGGACGAGGUCGCAGGCGCGGACGUAUGCAACCCUCGAAUGAAAGGGGUAAUCGGGAACCCACGCCUGAACCAAACCCUGAGUCUAGUAUUGACCCAAAUGCUCAGGUAGCCGUUGCUAUCCAGCGCAUGACCGAUCUGCUAGCCCAUAUAGUGGAACACUAGGGUCAAAACCCUAAUCCUCAACCUGGAAACCCUGGUAACAAUGUAGAUAAUGCAUACACGUUUGAAGUGGUUCUUUCAAAGGGAAGGAUUAAAUACCAAUAAAUAUGCAUGGAGAUUCUAGAAUAGCUAUAACCCCCACCCAAGAUGCAAAGCACGAUACAAGUAUAUAAAUAUAAGUAAAUAAAUAAAAGUAAAUGAACAAAUCAUUCAUUGCACACAUGGAGAGUGAGAGACAAUUGUGCGUGUGAAAUCCAAAAAAAAAAUCCUAAAAAAAGUAAAAGAAAAAUAAAAAUGCAAUUUAAAACAUCCCAAUGUAAUAUGUAAAAAAAAUUAGAAAAAGAAAAAAUCAACUAAAUCAAGUGUUUGGACUCACUAGAAUUUUCAGUGGAGUUGCCAAAGCUGUCGCGCCCCAAUUUUAAAAAAUAAAAGAGAAAGUGGUGCCAAAAAAUGAAUUUUUCAUUUUUAGAAAAUAAAGAAAAUGGGGCUAAAAUAGAACAUAGAAAAUGUGACGGUUUGAACCCAAAAUAAUAGUUUAAAAAAUGAGUUUUUAGAAAAAAGUGGAGCCGCCACUUGGUAUUAAAUUUAGGUGUAUCAAAUCACCCAAAAAUAUAUUUUAAAUAAAUAAAAAAUGACAAAUAAAAUUUUUUUUAGAUGACUCCAGAUCUUUGAAACCAAGAAAAAAGAGUUCAAGAGUUACGGUUGAAAUAAUGCGACGGUUUUUAGAUGACACCCUUUCAACCUAACCAAGAUUAGUUAUGAAAUUUAGUUGAAAAUUUUUCUAAUCUAACUUAUAAAACUUAUCACAUUAGAAUGUUUCUAUAUGGAUGCAAAUCUAGACCUAAGGGGUAUCGGGAGGGUCGGAAUGUCUUUUCAAAAUUUAAUUGGUACCAAUCACAUUAAUUGCAAUGUUCAAUAGUGAUUUUUUGAAGAGGUCACAAAUAUGCAAAAGAUGAUAUUCGAAAAAAAAGAAAAAUUAUAAUAUAUAAAUAUACAUGAUCUAAAAGAGAGGAAUGUAACAUAACGGGUAUGGAAGACUAAAAUUUGUGACACAAUUUUCCUUCUUAUAGAGAGGGAAAGAGCGUGUUAAGGUUAAGAAACCACACUUGUUCAUUUUCCAUAUUUAAAGAGUGACUCUUCUAAUCUAGUCAAACAAAUAGGCUAACCUAUUUCUAAUUUUCUAAAUGAGAUGCAAUUUUAACUGAUAUGGUCCAAACAUAUAGAGAGUAACGGAAUAAUAGUAGGGAAAAUAUCAUGCAACUGAAAAUAACCUAAAAAUAGGAAAAAUGUAUGAAAUUUAAUAAAUGUCACAUAAGGUAUGAAUCUAGCGCGAAAACAGUCUAAAGAAUCUAACAUUGGACUAACCCAUUUCUACAAAUCCUUACUAGCGUUAGACUAGUGAGAAAUCGAGAAAAAAGGCCAUAACUAGCAUUGGACUAGUGUGAUGUCGUCAUGCAUUUAUUAUAAAUAAAUAAAAUAUAUAAAACAUGAUUGAAACAAAUAAACACAUAAAACACAUAGAGUACACAACACAUAUGCAUAAUAUUUAGAUGCAAAAUUUUAGAGACAGUGAAUAAAUAUAUAAGCACACAAGCACAUAAGCAUGUAAGCAAAUAAAAACUAGUUAAAACAUUGAGGACCCUAACUAUAAUCUAGAAGGGAAAAUUUCGAAAAUAAUAAACCUAUCUAUUACAUUUAUCUAACUAAUUAUAUUUUUGACAAAAAUAAAAUAUAUCUAUUACGUGGUCUAACUAAAUAUAUUUUUUGGACACCUAUCUAUUACGAUUUGACAUUUAAAUGCCUCCUAAAUAAUCAUAAAAAAUUAAAUAAAAUAAAUAAAAACUUAAAAUAGAUACAAUGAGUAAAUAAAAGAAAAAGCAUUCAAAACAUGAAAUCACACAUAAAAAAAACACAUAGGAGCACAUAACAGAACUUAAAAUAAUAAUAGAAAAUACCUCCUUUAAAGAAGUGAUUAAAUGAGGUGGAAUUUGUCCUAUUUACACUCCAAAAUUAACAAAAUAGUCAAUAUACCAAUUUAAUUGACAAUUUAAAAGAAAAUGUAAACAUGUAGCAAAAUUCACUCUAUUAUUCUAAAGAAAUAUGAACAAACAUAAAAUUUCUAAAAUUCACCAAUUAAAUGCAUCUAAAUGAAGUAUGAUUAACAAUUAAAUGAGAUGAAUAAUUGUAAUUAAGAAAUAAUAAAGACCAGGGACCUAAUUACAAAUAAUUUUGAAAUUUUUUAGGGUCAAAUUAUAAUUUUUGAAAAAUUUAGGGGUCAAAAUUAUAUAAAAGAUAAAGUUUAGGGAUCAAAAUGCCAAUAAAUUAAGGACCUAAUUGAAAGAAAUCCAAAAUUUUAGGGUCAUAGUGAAAUUGUUCAAAACUUUAAGGGCUUAAUUGCAAAUUCUGUUCCUAGUUUCUCAACGCUAGAAGGCCUUUGGACCAUUUUCUUUCUCUUUCCUUCAUUUUGGUCUGGGCCGAAACACCUUGGCCCAGCAGACUAGUCCAUUCAUUUUAUCAAGGCCAAUCCAACACAAAAUGUUGGGUUUAAACUAUAAAGCCCAUACGUGAAGCCCAAUUUCUUGGCCCAGGUUCUUUUAGCCCAUAACAUAUUUCAUUAAACAUUUAUGACCUAAAUCGGAUCAAAUAUAAUAAAACAAAACAAGAAAAAUCGGAGGAAAAAUAGAAAGAAAAGAAAUCAAGAACAUUCCGACGGGUCGACCUGCUAGAAACUGAAAAAAUUCCUGCCGAAGUGGUCAGAAUCUCGCCGAAAACCUAUUUUUUAAGCUUUUAAAAAUUGAUCUUUACAUAUACACGAAGCUCAUGUCAUUUUGGAUUCAAAUAAACAUCAAAUAAGGUUCAAAAAUCACAUAAUCAUGGAAAAAUAUGGAUCAAAGUCUCUUGAACAUAAACUCUCAUAAACACACUCAAAUCUCUUGCAUGAAUGUCGAGUAAGGUAAGGAAAAGUCAUGGGAAUACUGAAAAUGAUUUUGGACGAGAUUAGAACAAGAACACGUGAGGGGAAUGAGAUUUCUUGAAACUUCAAAAAAUUUCGCAACAACACCGGUGAUGACGAACCUGAAACUUGAGGGCUCGAUUCGAAUGGUUUUCUAAUGUUUUUUAGGAAAACUUUCUAAAUGAAACCUUCUCUAAUGAUUCCCUAGAUUACCCCAAAACAAAAAUCUCUCCCAACGGAGUUGUAUUAAAGAAGAAAAUUGAGCUCGAAUGUGGCUGGUCAACCAGCCUGCUUUUUCCGAAAAAAUUUCUGCAACCAAAAUUUUUUUUCCUUCUCUUGCCUUUUUCUCUCUUUUCUUUCUCUUCCUCCCCAGAUUUUUGUGCAGUCAACUUUCCUUACCUCCCCCUUCUCUCUAGAAAUCCAUUCUCUCCUUUUUAAACGAGAUUAAGUGGCAAACACCCUCCUCUCAAGGGUGAGGAUGAGAUAGGUUUUGUUGGCUCAUUUUGGGCCAUUUGAUGAGUUUUGAUAGUUGUUUCCUUGCUAGAUUUUUGAUGAUUAGGUGUCCAAGUACUUGCUAAACUUGGAGGGAAAGAGAUAAGAAGCAAAAACAAAUUUUGUUGCCCCAAAACCAGAUUCUUGUACCAUUUUGUUGUUGCCAUUCAUUACUGCAAAUGGAGCAAAAAAUUUUUUUUAUUUUACAAAAAACAUAGGAAUGGGCUGAUGGGCCCUUUUGUUUCCUUUUUCUUCCAGGUUUUUUGUGGGUUUUAUUUUGGGCUUUGAGGAAAUUUGGUUGGGUUAAAACAAAAGAUCCUCUACUGUUUUUCUAAUUUUGAAAAUUCCAUGUUUCUUUUCUUUUCUUCAUUUUUCAAACAAAACAAAAAAUGAUUUUACUAAAAAUAAAAAAAAAUAAAUAAAUUAACAAAAUUUUGGUGUCUAUAGUGGAUAAGGAUUGAGAUUUACCACAACAAAGCCAAUACAUGUCAACACACAAAGGGAGUAUCUCUUGCUAAUUCUUGCCUCCUUCUAUAUUGAGAAAAAUGUGAAAUUUAAGUGUAGAGGAAAGGGCUUUGAAUUUGAAUUUGGUCCUUUCAUGCUUGUUGAUAUGGGUGUAUGUGUAAGGUAUUUUGAGAUUAUUAUUAUUAUUAUAUGUGCUAAAGAUUUUGAUUUUGGAAAACUUAAUGUUUUAUAAAGUAGAGUUUAUCAUGUCAAAAUUUUUUAAAAAAUUCAUGAAAUAUAUUAUCCAUGGUUUGAUGAUUUAAGUUGUAUGAUUAAUAUAAUUGAUGAAUAUCAGAUUUAGCUUAUGAUUAUCAUCUUAGUUCUAGUUUUCUUGCAAGGUACAAGUAAUGAGGUUUUUCUUUUCUCAAAAAAGAAAAGGAAAGUUUAUAUGAUUGAUGUGCUUAUAAGCAUCUACUCCACUGGUUCUAAGUACUUAGCAACUGGGGGUCUUCAUAUAAAAAUGUCAACUUUCGCAUAAAAUGGUACUAGAAUUAUGAGUAUGCAAAGCAAUGAGAGUUUGUGAUUUGAUUAAGUAAUUAUGAGCAUUCCUCUACCAAUGUUUGCUUUCAAAUCAAAAGGUAAGCUCACCUCUUGCAUAAGACUUAAAAAGAAAAGGGUAAAAUACACGGAACCCCCUUAUAGUUUCGUGAAAAGACGCCUUACCCCCCUAUCGUUUAGAAACCUCCACAUAAACAUCCUAAACUUCAUAACUAAAGUGGAAAUUGACCUAUAACUGGAUGUGCGACCUAGUGAUGAUGGGUAUGCGAGGUUCUUUUGAAAAAAUCUUGAGUUUCAUUCCCAAGCUACCCUUCAGUUGCUAUAUUGAAGUGACAUAUUAGGAUAGAAGAGAUUUGAAGCUAUCAAAGAGUGAAAGGAAAAAGGGAGCAGAUCUAAGGUAUAUUGAAGUCGCCAUGUCCACUUCUGCAAAUUUUGGAGGAGGUUUGACAGAUCUAAGGUAUGAAUGGUAUCAGUGCUUCUGCAAGAAAAGAGUAAAAAUCAAGAUCGUGGAAUCGAACAAACCCUCAAAAGGUAGGUUGUAUUACAUUUGUGAAGAUCAAUUCUGCUCCUUUUGGGCAUGGUGCAAUCCUGUAAGAAAGGAUGGAAUGGGCAAUGAACGUACUAGUCAAAGUCCAGAAACAAGAGUAGACGAAAGUUGUGGGUUCUCUCCAAGAGUGAACAGUAAUGAAGGUAUGCUGGCUGUGACCAAUGGUGACAUUUUGUUGGAGCUACAUGCAAAAUUGAACACGGUUAAAGGCACCGUGGGGAUGUUGAAAGUGAUAAUGAUUUUGUCCUUUAUUGUUUGUUGUUUAUCUCUACUUAUUGCUGCUUAUAGAAAUUAGUAAUUUGGUUAGUGGCAGCAUAUGAUGUGCCAAAUAAUGUAAUGAUUUUAGUUUAUGAAAAAAUUCCAAAUUUUGUCAUGGUUUGUAUUCCUUAAUGAAAGAAGAUAAUAACUAUACAACCUGUUUACUCAUGAACCAUUAGUAAUUUGGAUAGUUAUAAUAUGAUAACCACAAUCCAAUAUAUGGCAUUACAAAAAAGAGCAAUAAUGCCAAUAAUGUCAUUACAAAUAACUAAUAACGAUCCCAAUAAUGUUAAAGGAUUAAAAAGUUGCUUCACUUACAAAACAUGUUAAACCAUUACAACUUGUUUACAUCGACACAAGUUCUAAAAAUAAUAUCCAUAAAUUCCUGAUCCUAAUUUUUCGUAGAUCUUUUGGAUCGAGAAUUGGGUUGUUAUCACUAACUGCAGCAGUACUGCUUUGCUGAGAUAUUUGAUGCACUGGUACUUCUCUGGUUGGGGCUGAAGUGGAAGCUGUUGUUGCCCCUUGCAGGUUAUUGCUUGCUAGAUCCUGCAACCAAAUACAAAAUUUACUGCUGGAAUAAUUAUCAAGAGUACAUAGUGCUGAAAAAUUCAUGUACUUAAAUGUACCUUGUACAACUUGGAUUUGGGAUGAGGAGGUUCCUUUCAAGUUCUCCUAUUAUGGCCAGCUUUUAAACAUCUCUUACAGUAUAGUGUCAACGCCUUUUUGGAAGCUCUUUGUGGAUCUCUCGGUUCAUCAGGACCUCUUCUCCUAAGUUUUUUAGGUCUCCCAGGUUUUUUCUUCACAAAUGGUGGAUUUAAUAGCUGCAUUCCACUAUCAAUCCAGUGUUCUUUGGAUGGAACAGCUCCAAUGCUAUAAGCAUAUGCCCUCAAGUAUGCCUCUUUACUAUAGAACUCAUCGACAUAGUUUUCAACCUUCAUCCGCAUGCUUUGAAUGGCAAAAAUUGCAUGCACACAUGAAAUUCCAGUCAAUUGGAAUGCACCACAUGAACAGCUUCUAUGUUGCAAAUUCACAACAGAGGUUCUGUUGAAACCAUCAACCUCAAAGGAGUCAAUACCAUCAAAUACAGCAAUACAAUGCCUGCUUUUCUGUACACUUUUGGCUAGUUUCUCAAUAAUGUUUGGACAAAAUUUGCCUCCAUAUUUCUCCAUGCCUUGUCUCUUCAAUGUCAAUCGUUGCAUUACCUUUCUUCUGAAAAAUUCAAAAAGAGUCACAAUUGGCUCGUCUCUUGCUUUUGAAAUGUAGUUGUUGAAACUCUCAUUCAGGUUGUUGACUGAAAUAUCAGUCUUAACAGCUAUUCCAUAAUGUGCUCUAGACCACAAGUGAUAUGACAGCCUUUUUAACCAAGCAGCAGUAGUAAGGUUCUCUCCAUUUUGUAGCUGAGCUAUCUCCAAAGCAGUCAAUGCUCUCUUGAAAUCAUCAACAAUAGUUGUUGAUACAGUAGCCCAAAACAAUUCCCUCAGUUCACUGUCUUUGAACUUUGCCUUAAAAUUCUCAAGCAGAUGCUUAAGGCAAAAUCUGUGUUCUACACCAAGAAAUAGCUCCUCUAUAGCAUGUACUAGGCCUUUUUGCUUGUCAGAAAUGAAGAUAUAAGGCCCUACGUUGCCCCUUCCAAUAUGAGUAAUCAGCUCCUUCAAAAAUCAAGUUCAGUUAUUAUAGUUUUCUGCUUCAACAAUGGCAAUGGCUAUGGGAAACAUAUUGUCAUUCCCAUCCCUUCCAAGUGCUGCUAACAGUUGACCUCCAAAGGGACUCUUCAAAAAGCAGCCAUCUAGGCCAAUGAUUGAUCUACAACCUGCAAGAAAGCUCUUUUUAAGAGCACCCAAGCCAUAGAUCAGCCUUUGAAAUGUUGCCCUUUGCUCAAUAGACCUCCUAUCUAUUUGUAUAGCUAUAUGACUGUCUGGAUUUGACUAUCUAACCGUGGCAGCAUAAUCCCACAGUCGUUCAUAUUGCUCCAUAGCACAACCUUUGAUUGCCUCCCUGACCUUCCUCUUAGUCCUGUAUGCUUUUUUGCUACUUAUAUUAACCAUGAAUCUUCUUUUGGCAUCAUUAAUAAUGCCAUCCAAGCUGCAAUUAGGGUCAUCUCGAACCUUCUCUUGAAACUUUCUACUCAGAUAAGUUGAGGUUGCAUGCUUGUAAGUGUACUCUCUGCCGCAAUGGUGAUAUCCCUUUAGUGUUUUGAUUUGAAAAGUAUCAGUCCUAUUAACUCUGCUUACAUGAAUCCUCUAAGAUCAUCAUUUUGCACAUUUGGCAGUUAUCCUCCAACUGUCAUUAUUGACAUAUAAAACUUUAUAUCCCUCUCUAAUGUUCCAUUCCACAAGUGCUUCUCUAAAUUUUGUAAAAUGAGUGAAUUUCUUCCCAACCUUUAAUUCAAAUUUUGGCUUGUUAAACUCCACUACAGCAUUGAAUUAUGAGUAGUCAGGCCCAUUUUCAUCACUAGAAUAUAGGAAGUCUUCAUCUGCAGUCACAGGUUCAUUCCAUUCCUCAGUGUCAGGGCCAAUAGGUUGGUCUUCUCCAUGCUGAUGCUGUGCUGUGGACUCCUCACCUUCUGGUUCCUGAUGUUUUUGCUGCUACUCGUUCAAGUCAUCAGUUUGCUGAUUUGUUUGAGGUAUAGUUGAACCAGUAGUUGCAAAGAUGUCCUCAUCUUCUGCAAAUUCUAGACCCUCUCUCAACCAAUCCGGAUCAGGUUCUUCGUUUCCAUCACUGUGGUGCUAUUCUGUUGAUCUUGAUCCCUAUCUUUUGAUGUUUACAAAACAAAUAGAUGAUACUAAUAUCUCUUCAAGAUAUACUUUCAGUUAUGAAAUUAUUUGAUUCCAUGAACAAGUGCCAUUGAAAGAAGACAAAGGUUGCUGAAAGCUAUCGGACGCUCAAGAAGAGAGUACCGGACGUCCGAUAAUCAUUGCACAACUUCGGACGCAUGCUUCGGACGUCCAAUAGGAUCCUUCGAAGUCGACGAAUCUAUCGGACGCUGAAUAUGUCUCUACCGGACGUCCGAUAGAAACAAGAUAAUUUCUCAAAUCUCUUUGUUUGCUGUCGGACGCACAAAAAGCUUGCAUCGGACGUCCGAAAGAAUUGAAAAAAAUCUCUUAAACUCACUGCCUGCUGUCGGACGCAUAAAAUAGGGCUAUCGGACGUCCGACACUCCAACGGCUAGUUGACUCUUCAGCUACUUUCUAUCCGUUGGAAACAUUAAUGAGGCACUUUCUUGAUCCUAUAUAAAUAGUGAUUGGUCAGAUAUUUCAAACAACUUUUGCACACUAAAGAAACAAAAGAUCUAGAGUGAUUUUAGUGAGAAAAUACUCUUCAAAGAAGAUUUGUAGUCCUAGUAGUGUGAGGUUCAUUGUAAACUUUUCAUUUGUGAGUGAAUACUUCAUGAGUGUAGCUUUGUGAGGGUUGUCCUGAGGGAUAGUAAAACGUCCUGGCUUGACCGAGUGGAGUUCGGGGCAAGGAGAAGGUGAACCUUCCUUUGUACACAAGAGUGAUUGUAAUUCAUCAACUUGAAAUAGCUUGUUUGAAUUAACCUACAAGCUCAAAAGGAGGUGGAUAGUUAAUUGGUUUGCUAUUCUUUCCUUUUUAUUUAUUGUUACGUUUGAAAUCUGUACUUUGUUUAUCUCUUCUACUCACAAGCACUUGUACUUUCUCAUCAACUGCUCCAUUGUGUGGUCGCCUAGAAAAGUGGUUGUCUUCGGGCUUAACAAUUGGUAUCAGAGCUUGGUCUCCUAGAGAUUAAGCUCAAGCGGCUUAGGAGUAAAGAUGACAACCAACAAUUGAUACGAGUCAAGCUAUGCCAUCGGAUAAGGUUCAAGUCCCACUAGGACUGGUUACACGAGCUCGAGCAGUUCAUUCAGCUUCACCGCAGCAAAGACGUUAUAAGGCACAGACACGCUUUAUAAGGAUACGUCUUCUGCCAUUUAAUCGAUUCACCAUAGCAAAGUCAUUAUAAGGUGUGGGCACGCUUUAUAAGCUCAAGUCGUCUGCCCAUCUAGUCACAUUUGCUAUUUUAGUUAAGUCAUUGUAAUAAGGGCUUAAUGGUCCAUAGUCAUGCUUUAAUUACCUAAGCGAUGACCUCAUAAGGUUGUUUACCUAAGGGAUGACCUCAUAAGGUUGUUUACCUAAGGGAUGACCUCAUAAGGUUGUUUACCUAAGGGAUGACCUCAUAAGGUUUGGUCAAGCCUACAAUUGUUAGUCUUAGUCAAGACCACAACUCUAGACUAGUUCCACAUUUAGUUGUUCAUCUCUAUGUAAGGCUAUAAAUAGCCCACACUUCCAAUGGUUUUAGGCAUUCAAUCAAUAAAUCAGAUUUUGAGAGUUUUCUUGGUUUCUCCAAGGCUUCUUGAAUACCUUAGAAUUUCUCUAGGUGUUCGUGACUUAUCAAUCUAGAAUCGCACUAGGUUGUGGCGUCUUCUACCAUUAUACCAAGGUUCGUUAACCACGUGAUUAACGGGUUGAGGUCAUCCGCUCCAAACUUGGUGUCCUCUUGUCGAUCCUGAAUCUAAUCUUUUACGGGUUUCGUCACAAGGUUGGCGACGUUCGUAUCAGUUGGUAUCAGAGCUAGUUAAGAGGUAUCACGUUAUAUCCCUUUAUUUAUUUCCUUUCGAGUCAAGUUGUCCAAAAUUCUGUUUUCGUGUUCUAAGUUUGCUGUUCGCAAUUUCCAGAUUUGUUGCAUCGUGUUCUUGCGUUAUUUUUCCAGAUUUGUUGCAUCGUAAACUUGCGUCUAGUUGUUGUUAAUUGCUUUGGUUAGCCUUGUUUGGUCCAGCCUUUUUUUUGUGUCUUAUUCUUGAUUCUUUGUUUGUGUUUGUGUCUUGUUUCUAUCCUGUUAUAUCCAUUUAAUUCCAGUCUUUUGUUCUAUUUGAUCAUUCGAGGUUACUGUUCAUCCGAAAAAAAAAAAAUCAAUUUGUAGCAAGGGUUUUAGAGUCCUAUCUAGUUAUUACCUUGUGUUCUUGUUUACAUACAAAAAAAAAAAUAUAGCUAGCUAACCUUACAAAAAUUCCUGGAAAUCUGUCUUGAUCAAAACUUGGGUUUCUUGAAGUUCCUGAUUGUUUAAAACCACAAUCUUGAAGUUCUUGGAACUUUAGUUGGGAUUCUUGAAGCCAACCAAAAUCUGUCUUGAUCAAAUCGAGAAAUCUUGGAUUGUUUUGGGAGGAAAUCAUCUUCAAUUUUGUGUUUCUUGAAUUCUGGAAAUUAACAUCUUGAAUUCUUGAAAGAAUCUUGAAGUUUCUGGGUUUUGGGAACCAAAUCUUGGUAAACAACAAGGCUGCAAAAUUCCAGCUGCCAAAAUCCUUGUCGUUCUUUCUUUCUUGAUCAAUCUUCUUUAUUGAUCACCACAACAAUCUUCUUUCUUGAUCAAGAACAUUUAAGCCACAAAAUUUGACUCUUGAAAGCCUCCAGAAUUGACCAUUGAUAAGAAGAAGAAUGUUCAGCCAUGAAAUUUGACUCUUGAAAGCCAGCCUCCCUAAGCCACGAAAUUUGACUCUUGAAAGCUUCCAAAUUUGACCAUUGAUUGUGAUAAAUGCCUUCCUAAAAGCUGACCAUCAAAAAAAAAAAAGAAGAGCACCAAAACAACCAGCAACCCUACUCCAAUUCCAAGUUGGAUUUGAUUAGUUUAGUCCAACUUGAAUAAGGCUGUCCAGAUUUACUUCAAUUUCGUUUUUACAGCCUGUUAAAUCCUUUUUGGGAUAGGAAAAAGGGAUUAGUUCCGGAAUAAUCCAAAAAUUUCCACUAUCCAUUAUUUCCUAAAUUGCUGCAACAAGAGCAAGUGUUGGUGCACUCUUUAGGCAGUUGUUAUUGAGUCAAAUCUUUAUAGCUUUCUUGAAUCAGUUGUUCUGAUUAUUUUUUCCAGUAAUUUCCAGCCAGAGUAGUGUCCAAAUUUCCAGCUCUUGUAUAGCUAGUUUUUGUGUUGCAUAACUAGUAGUCCUUUUGUCGUGCAUCUACGCAUUUUUUUCCAACAAAUUCCAGCAGAUUAUUUUUUUUUCCAGUUCUUUUGAGUCAUUUUUGUCUUAUACCUCCUCAAAUUUCCAGCUUAUAACGAGCCACAUUUGAGUAGAUUCUUGUGCGAAGCUAGUUGAACUUUUCAGGGAAAUUUUCUACUUUCUUCAAGGGAAGCAAGCAGAACCUUGAGAACAUUAGAGUGUUUUAAACACUUGAGUGAUACACGAGUGACGAGUGUAAACAUGUGAGCUUGUGUGGUAAGGAAAAAUAUCUUUUGUUUCACUAAAUUUUUGCAGGUUUCCUCAUACAUCAUGGCGAAUACGAGGCAUUUAAAAGCUAGCUUACAACAUCUUCUUCCUGAUCCUAAGGGAGUCGAAGAAGUGGCAUUACGUGGUGUAAAUGAGCAGUUGGACAUCGUCAAAUCUCAGUUGCAUUGUUGGUUUUAUACUCGUUGUGGUGUCAAAGAUAAAACAUGCAGCUUGGCCAUUGAUAGGAGUUGUGAAGUCAAUCUUGCAAGCGCUAUCAUGGUUCACAAAUUAAAUCUUCCAACCAUUGAUCAUCUUCAACCGUAUAAGUUGUCGAGUGCUCAUGGUGAUGUUUGGGUUACUAAACACACACUUGUACCUAUUCAAAUUGGCAAAUAUGUGGAUGAGGUGUUGUGUGAUGUAGUCCCAAUUCAAGUGACACAUGUGUUGCUAGGUAAAGCGUGGAUGUUGAGGCGAGAAGUUAAAUAUGAUAGACAUACUAAUAAGUAUUCCUUCUUAUUUAAUGGUCGUCGUUCUGCACUUGUACCACUUAUUUAUGACUAAAUUUGUAUUGAUCUAGCAUACAUGAGAAGUGAACAUGAGCGUUAUAGUAUGAAGAAAGAGCUAGAUGAGGGAAUUGUGACUGAUGAGGUAAAAUCUGAGGGAGUUGAAAAGGAGAAAGAGGCUAAGAAUAAUGAGAGGAAAAAGACAGCUAUUGAGCAUGAGAAAGAGAUUGAAAAAUCCAAAGUGUUGACUGAGGAAGCGAAAGAAAGAAGGGAUAAUGCACUGAUUUUAAGUUUCAACAAAAAUGAGAGUGAGGGGACUUAUUGCCAUUCUAACAACCUUAACAUUGCUCUGUCUAGUGUUCCUUGUUUUGUGCAGGUUAAGCAAAGUGCAAUCGUUUUGAUCUUACAAUGUUCCAUCCCAAAGACGCUUGUGCAAUUUGCGAGUUUCCAUGGAGUUUGUCUUCUAGGAGUUAGAUCAAAUUGGUUCCCAUUCAUGGAAUCAGAUAAUUUCAAAACUGUUCACGUCUUUGGAGGAUCAAACUAUGUGUACCCUCAAGACCUUAGAACCGACCAUGUUCCACGAGUUUACACAAGGAGCGAGGUCUUCAAUGGUCACUACAAUACCUAUGCUCAUCUUGCACCUAGUCCACUUGAAGCUCCAACUUCACCAAGUCAGCUUCCAUACUUUGCAAGCUUAUUCAAGUUUGAGGAGUAUGAUUUCAUAGGAUCUACAUCGCAUCACUUUGAGCAUCCUUACCUCAUGAUCACAAGCGAUCAAGUUGGGCAUACAUUGAAACUGGUUCGUGAGAUUCAAGGUUCAACAAUGUUUACUUUCCAGCUUAGCAAGUGGUUUAUGCAUUGGAUGAAAAUUGUGGUAAUCAUAACAAAAUUGACUCGACGGCAUGUAACUCUUCUUAUCAUCAUUCAUGCUUCAAUUUGUGGGCAAAUUGCUUUCAAGAGAAAGGGAAUGAUAUGAGUCAAGCUAUGCCAUCGGAUAAGGUUCAAGUUUUUGGUCCAUCAUGCGUCCCAAUUCGCCUUUGAUUGCUUCUGUGAAAAGUUUAAGAUCAAAAGCUUGGGAGCUUGCUCCCCCCUCGUUAGCCAUGGUGAAGUAUAGGGUAAAAAAAUAACAAUGGAAAGAAGUAAAGUUUAUCUCGCACACUUCCUCACGUGUUUACUCUCGCUCUCAUGUUUGAACACUCUAAUGAACUCACCAAGGUAUUUUCAAGGCUCCUCGGUCAACUCCUCGAAGAAGUUAGAACUCAUUCUAGUGUGGAUCGACUUACCAACCAGGGUCACAAGAUUGUAGCACUUUGAACGAAAAAAGAACAAAAGAUGAAGGGACUGACCACGACUCAAUGAAUGACUCAAAGUUGAAUUUUAAGGAUCCUAGACAAAAUUCUACCCAAAACUGGAAUUUUGAGCUGCUGGUUGCUGCAUUUCUGGGCAGUGUUUUGGUAGAUAAAUGGACACUUAGAGGAUUCAGAAUGACACUUAAAACUGACCUAAUGAUACAUAAAAAUUCCCAGAAUUAAUGAUUGGACAGAAAUUCCCCAAUGGUUGCAAAGAUGGAAUCCGAAUGGAAGAUGAAUUUGUGUUGCGGUAGGACUGUUUUGGAAACCCAAGGCUGACUUUUCUUCCUUAAUCCUUUGGAAACAAGGAUUAGUCUUCCUAUUUGCUGGUUCCCACAAAUUCUAAGGUCAAGUUCAAGAUUGGAACUGAUUUGGUUGUUUUUGGGAACAAGGGUGGAAAAUUUAACUUGAACAGGUUGGAAAAUUUGACUUGAAUAGAUUGGGAAAUUUGACUCUUCUUGGCUGAUUAUAAAACAAAAACAAAGGAAGAAGACCUCAACCCGUUAAUCACGUGGUUAACGAACCUUGGUAUAAUGGUAGAAGACGCCACAACCUAGUGCGAUUCUAGAUUGAUAAGUCACGAACACCUAGAGAAAUUCUAAGGUAUUCAAGAAGCCUUGGAGAAACCAAGAAAACUCUCAAAAUCUGAUUUAUUGAUUGAAUGCCUAAAACCAUUGGAAGUGUGGGCUAUUUAUAGCCUUACAUAGAGAUGAACAACUAAAUGUGGAACUAGUCUAGAGUUGUGGUCUUGACUAAGACUAACAAUUGUAGGCUUGACCAAACCUUAUGAGGUCAUCCCUUAGGUAAACAACCUUAUGAGGUCAUCCCUUAGGUAAACAACCUUAUGAGGUCAUCGCUUAGGUAAUUAAAGCAUGACUAUAGACCAUUAAGCCCUUAUUACAAUGACUUAACUAAAAUAGCAAAUGUGACUAGAUGGGCAGACGACUUGAGCGUAUAAAGCGUGCCCACACCUUAUAAUGACUUUGCUAUGGUGAAUCGAUUAAAUGGCAGAAGACGUAUCCUUAUAAAGCGUGUCUGUGCCUUAUAACGUCUUUGCUGCGGUGAAGCUGAAUGAACUGCUCGAGCUCGUGUAACCAGUCCUAGUGGGACUUGAACCUUAUCCGAUGGCAUAGCUUGACUCGUAUCAUUCCCCUUCUCUUGAAAGCAAUUUGCCUACAAAUUGAAGCAUGAAUGAUGAUAAGAAGAGUUACAUGCCGUCGAGUCAAUUUUGUUAUGAUUACCACAAUUUUCAUCCAAUGCAUAGAAUUGAGCAUCAAAUUGACUUGGGUUUCCAAAAAAAAAAAUCCCACCGCAACACAAAUUCCUUUUCCAUUCGGAUUCCAUCUUUGUAACCGUUGGGGAAUUUCUAAUUCUGGAAAUUUUCGUGCAUCAUUAGGUCAGUUUUAAGUGUCAUUCUGAAUCCUCUAAGUGUCCAUUUACCUACCAAAACACUGACCAGAAAUGUAGCAACCAGUAGCUCAAAAUUCCAGUUUUGGGUAGAGUUUUGUCUAGGAUUCUUAAAAUUCAACUUUGAGUCAUUCAUUGAGUCGUAGUUAGUCCCUUCAUCUUUUGUUCUUUUUUCGUUCAAAGUGCUACAAUCUUGUGACCCUGGUUGGUAAGUCGAUCCAUACUAAAGGAGUUCUAACUUCUUCGAGGAGUUGACCGAGGAGCCUUGAAAACACCUUGGUAAGUUCAUUAGAGUGUUCAAACACGAGAGCGAGAGUAAACACGUGAGGAAGUGUGCGAGAUAAACUUUGUUUCUUUCCAUUAUUAUUUUUUUUAUACUUCACCAUGGCUAACGAGGGGGGAGCAAGCUCCCAAGCUUUUGAUUUUAAACUUUUCACAGAAGCAAUCAAAGGCGAAUUGGGACGCAUGAUGGACCAAAAACUUGAACUAAUGCACCAACGCAUUGACAGCUUAGAGUUGUCUCAUGGAAGCUCCAAAGGCAGCCGUGGAAAGGCUUAUGCACAUGAGUCUACCGACUCUAACUCAGACAACAACUAUGAGCAUAAGCAAAGUAGGUCCAAGCGUGAAGCUAGGCCUUCAAAUGACCCAGAUUUCUCAGGUAUUUAUGACUCUUGUGGUUCAGCAACUCAAGGUAAAUUCUACAUCCUUGAUGGAUUUCUUUUCUGCCUCAAUCGACUAUGUAUACCUAACUGCUCUAUUCGCUCUCUACUUGUUAGGGAAGCACACGGAGGUGGCUUGAUGGGACACUUUGGCGUAGCUAAAACCUUAGCUAUCCUUCAGGAGCACUUCCAUUGGCCAAGGAUGAAACGAGAUGUGGAGCGAAUGGUGGCUAAAUGCAUUACUUGCCACAAAGCUAAGUCUAAACUUCAACCCUAUGGCCUUUAUAGUCCUUUACCUGUACCUAAGGAACCUUGGACCGACAUUUCCAUGGAUUUUGUUUUAGGGUUGCCUAGGUCAAAGAGGGGAAAUGAUAGCAUCUUUGUUAUUGUUGACAGAUUUUCAAAAAUGGCACAUUUUAUACCAUGUCACAAAACAGAUGAUGCAUCGUACAUUGCUGAUUUGUUUUUCAAAGAAAUCAUUAGAUUGCAUGGCAUGCCUAGGACAAUUGUCUCUGAUAGGGAUGUCAAAUUUUUGAAUUACUUUUGGAAAACUUUGUGGGGAAAAUUGGGUACCAAAUUGCUAUUUUCUACUACUAGUCACCCACAAACUGAUGGCCAAACUGAGGUUGUCAAUCGUACACUAUCUACACUCUUGCGUGCCAUCAUUAGAAAAAACAUUAGAACCUGGGAAGAGUGUUUACCCCAUGUUGAGUUUGCAUACAAUCGCACGGUGCAUAGUUCUACUCAUUUUUCACCAUUUGAAAUAGUCUAUGGUUUUAACCCUUUAACACCACUAGACUUAUCACCUUUACCUUCUUCUGAGCACAUUAACAUGGAUGGUGCUACACGAGCAGAUUUUGUCAAGAAAUUACACGAGCAGGUACGCCUAAACAUUGAGCGAAGGAUGGACCAAGUUGCUCAACGGGUUAACAAGGGACACCAACGCGUUGUGUUUGAACCUGGUGACUGGGUGUGGUUACAUCUACGCAAGGAAAGGUUCCCAGUCCAAAGGCGCAAUAAAUUACUUCCCCGAGGAGAUGGGCCGUUCCAAGUCAUCAAGCGCAUCAAUGACAAUGCUUACAAACUGGACCUACCCGGUGAGUACAAUGUGAGCGCUACAUUCAAUGUCUCUGAUCUAUCUCCUUUUCUUGCAGACGAUGAAGCUGAUUUGAGGACAAAUCCUUUUGAAGAGGAAGGGGAUGAUACGAACCAAGAGACACCAUUGCGAACUAUUCGAGUUCCCCUAGGACCCGUAACUCGAGCACGAGCUAAGAAGAUGAGGGAGGAACUCCAAGGACUUGUUCAUGAGAUACAAGGCCAAGAAAUUGUCCCCAAGGUCAUUGAGGGACUUGAGCAUGAAGGAAUGAAAGCCAUCCAUGUAGUGCACGUCAAAGAGAACCAUGUGUGACCCUUCUCUAGUCACAUUUGCUGUUUUAAUUAAGUCAUUGUAAUAAGGGCUUAAUGGUCCAUAGCAUUGCUUAUUUACCUAAGCGAUGACCUCAUAAGGUUAUUUACCUAAGCGAUGACCUCAUAAGAUUGUUUACCUAAGGGAUGACCUCAUAAGGUUUGGUCAAGCCCACAAUUCUUAGUCUUAUGGAAAUAGUCAAGCCUACAAUUGUUAGUCUUAGUCAAGACCACAACUCUAGACUAGUUCCACAUUUAGUUGUUCAUCUCUAUGUAAGGCUAUAAAUAGCCUACACUUCCAAUGGUUUUGGCAUUCAAUCAAUAAAUCAGAUUUUGAGAGUUUUCUUGGUUUCUCCAAAGCUUCUUGAAUACCUUAGAAUUUCUCUAGGUGUUCGUGACUUAUCAAUCUAGAAUCGCACUAGGUUGUGGCGUCUUCUACCAUUAUACCAAGGUUCGUUAACCACGUGAUUAACGGGUUGAGGUCAUCCGCUCCAAACUUGGUGUCCUCUUGUCGAUCCUGAAUCUAAUCUUUUACGGGUUUCGUCACAAGGUUGGCGACGUUCGUAUCAGUUGGUAUCAUGUUCGUAUCAUGUUGACACCACAACGUACUUGGCUAAUCUUUUACGGGUUUCGUCACAAGGUUGGCGACGUUCGUAUCAACAAUGCUAUGUUUUUUAAAGGACAUUGUGUCAUUAGAUCACCUAUGUUUAAUGGGUCAAAUUAUGUGAGUUGGAAAGAAAGAUUGAUUAUUUUUUUGCAAUCUAUUGAUAUUGAAUUGUGGUUUAUUAUUAGUGAAGGUCCAUAUGAUGUCUCUCUUAUAGAUGAAAAUACUCAUAGAUCUAGACCAAAAAUAAGAAGUGAACUGACUGCUAUGGAUAGAGCUCAUCUCACCUUAAAUGCAAAAGUCAUGAAUGUGUUACAUUGUACUUUAGACUCAAAUGAAUCUAUUAGAGUCAAAGGCUACAAGUCAGCCAAGGAAAUUUGGGAUAAAUUGAGAGAAAUUCAUGAAGAUAGUGAGAAUGUUAGAGAACAAAAGAAAUCCAUUCUAGUUACCAAGUAUGAAUCGUUCAAUAUGGAACCUCAUGAAAACAUUGAUGAGAUGUACUGUAGAUUCAAUGACCUCAUUAAGGACUUAGAGGUACUGGAAAAAGAAUAUUCUCUAGGUGAGAAAAAUUGAAAAAUCCUGAAUGCCUUGUCCUGCUAUUGGGAAAAUAAAGUGACUGCCUAUUGAAUCUCUUAUUAAUUCUCUAACCUCUUAUGAGUUGAAACUUAAAUCCAAAGUGCAAGAGGAGAAGGAUGCGAAAGUAAGAAGGAGCAUUGCUCUAAAGGCAUCUCAAGAUGAAGAUGAUUCUGCCUCCCUAGAUGAAGAAGAUGUGGAAGUUGAUGACAGUGAUCUUGUGACGCCCCGAAAAGUAUGAGUGUGAGAGCCCGAAAAUUUUCUAAUUUUCUAGAGUUUAUUUUAUUUAAUCGCCCGUCUUUUCUACAGUUUCUUUAUUAGAAAAAUUCCCCAGAUAAAGUUUAUGAGUAAAGAUAGUUUUAAAAUAAUUUUUCUAGUAUCGGUUAGUUUUUGAAAAAUUAAGAGCGUAUUUUGAACGUGGGACCCGCAAGUGCGGUAAAUGCAUUAUAUUUUUUGACAACUUGUUGGAAUUUUGUAUUAAAUGAUAUUAUUUUACAAGGUGUUAAGAUAUUUGUAUUGGAGAGACAAAAAGAUAAGUUUUAAAACCAAAAGGUGACAUGUGUCACCUUCUUAUUCAAAGUUGGACUUUGACUAAUUUGCAUCACCUUUACUAAACCUCAAAAAUUGACCAAUUUCUCUCCAUUUUAAACUUGUCUUGGUCGAACCUCUUGGAGCAAAAAUACAAGAGAAGCCUUUCUUGUCUACUUCAAUUUCUUGCUCAAUCUUGUGAUUCAACCGAUUAAAUUUCAAAUUUUUCCACAAAAGUGAGUUGCUAAGUUAGUUUAAGGUGUUGAGUGGAGCCAUUUGUGAAGAACAAGCUCUAGUUGUCUUGUUUCUUGGAGUUGCAAAGGUGAGGUGUUAAAUCUCUUCCCUCUCAUGCUAAUAAUGAUCAAUUAAGGAUUUCUAAUGGUAGAGCAUGUCAUUUUAUGGAUGAUUUCAUGACCUAUGGGUGAGAUUGAUGGAUUUUUCUUUUGUUCAUGAAUUUUUCUGAUUUCAUAUGAUUGUGAUGGUGUGACUAUCUAUGGUGAUUGGAAAUGAUAUAGAAUGAAGCUAGAAGGUGUAUUUGGUGGUUAAUUGCAAACAAUUUCUGUUUUGGAAGAAAUCUGGAAAAUUAGGGUUCUAAUGUUUACAUUCUGCCCGAAUUUAUAGCUCAUAGAUAGAGGACGAAUUGGCCUUGUCUUAAAAAAUGAAAGUUGUAGGGAAUGACAUUUUAGAGGUACCUCCAAAAUUUCAGGUCAAUCGGAGUAGCGUAACUUGUGAAAAGUCGAAAUUACUAUUGCUGUUCUGGUUUUACCUGAAUGUAAGAAUUGCGCCUGUAAUUGGUUGUUUUGGCUGGAAUUGCUUCCGAAUUGGUUGUUGAGGUCUUCUGAUAAAAUUUAUCCCUAUUUCUUAGCUUUCAGCUGGUUUUGGAAUUUCUGGAUUUGGACUUGGAUAGCCUGCUUUAUGAUGUUUCCGCUAGAAUGCGUUCUGUGAAUCUGUUUUUGUGAUUCUGGUAUGGUAUCUUGCAUGUUUGACCUGGUUACACUCGAAAAUGGGUUGAGUGACCUUCUGCAAUGUUGUAGCCCUGUCUUUUAACUUAGAAACGGUGUAUCUUGUACCUUCAUCCGACAAUCGUAGCGCCUUUGGUGCCAUUACCGUAAAAUGACGUCAAAACUGUUUUUCCGGUUUUGAGCUUAACUUUCAUUUCCGGACUUUUCCCUAGCUUGACUUGUACUAGCUACUUGGAGCUUGCUGAAUGGCUAUUGGAUGAACUUGUUGUUGUGUGUGUACCUUUGGGUUGGAAUGAGGAAAUAAUGAAGCCUUGAUGGCUGGAAAAGUAAAGAAAGAUAAGAGGAAGUGCUGUCCGAAUUUUGAAAGGAUUUGUUUGCAUUGAGUUUGUGAACUAAGACUUGGAUUUGAGCAAGGCAAUGAUAUAUGAUGGAUGGUUCCUGAGCCAUGGAGGUGAGUGACCCCAAACUAUUGUUAAAGCUUCUUAUGAAAUGUUUCUUGCAUUAUUUACUCGACUGCAUCUCAUGCGUGCUUGCAUGUGAGUUCAUGACAUGAUUUGGCUUCAAUGAGUUCUGGGAAAGUCUUGUGCUGGACACCAACGUCUCCACUCUGUUUAUGGUUCAUGUUCAUGUUUAUCUGGAGCUCAAGAAGGGGCUCCCUCUGAAUGUUAAUGUUAAUGUUAAAUGAUCUAUUUGAGCGUUGGGUGUUCAAGUGCUAUGAUUUCCCUGGCUCACGAGAGCACUAAACGAACAUUUGAUCUCUGAAUCAUGACAUCAUCGAAAUGAUCGAAAUGCAACAUUGUGAAAUAUAUUUGUUUAAUGAUUUUACUGGUUAUUCGCUGAGCUUCUAGCUCACCCCAAAAAUAUUUUAUUCCCCUCCACAGGACUCAAAGCGAAGGAAGGACUUGUUGUGCUUAUUCACAUGUCUGGAUGGCCUAUAUCUUGUACAGUUUGGAUUUGGGAAUCAUUUUAUGUAUAGUUGGGAAUUGUUUCCCCUUCGCUUAUAACAUGUAAUUUUUGGAGAAUUUGAUGUAUAUUGGAGAUUUAGAUUGUAAUAUUUGAGGUUUAUUCUUGUAAUUCAUUUGAGGAUUGUAGUGAACGACUGAGUCCCGGCAAGAGUUGGGCAAGCGACCCGCCGAACCUUCUGGUUCGCCUUAGGGGGAGGUGGGGCUAUCACAGAUCUUACUCUCAUCACAAGAAAUUUCAAGAGGAUUCUCAAUAAAAAGAGAUUUAGAGGAGGAGGACCUAGCAAUUCAGAUUCUAAUCAAUUCAACAAUGCCAAUGUUUUAAAAACCCGACCGUUAAUUGAACCGGUGAAGUGAAAGGGUCGAGGUUCAACCGGUCGGACCGGUUCAACCCCGGUUCAAUAAAUUUUUUAAAAAAUAAUUUAUAUAAAUAUAUAUAUGCACAAAAUAAGACAUGUAAUGGAUUAAUUUAAUACUUUAUAUGAUGAAAAGUUUACUAUUUUUUAAUAAUUUGGAUUUUUAAAAAUAAAAAUUUUAAAUUAUAAGUUAAAACAAAUAAAUUUCAUUUCAAUUUCAAUUAUAUCUAAAUCCAACCCAAAAAUAUCACAAUAUUUUGAAAUUAUGCAAAAUUCACGUCUAUGAGAAUUUAGACAUUGUGAAAUUAAAUUUUAAUUUACGCUUUGGGAUUUAUAGAUUGCAAUUUAAAAAAGAAAGUUUGGAGUUCGAAGGAAGUCAAGGGAAUCGAAAAUAAAAAUGUAAACUUAAUAAGAAACAAAAAAUGAGAUAAAGUGAGUGGUUGUGACAUUAAAUAAUUUGGAUUAAAGAAAAAUAAUUCUUUUUUAACUUUUUUCAAUUUAAUGGACAAAAACAAAAUUAAAAGAUGGAAGAAAACAUCAAUAAAUUAAAAAUAAAGAGGUUUGAUUAAAAAGGGAGUGACAAAAGAAAAGAGGAUAGCGAGAAAGAGAGAGAGACUUGAAAAUAAAAAAGAAAGAGCCAUGAGAGGAUGAGAUUUUGUAAGAAAAAUAAAAAAAAAGAAAUAUGAGUAUUUGAAAUAUGAAGAAAAAUUUUUUUUUAAAAAAAAUCAAGAUGCGAACUGGAGAAGCCGAGAGUGAGAAACGGAGGAAGUGAAAUUGAAAUGAAAUGUGCCGUUUGCACUUUCUUAAUGCUAGGGUUUUUUUAUUUAAUCUGAUUUUAUUUUUUAGUUAAGUAUAAUUCUACACAACAAUACCUCGUCCUUGGGCUGUGGUGUAGUGGCAGCCGUACCUUAUUGUUGGCUCAGAGACCCGAGUUCGAAUCUGACAGUCUCCAUUCUUGCUAUUAUUUUGAAUUUGAGGUUAUAUUGUUAGAAAAUUUGAGAACCGCCGGUUCGCGGUUCAUACGGGUUUUAGCGGUUCGUCCGGUUCGCGCAGUUCGUAACGGGUUUCCAUUACCAUCCGGGUUUGAUAUUGGACCGGACCGGUAGCAUGGCCGAUUCGCGGUAGGACCGGCCGGUCCGGUCCGGUUCUGAAAACAUUGAACAAUGCAAGAAAUAAAGGAAUAUAUGAGCCCAACAAAAAGCAAGGUGACAAGUGCUUUGAAUGCGGCCAACCUGGACACUAUGCAAGUGAGUGUCCAGUGAAGAAGAGAAAAUGUGAAAGAAAACCCAGAUUCAAUAACUUCCAGUUCACAUGGAAUGAAUGCAAUUUCGAUGGUGAAAUUGAAGAGAAAGAAGAAUCUGCUCAAUUGGCUUUCAUGGCCAUUGGAGAUGAUGAGGUAACAACUUAUAACUCUCAAUUUGAAAGUGAUGAUGAAACUGAUGAUGAUCUUGAAUCUUUCAUUAUAAAAUUACAUGAUAGUUUGAAAGAAUCUUAUGCUAGAAACAAAGAGUUAAAACAGAAAAUUAGUUUUUUACUUCGAGAUAAUGCAAAUCUUUUUCAACAAAAUAAAAAGUUGAUUGCUGAAAAUGAUUUCUUCAAAAAGAGUGAGACUGCUUUACACUUUAAAUUUGAUAGAAAAACAAAGCUUUGUGAAUUGUUUAAAAAGGAACAAGAUGAUUUGAAAAGAAGAAUGGAUGGUUUAAAUGAGUUGCUCCAAUAUAAAAAAUAAGACUGUUUUCAAAGUAAUAAAUCAAAACCUCAUUUUGGCACUCAUCAGAUAAGACUGAAUCAAAAUGCAAAUGAGUUUGCUAUCCAUAGGAAAAAGCAAGUCAGAUUUAUUAAACUCGUUCAUGUGAAUAACUCUUUGGUUAUGUGUAAUUUUUGUUGUCAAAAAGGUCACAUGAAAAGUGAUUGUUAUGUGAGGAAAAACAUGAGAAGAGGCAUGAAAUGCAUGUGGAUAGUUAAAUAUGAUGCUAACUCUAACAAGUAGGAGAUAUUGGUAAGAUUGAUGAGACUCCUGUUAAUAAUGCUUUUCUGUAAUUCUUUUUGAAGUUUCUGAUGCUUAGAACUGUUUUUUUUUUUUAUGUUUUUGAAUAUUACUGAAUUUAUAUGAUGUCAAAAAGAGAGAAAAAAGAAUAAUGCUGAUCUCAUGAUGAUUUGCUGUCAUUUCUCUGUUUUUACUUGAAAUAUUAGAUUCUUUGUUAUUGUUGUUGGAUUACAAUAGCUUAUUUUUACUCUCAUCUUAUGAUGACAAAAAGGGGGAGAAAUGGAUGCAAUGUGUAAGGGGGAGUUAUUCUGAAAUUAUGAGUUUGGCUCUUGAAAGUUUUGGAUGCAAUGAUUGAGGGGGAGCUUAUACUUAUUUUUUUGUUUCUUUCCAUCCAUUGUUUUGUCAUCAUCAAAAAGGGGGAGAAUGUUGAUCUUGAUUCCUAUCUUUUGAUGUUUACAAAACAAAUGGAUGAUACUAAUAUCUCUUCAAGAUAUACUUUCAGUUAUGAAAUUAUUUGAUUCCAUGAACAAGUGCAAUUGAAAGAAGACAAAGAUUACUGAAAGCUAUCGGACGCUCAAGAAGACAGUACCGGACAUCCGAUAAUCAUUGCACAACUUCGGACACAUGCUUCGGACGUCCAAUAGGAUCCUUCGAAAUCGACGAAUCUAUCGGACGCUGAAUAUGUCUCUACCGGACGUCCGAUAGAAACAAGAUAAUUUCUCAAAUCUCUUUGUUUGCUGUCGGACGCACAAAAAGCUUGCAUCGGACGUCCGAAAGAAUUGAAGAAAAUCUCUUAAACUCACUGCCUGCUGUCGGACGCAUAAAACAGGGCUAUCGGACGUCCGACACUCCAACGGCUAGUUGACUCUUCAACUACUUUCUAUCCGUUGGAAACAUUAAUGAGGCACUUUCUUGAUCCUAUAUAAAUAGUGGUUGGUCAGAUAUUUCAAACAAUUUUUGCACACUAAAGAUACAAAAGAUUUAGAGUGAUUUUAGUGAGAAAAUACUCUUCAAAGAAGAUUUGUAGUCCUACUGGUGUGAGGUUCAUUGUAAACUUUUCAUUUGUGAGUGAAUACUUCAUGAGUGUAGCUCUGUGAGGGUUGUCCUGAGGGAUAGUAAAACGUCCUGACUUGACCGAGUGGAGUUCGGGGCAAGGAGGAGGUGAACCUUCCUUUGUACACAAGAGUGAUUGUAAUUCAUCAACUUGAAGUAGCUUGUUUGAAUUAACCUACAAGCUCAAGAGGAGGUGGGUAGUUAAUUGGUUUGCUAUUCUUUCCUUUUUAUUUAUUGUUACGUUUGAAAUCUGUACUUUGUUUAUCUCUUCUACUCACAAGCACUUGUGCUUUCUCAUCAACUACUCCAUUGUGUGGUCGCCUAGAAAAGUGGUUGUCUUCGGGCUUAACAUGUUCUCUGUUGACUUGAUUUGGUUCUCUGUCAGAAUUACCUUGCUACUCUUCUCUAUUGACUAUGUCUGCUUCUCUGUCAAAGUUACUUUCAUUUUCACAUUCUUCUGCACUUUGGUUCACUGAAGAAACCUCUUGCUGGCUGUCGACAACAUCUAUUCUGGUAUUCUGUUGAAAUAAUUUUCUUACAGAUUUUCUAGCUGCUCUCUUCACAGGUUGCACCACAGUUUGUCUCUUCCUCACUGGAGUUUUACCACCAUUUCUUUUGCUUUUCUUAGUUGUUUCGAAGGGAUUUUUUGUGCCAUCAUUAACUUCUACAUCAGUUGUGUCAUCUAAGUCAUUUUCUUGCCUACUUGUAUCACCAACAUAUGGUUCAAAACCAGUCAGAUCAACAAGAUUUUGUGAAGCUCCAGCACGAUUUCUAGUCAAAUCUGAAUUAAUUUCUGAAGAACCUUCAUUAUAUGAUAAAGCAAGUGGACCAUCAUUCGUCACUCUUUUGAAUAAGACCUUGCCAUCCGGUGAGACAAUUUUGACAGGGGUCUGACCUGCCUCUACAUAUAUAUGCAUAUAAGGAAGCCCUUCAUAACAAGUAGUCAACAAUUCUAUGUCCACGUCAUCAUUUAUUGGGAUAACACCUACAUCCACAUCAUGGUCCGGAAUGGAAUACCAAAAUUUUGCACGUGCCACUUUUUUUUCAAUUUUGGAGUACAGGUUCAAUAAUGAAAAUGCUGAUAAUUCAUCAGGGUCACAUUUGUAAAACACUCUCACUAAAUCACUUGUAUACCUAAUCUUGCGAUGAUGUAUAAACCGCCCACCAUAGUGCAUGUGGAUAUCCACUGUCCUAAAAGGAUUUGACAUGGUCCCCAACCUAAAUUAUUUAAUCAACACUUUCAAAAUUCAAAUAUAGAUUAAUAAACUAUAUCAAACUACAUCACACUUUCAGAUUAUAACAACAAUUAGUUAGACCCGACACAUAUUAUUUAAUCAACACUUUCAGAUUAUAUAGUGAAAUCUAAUUUAGUAGUCAAAUCCAGACCCGACACAUAUUAUUUUCUCCUGACAUCAACCACAUACUCCAAAAAAGACCCACAUACUCCAAAAAAGCUAAAAAAGUUAAGAACUUGACACUUUUAAACCCCAUUUUCUCUGAUAAACCGCAUAAUUAAGCCCUAAUAUAUACUGGAAAAGGAAUUCACAAAUUGGAAAAAGAAUACAAAUCCUAAACAUCAAAUGGACUGAAUAUUGAACAAUAAGUUCUGAUUCUUACUUAGAAAUGUUAAACAAGUUUCACGAUCAGAUACAACCACCAAUCUGACCUUCCCUUCUUCGUCACCGAAUGCAGCCACGCCAUUUUCAACUCAGAUUCACGAUAUUUCAGUAACAAUUUAGUAGUCAAAUCCCUUGUUUUAGGGUUUUUUUUCUUACACAGGAUGAACGAGAGAGAGUCAGUUCUUGAUUCUCUCUCCCUCUCAUUUAUAAAUAAGGGUAUUUUGGAUAUUCGACAUGCAGCUGGUAACUCAGCCGGUUCAAAAGUCAAUUUCCACUUUAGUUAUGAAGUUUAGAGUGUUUAUGUGGAGAUUUCUAAAUGAUAGGAGGGUAAAGUGUCUUUUCGCUAAAUCAUAAGGGGGUUCCCUGUAUUUUACCCAAAAGAAAAAGAAAGAAAAGAAAGAGAAAAAAAAAUGUGAUCCAAAUAUGAAAGUUCUCCUAGUUUCCUAUCCUUGUUUAUGCUAGCUCUAAAGGAUGGUUUUGAGUCAAGUUUUUGCAUUUAUUAAUUAUGCUAAUUACAUGGCAAGCAUGAAUAAACUAAGGAUGAUACAUGACAAUGGAUUUGAUUGAAUGGUGACAUGAUAAGCUUUUCUUUAUUAAAUAUUAUGAAUUAAUAGAAUUGGAAUUUAAAACUUGCAUUGUGAUCAUCUACUUUGUGCCUUAUACACAAGUUUGUUCACACUCCAUAUGUUGAGUCCUUUUUUCGUUUCCCUUCACACCCAGAGUGGUCAUUCACUAUCCCAAUUUUCUAAUGUUUACUUUGCUCUCCCACCCUUUUCUCCAAGCUCUAGCUAAUCCCUUCUAAAAGGUUCCCUUUUUGUCUAUUCCCUUUGCCCUCUCCUGCCCACCGUGGAGGCCUCUGAUAGACUAACAUUCUAUUGUGUAUAUGAAAAAUUCUUUAUUGUCAACGUGGAAAUUUAAUGAAAAGAAAGCUUAAGGAGCAAGGGGUAGAACAUAAUGCCAAAUUAGUAUUUGACUGAUGGGUAUUUGGCAUACGAUAAAGUUGAAGAUGAGUUAAAGUGGAUAAGAAAUUGGGAUCUCAAAGUUGUAAGGGGCUAACAGAGACAAGGGCAUAAUUGUCCCUUUGCAGAGAAGUGUGAGGAUUUUUUUGAAGUGUCAAAAUCAUCAACCUUGACUUUUGCCAAUUAUACGAAGAUACUUGAGUCUAAGACCAAGACUGAGCACCUAUAUCUUAGAGGUGGCAAUUCUCGAUACAACCAAUAAACACGACUCAAAUCUAACAUGAAAUUGGCAGGUAUGGAUUCACUCUUCAUGAGUUCAAUUCAAAAUCAGGUCAGACUAGAAAAACUUGUCAACCAAACAGGUCUAAAUCAAGUCAACCGCAGGUUGACCCAUUUAAUAUGUAAGUUUAUAAUUUAAUAAAUAAAUCGGGGCAUAAAGUAAAUUAAAAAAACUAACCAAGGUUAUCAAUUAGUAUAACAAGAACGCAAUCAUGAAUAUUGUGUGAGCAAAAGAUUUUAUUUGUGAAAGCGUCAUAGUUUUGUUUUUUUCAUGAUUUAUUUUAUACAAAAAGGAAAACCAAAAAAUUACUGUAAGAAAAAUAUACAAAAUAUAGGAUUGGGCUACAAUUUUCUAUAUUUUUAUGGAAACUCCAUUGUACACAAGUCAACUAUAUUAUCAAGGUGAAAAGCUCCCAAAAAAAGAAAAUGAAAGUUAAGAAAAAAGGUUAUUUAGAUCGAGUUCGGUUAAUCAAUAAAACUAGCUAGUCAUGUUUGGAUUAAAGAGGUUGGCCCAUUUAAUUUUUUGAGUCAUUUUUGGAUUGAUGUAUGGGCACUUGGAUCUCAGCCCAAUUUGCCAACUUGCGACAUCGAUCUAAUUGCCAUCUCGAGCAUAGCUGACCUCUCAAAUUUAUUACUUUUGCAAGGCUUGACAGAUAAGGUUUCUAAUUUUUGUUUCCAAGACAAGAAGUUCUUCUCUACAAGUUGUAUAGGUGAUCAAUGCACCAAAAAUUCAAUAUCUAGUGAGACUUCCAGCUUUGAAUUCCAUUUUCCCUAGGUAAUAGCAGCCUCAUAAAAUCUUAUUAUAGUUUGUUCUUGUUUGUUAGAUUUGUUUUCUUUAUUAAAUAUUCAGUCCCUUCCUUUGUCUUUUUUGUAGAAUUUGUUUCUUAUUCUAGUUUUUAAAUUUUUUUUUAACAAAAUCCCAAUUUCAUUAUAAUAUCUCCACUAUUGACAUAAUGUAUAUCAAAGCAUGGCAUAAAAACGUACAUAUCUAAAAGUUAAUCGAGACAACAAAUUUGGAAAAAAAAACUUUAAAAAUUAAUCGAGACAAAAAAUUUAGAACAAAAAAAAAUUCUUUCAUUUGGGUGAACCAUAGCAACCCAGUAGAUUUGUACAUGUCUUCUAACAAUCGGAUUUAAUAAAAAUUGUUUCAAGUUCCAAAAGAAAUUUAGAUCUGGCAUGAUAGCGUGAGAAGUUCAAGAUCUGAGAAACUAAAUAUAUGAAAUCUCUCAAAUUUCACUAAGAAUUAACAAAAAAUAAAGAAACUCUCAUAAAAAAUUGUAAGAGAGAAUAAAACUCUCACUACAAAAAUUUAGGAUAAAAAAAACUCUUACUAAGAUAUUUUAGAUAUUUUAGAAGAAUCUCUCACUAGAAAACUCUAUCAGAGAAUCUACUUAACUUAAAAAAAACCUAGAAAGAUGUCAUCUCUCAUAAGAGAGUUGGAGUAAAUUUUGACUAAAGGAUUUCUAGAGAGAAGAAGAGAAUGAGUCUAGAGAGAGAAGGAGGGGUCGUCCACUUUAGAAUAGUUUUCUUUUGUUUUAUUAAAAGUAUGAAAAUGUAAAAUCUUUUUGGAAACUCUUUUUCAUUUCUAAUUUUACUUUUGGUUCUUAGAAAUGGUUGGAUAGGCAAUAUGGUAGCUAAUGCAUUGGAAGAAUUGGCUAAUAGGAAGUUCUCUCCUAUCACAUAAAAUACGAUACAGAUUUCAUUACAACUUUAGAAUUUUGUACCCCUGAAAAUUCUAUAAUUAUUGUAAGAUGUAUUCAAAAAUUCUACUAGUAGACUUCAAGCCUUUUGUCAUGCUUCUAGCCCACACAUGCCAAGUACGAGACAUUUGUCGUAUCCUCAAGACUUGAGAACACAAGGCAACCAUAACAUUCUAAAAUUACUACUUUAAUUACUCAAUAAUAAGACUACUUAAAAGUGUGGUACAUAACUAGCAACAAGAAAAAACAUAACAUCCAUUUAGCGCCCGUACGCCCAAUCAACUAACAGAAAUGUAAAUUCAAAAGUAUUCUGGUACAUAACCAAUACUAUAUGACAUUUAAAUCCUAAUGCUAAAAUCCAUUUCUCAAACUGCAAGUAAGUAGUAGAAGUCAUCUUUUGGGUUCUCAAUAUAUACAACCUCAUAGUUUUUGAGAUUUACAAAAAUAGUAAAAGAGAAUGGAUUGAGUGACACGAUACUCAAUAGGUAACAUUUAAUUCUUUGUUGGAUCAUGUAGCUGAUAUAUACAUAUUUAUUAUACUGUUGUAACACUUGUCAACCAUAUCACAUUUAUAGUUUUUUAAAAACAAUUGCAAUAUCAAUUAAGAUACAUAAACAUAUAAUACCAAGUUGGGUGGCAUCGAAUCACAUAAUAUAACAUGAGCAUAUUCAUAGCAUAGCUUGAUAUUAAUAAAACAUUUUAAACAUAUCAUCUCAUUUCAUAACAUAGUUCAUAAACAAGUACAUGCAAUGUUCGACUUCUAAGUGCUCAACCUAGAAUUUAACCCCUUCAAGGAGGGCGGUAGAUCAAGCAUUUUCCUUGACCUUCACUUGAUCUACCCAUACAUGAGUCAAUUGGUUGGGUACAAUGGCUACCAUGACUAUUCAUAACCAAUCAAGUAUUUUCCCUAGUCUUCACUUGAUUGUUAUAUAUGAUGGGACUAUAGACCCUACCGUCUAUCUAAUAACCAUUUAAAACUCUCUGUAAUAUAAAAUCAUUUCACACAUCACAUGCACUUUUCUUUCAUUUCAUAAGAAUAUGCCACUCAUUUCAUAAAAUACAGUAUAUCAAAAUAUUUCAAAUAGGCAUACAUGAUCCAUCUUUCAUAUACUAAUAUAAAGCAUUUACUUGAGAAAAUUCAUAUAUAACAUUUUGAAAAUAUAAAGGGAUAAACACCACCUAUCUUGAACUGCUUGAGUGAGAUACUCCUAAUGCUCCUUACCCUUACUUUGCACCUACAGUAGAUACAUGUUCGUUUUAAUUAGUUUACAAUCCUAAUUCACAAGGUACAUUUCUUUGUUCUAAGUAUCCUACUAUUCAUGUCUAGACAAUCUAUAAGAAGUACUUAAAAGUUUCUAUUUAAAAGUUUCCUAAAAUAGAAACUUUCAAUUUUUGGAGAGUCUACUAAUGUAAGAAAUUUCUCUUUUUAGAAGGGUUCUUGACUUAAGAAAUUUUCCUAUCAUAGAAGAUGGAUAUUAAUUAAUUUCCAAGAUAUGAAAAUUUUAAAUAAUUUCUUAUAAAUGGCCCAAAAGAGUUUGGGCUCAAAUUUGCUUUGGGCUAGGCUCAAAAGCUAGGCCCAUCUAAUAGUUGGACUUUAAUUCAUUUGAAUUUGGGCCUAAUAGCAUUAAUAUUUUAUUUGGGCUUUCGAAAUGUGUCCUUGGCUUAAUUAAUAAUAGGUGAAUAUAAUCAAGUUUGACAUUAUAAAUAUAUUUUGAUGUCGAUCAAAGCAUUAUGGGCCUUGGUGAAAAAUGUUUUGAUUUUUAUAACAAAGAAGUUGUAUUGGGCCUUUAUAGUUCAAUUGCCACAAAAAAAUUCACAUUUUAAUUAGUAGAGUUGUUAAGUAAAUUCAUUUAAAUUUUUGUAUACUUUUUAGACCCAAAUCAACUAAAUUUGGCCCAAGCUAUAGAACCUUAUUAGUGAAAAGACAAAUUAAAAAUACCGGCCCACUUGGAUUCUUUAGAUAGCCAACCUAUCUACUAGCCCAACAUUUUAAUUAAACAGCCCGCUUAAAUAUUCAGCUAUUGUUUGGCCUAAAUUGAAUAAGUGCGUCUGACCUAACUCAUUGAAAUCGGUUGACCCAAAACCAACAACCCGACCAUUUUCCAAAUGGGUCCUUUCUUCCACAAUUCACAACCUUAAUUUCAUUCCUCUUCGAAACCCUAAACCAACCACUGCUGACAACAUCUUUCCCACCAGCACCAUCUCCACCAUUGCUGGUGGCUCUCAUCAAAUGGCAACACUAGAAGCGAUGGUCGCUGCUACUAGUUGCUGCAAAGACGCAGUCAUUAAACUACGGCUGCUAGUGGCCACUACCAUGGUAGCCACGAUUACCACCAGCUUUCGCCAGACAUGGCCGGCCAUUAUCCAGGAGGUGAGUUACUGGCCUUUUGUGGCAGAGGAGGUUCAUCCGACCUUCCCUCUUAUUCCCCGAUCUUCUGCUACUUUCUUUUCCUUAUUUCCUAUAUUUUUCCUGAUUUUCUUUUUCUUUUCUGAAAUUCACCCUACCAUUAAAGGAUGCUUCUACUCUGACCCUAACUUUUAAAGUUUUUCUGUAGAUUUGUUCCAAGUGUCAUAAUUUGCAACCGAAUGAAAUUUUCCUUCGUAAAAUUCUUCAAAGCAUGUUCAUCAAUAUCAAUCCAAACAUGACCAAAAUGAUACUUUAUAUAAUGAUCUUAUACUAACGAUUCACAAGUAACUAAUAAAUAAUAUAGGAAUAAAUUUUGAAGCAAGUAAAAUAAAAGAUAACAGUAGAUUAGGUACUUACUUGUUUAGGUUUCUGAAGAGGUGUAUUCUAAUUGGGAUUCCAAGUGAUCUUCAGAGUCUUUUCCCUAUUCACCGAAAUUCCUAUUGUCUGAUAUUGAGAGACAAUGAAAGAGAUGGAAAGUGUCAUAGUUCCAUUUGAUAAGUAGUAAUAUAGGUAUUUUCUUUACAAAGUUUAGUUUUCCUUCUAGUAACCACCUUUCCACUAUUAGACCAACUUCCCCAUUUUUCUAUCCACUAUUGCAAUAAUUUCUUUUAAGCUAAUAACUUUUUGUUAUUCCUGAAUUAUUGUUAUUGUUAUUGUUGUUGUUGUUGUUGUUAUAGAUUGGAGAAAAAAUAUUUUGGGUUCAACAUUCUACCCACUUUCAACAAAAUUUCAUCCUCUAAACUUACGUACCUUGUUAAAAAAGGUAAGGGUAUUUGCUCUACAUAUCCUCUUCCAACUCCUACGUUGCUUUUCAUGAGAUAUGAUUUGUCCAUUACGUCUUGACAUAAGGUAUUGUUCUUCUUUUUAGUACUUGGUUCUUGCAGUCCACGAUUCUCAAUAGAAUUUCUUCUAUUGGUAGAUUUUCCUUUACCUCAAUGGGUUGGUCUUCCAACACAUAACUUGGGUCAGGCCCGUAUUUUCGUAAUUGAGAAACAUGAAAGAUUUUAUGCACCCUUGAUAAUGAAGGUAGAAGGACCAACUGAUAAGUUAGAGUCACAACCCUUUCAAGUAUUUUGUAGGGUCCUAUGUAUCUAGGACUCAACUUGCUACUCCUUCCGAAUCUCAGCACCUUUUUCAUAGGAGAUAUCCUAAGAUAUACAUUUUCUCUUGGUUGAAAUUCCAGCGACCUUCUCUUCAAAUUUGCCCAACUCUUGUUUCGAUCCUACGUCGUUUUAAGUCUCUCAUGAAUAAUAUUCAUCUUCUCAAGAGUUCUUUCAACUAGAUUAGGAUCAGUGAUAAGUUUUUCACCCACUUUAUCCUAAUACAGUGAAGAUCUACACUUUCACUCAUACAAUGUCUUAAAUAAAGCCAUGCCAAUUCAGUUAUGAUAACUACUAUUGUAAGAGAACUCUAUCAACUUUACUAGUUUGUCCCAACUAUCCAAGAAAUCUAAAGCACAAGCUUGUUAACCAUACCUGCAAGUUAAUCUCAAAUCUGUUCCCAUACCUGCAAGUUAACCAAAACCUAGAGGUAAACCUUGAGCCUCGAUCCAUGACUAUACUUGAUGGACCCCUAUGAAGGCAAACAAUUUCUGAUACAUAUAUAUAUCCACCAAUCUUUCCAUAGCCAAUCCUUUUGGCAUUGGCAAUAAAUAGGUUGAUUUUGUCAAUCGAUCAACUAUAACCCAAAUAGCAUCAUUAUUAAAGUCCAUCGUCUCAUGUUCCUAUUUUCACUGUAGAAUCUCUAAAGGUUACUAUAAGCUGGUAGUUCUCCGAUGCUCGACUUUAACUUAUUGACACACUAAAUACUUAGCUACAUAUUUGGCUGUUUUUUGCUUCAUUCAUAAAAAAUUUUUCUUCAAAUCUUGGUACAUCUUAGUGUUAGGAUUGGCCCAGGAAUAAACAAACUAAAGUUAGAACAAAAUAGACAGUAUAACCGACCAUAUAACGAUUAGGCUGGAGACACCAGCCAUAUAAUAAUUAGGCGGUAAAACCGACCAUAUAAAAAAGGGUUGUGGCAAUCCAAUAAAGACAAACAAUAAAGCAAAUAAAAGACAUAGAAGAUUUACGUGGUUCGGUCAAAUUGACCUACGUCCACAGGCGAGGGAGGAGCAAUAUUUCUACUAUGAACAAGAAAUACAAAAACCGUAGGAAAGUGGUUCCUAGGCCAAUAAGGCAUUUACAAAAGAGUUUAGAAAAUAUUCCUAAACUCAAAACAAGAAAGCCUAAAAUAUUUGACUAAAUGGGCUAAAUGACUCAAGAAACUAAUAGCCCAUAUAACUCUCUUGAAUGGUGCAAUUGAAACUAACCCAAGGCCCCUAUAUUUAUAGCCUUCAGCAGCCGACUUCUCCUUGGCAUUGUUCGAUGUGGGACGAAGCAAAAUUCUUUGGUCAACAAUUGCGGCUUCAACAAAUCUCCACCUUGGUGAGUCCCUAACAUCGAUAAUAAUAAAACUGCUCCACCUUCUCCACAUAAGCCCCAAUGGGCCUAAAUCACAAACAACGAACACCAACCAAGUCCAAGCACUGCUUGAACUUGUAAACUGGAAGAGGCUUCGUAAACAUGUCAGUUGGAUUGUCCUUGGUAUUGAUUUUCUGAAUAAGGACCUUUCCUUCAGCAAUGAUAUCUCGAAUGAAGUGAUACUUCACAUAAUGUAUCAUUGUGAUAGUCAAAGUGCCAUACACUUGACUCAACAUCAAAAUAUAGUCAAGUGUAUUCACUGUGAUAGUCAAGUGUAUGGCACUUUUUAUCCAUCUCAGCAAAAUUUGCAUCUGUCACAUCCUCUGACUUUUUCUCGAUUCCGUAUAUUGCUAGAUCAACUCCGUCUUGAACCAAAAUUGCCUCCAUUUUGAGUUGCCACAUCCCGAAGUUGACAUUCCUGUCGAAUUUUUCGACAACUGUCUUUGUUAUCGUCAUUAUUGCCAUAAAAUUUAUAACUUGAAGCUUGUCUAAAAAAACUGAUCAAACAAAUAUGCAAGUCUCGUGAGCAGGCCCCACAGGGUGAGCGGCCCCACGGGGAUGAACGGACCCACUUAUCCUGUGGGGUCUGUUUAUCUGUGGUAGUCAAAGUGCCAUACAUUAUGUGAAGUAUCAUUUUAUUCGGGAUAUCAUUGUUGAAGGAAAGGUCCUUAUUCAGAAAAUCAAUACCAAGGACAAUCCAGCUGACAUGUUUACAAAGCCUCUUCCAGUUUACAAGUUCAAGCAGUGCUUGGACUUAGUUGGUGUUCAUUGUUUGUGAUUUAGGCCCAUUGGGGCUUAUGUGGAGAAGAUGGAGCAGUUUUAUUAUUAUUGAUGUUGGGGACUCAUCAAGGUGGAGAUUUGUUGAAGCCGCAAUUGUUGACCAAAGAAUUUUGCUUCGUCCCACAUCGAACAAUGCCAAGGAAAAGUCGGCUGCUGAAGGCUAUAAAUAUAGGAGUCUUGGGUUAGUUUCAAUUGCGCCAUUCAAGAGAGUUAUAUGGGCUAUUAGCUUCUUGAGUUAUUUAGCCCAUUUAGUCAAAUAUUUUAGGCUCUCUUGUUUUGAGUUUAGGAAUAUUUUCUAAACUCUUUUGUAAGUGCCUUAUUGGCCUAGGAACCGCUUUCCUACGGCUUUUGUAUUUCUUUUUCAUAGUAGAAAUAUUGUUCCUCCCUCGCUCGUAGACGUAGGUCAAUUUGACCGAAUCACGUAAAUCUUCUGUGUCUUUUAUUUGCUUUAUUAUUGGGUUGUCACAACCCUUUUUUAUAUGGUCGGUUUUACCGCCUAAUUAUUAUAUGGCUGGUGUCUACCGCCUAAUCAUUAUAUGGUCGGUUAUACCGCCUAUUUUGUUCUAAGUUUAGUUUGUUUAUUCCUGAACCAAUCCUAACACUUAGUUCUACUGAUAUAAAUUAAAAACCUUGAGUUGUCUACUUCCUUUAAUACUUGUUGCUUCAACUCUUCGUCUCUUGGCAUACACAAUCUACCUCUCGUCCUCAAACUACCAUCAUUUUUCAGUUCAAAUCCAUCAAAGGGUUCCACUUUAACCUUCUCCUUGAUCUUGACAAUCUUGGUAUCUGAGUUCUGUCCCUCUCUAAUUUAUCUAUCAAAGUGGGUGCAAGUACUAGGGCAGCUAGCACCUCAGCAGUAGAGCUCUCCAUUUUUCUUACUCAAAAUCCUCCAUCUAUUCUUCCAUUAAGGGUUCCCUUAUGGUUUUUGACUUCCUACUCGGAGCAUUAGCUACCUUAUUUGCCUUGUUUGGGUGGUAACUAAUCUUCAAAUCAUAAUCCUUAAUUACCUCUAGCCACCUCUUUUAUUUCAUAUUCAACUCCUUUUAUGUGAAAAGAUACUUAAGGCUCUUAUGAUCCCUAAAAACCUUGUAUUGCACCCUAUAUAGGUAAUGCCUCCAUAUUAUUAGAGUAAAAACUAUAAGGAAACACUCAGUGGAAGAACAUGUGGAGGAUUUUGAGUUAGAAAUGGUGAACUCUAUUGUGACUUAUCUACUUAGUCUAGUGUUGGCUGUAUUCAAGGAAAUUCUUUACAUAAAAAUAUCUUAUGUAUUGAUUGGUUACUAUGGAACAACAAUUCUAUGGCAUGUAAACCAUUUUGGUUAAAGUUGAAGUUGGCUGUAAGUGGGAUAUCUGAUGUUCAAAGGCUGAAUUCUGUUUGGGUUUUAAAGUUGAUUUGUGAAUCAUAAAAUGGACCCUUCAUCUAUGAGUAAUUUGUACUAAACUCGGACCGAUAUUGCUUUGUCUAAAGUGCUAUUUAAAUUGGACUUCAAAAUGGUUCAAUUUAAUUAGUCAAUGUGUUUUACUAAUAAGAUCUCAAAUGUAGGCGAAUGAACAAUUGUGUUGAAAAAGCCCCUAUUUAACCUUACUAAGCUGGUACCUUUAGAAAUGCUUAUGCAAUUACUAAAUUGUGAUUGAUCAAGUUAAUACGAGGACAACCUUUGUAAUUGUAUAACCAAAGUCCAGAUUUUAUGACGACAUUCAUUAUCAAUAAAAGGACUAUCUUUACAAAGCACAAGAGUUAAGAAAUGAUCCCUAAAGUUCUAAAAUAAUCAUGAUAAAGCAAUUAAAGUAUUUUAAAAUUUCUUUAUGGCCCAAAAGGUUUAACAAUUGACCGGUCUUGUAUGAACUAGUUCUAUUGGUUAAAUUGAGUCCAUCGUGUUUAGAAUUAACCCAAUGAAAUAUAAUAAUGUAUUGAAAUGCCCAAAUCAAUUAGAGCAAGUCAUUUUCAUAAAUUAGACUAUUUUGAAAGCCCAACUCUGCUGUAAUGACCCAAACUUAAUUAGACUCCUUAAAGAAUUUUUUAUUUUAAAUGUCCAACAUUAUCAUAAACAUCAAGUUUUCAUGUAAAUUAUGGUGGCAGUUUCGUCAAAGGAAUUCACUCUGGGCUUCUUUUAUGUAUGAUCACUAUUUGAAGAAUUGUCAUCCGAAUACAUUUGUUGUUUGUAAUAAUGUGUCGUCUUUAUGCCAUCGUGUUUUUUUAGUUUGGGCAGAGAUGCAGUUUGCGAUCAAAUAGGAUGUUUGUUUGGGGGAUUGUUCUUUUUGGUGGGAUAAUUGGUCGAGUUUGGGUCCGUUGGCUUGGUUGGUUGAUCACCAUGAGGAGGAUUUUCAGGUUCAUAAUGUUUUUAGUACUGAAAUCAUUGAUUUGGAUGUUUUAUCAAUAUUGCUUCCAAAGGACAUUAUUGUGCAUUUGUGAUCUGGUUUUUUCUCUUCUGGGUGGUCCAGAUGUAAUGACUUGGACUUCAUCAAGUUCGGGUAAUUUUACCAUGAGCACAGUAUAUCAUUUGGUAAGGAUUUCCACCGUAUGGUCGUAUGAUUUUUCACAUAUUUAGAGUGCCACAUUCCCGUUAAGUUUUAUUUCUUUAUGUGGUGUUUUCUUUAGUUUAAGCUACCUUGGGCAAUAUUCUUACUCGGUUUCAUGUUUUUGGACCAUCUAAGUGUCUUUAUUGUUAUGAUCCGAUCGUCGAGACGUUGGAUCAUGUGUUUGUUUCGUGAUGUUUGGCAAUCCAGGUAUGGGAAUAUGUUGCAAAGGCUUUAGGUAUUCAUAUGGCUUUUAUUUUGGUUAGUGAAUUAUGUCAGGCUUGGUGGUUUAUGAAGGUGGAGGGGGCUGCUAUUAGAUGGUUGAUGCAGGUUACACCUCUACUUAUUUUUUGGCAUCUAUGGAAAGCACGGAAUAAGGCCAAGUUCGAGGGAAUUUGUAUAGAUUCUUCUUGGGUUAGUGGAGGUAUGGUUUAUGAGGCGCGACUGCUUUGUUCUGUUUUGUUUCCAGGCAAGUUUUUCCUUUUGUCUUGGAUGGAUAUAGUUAGUCAGCUUUCUAAUUCUCCAGUUAAUUUGGUAGCGCGGCUGGUGAGAUGGAAUUUUCCGGAUGAAGAUUGGAUUAAAUUAAAUUUUGAUGGUUCCUCAGAUUUGGUAGCUGGGAUUAGUGGUGGAGGAGGUGUGGCACGGGAUUGUACUGGUGGUUUGUUGUUUGCUUUUUCAGAUUCUUUUGGUAAUUUUGAUGCUUUGCGUGCCUGCUUUGGCUUUGUUGCGAGGGUAACAACUUUAAAAGAAAAGGCUGGUUUUGAAAUUUUGUGAGUGGAAAUGGAUUCUAUGAUCAUGGUAAAUAUAUUAGCUAAAGGCAUGGCUGUACCGGCUAGAUUACGUCCGAUUUAUAGAGAGAUUUGUAAGGCUUUACCUACUUCUGCUCAAUUUACACAUUGCUUUCAUUAUUGCGGAUUCGCUGGCUGGAUUUGGAGCUCGGACUUCAGCUUUUUAUUUUUUUUCUCUUCUUUAGCUGCCUGCCUGACAGUUACUAAGGGCUUGUUUAGCAUGGAGAUAAAGGCUCUCAUCCCUCUCUUGCGUUGUAUUAUUUCUACAAUAUUUAAUAAAAUGGAUAGCCAAAUCUACCCACCAGAGAUGAUUGGCGGUUUAGGAAAAAAAAUUAAUUCAAAAACUCUUUUUAAGUGCCCAAGUAAAUUGUGAACCCAAAUACAAAUUUAAACAAGACUUUUUCAUGUAUUUCUACAAUAUUUAAUAAAAUGGAUAGCCAAAUCCACCCACUAGAGAUGAUUGGAUUUAACUCUAAGGUCAAGUCUAAACUCAAAUUCGGUCCGAGCUAAUGUAGGGCCGUUAUAUACUAGAAUAGAAUGUUUCCUUAUGAAUAUAUGAAUUAAGGCAAUUUCUAAAAUAAAAAAAAGGACAAGUUUUCAAAUCAGGACCCUUUUAAAAAAACUUUCUAAAUUAGAAUACUUUUGGGGAAAAAGGUAUAACUCUUCAAAUUGGAAAACCUUCCAAAGAGGGAAACUUUCUAAAUUAGAAAACUUUCUGAAAAAGGAAACAUUCCAUUUUAGAAAACUUGUCACUUUCUUUUUAUAAAGGUUCAAACAUGUUUUCUAAGGUUAUCCAAGAUAGAAAUGAGCAUUUUAAGAAUAGAGCAUAUGGACUAAUUAAGGUACAUAUGACACUAGUUAUAUGUUAGAAACGAGUUCAAGGGCACGUUAAAGCUCUUUAUUUUAUAAAAUGAAAUGAUAUGAUUGAUAUGUUUUAUGAUUUUCAAGAAUUUUCUAUAAAUGUGUUCAUAUCAUGUUAUGUGUUUCCGUGCCACGUUUGGCAGGGUCCACCUCUAGACCCUAUGGAAUUAAGUGUUACGAUGGCCGAAAUCUACUUAAGUGUAUACAAAUCACUCUCAACGAAAUAUAUAUAUAUAUAUGUAUAUAUGUAAUAGAUGAAAAAUAUGCCUACUGUCUUUAUUUAAUGUAUGCAUGUGGUAUAGUGUGACCAAAUUUGCAAAUGUAUACCAUACGUAUAUAGUUAUAUGAUUCGAUAGGGGAGUGAGUUUUAUUUACUGGGCGGUCAUCGUUCAAUCCUCAUUCAUUAUUUUCUUCCAGAUCAAGAAAGCAAGAUUAUCUACGUUUAGAAGAUAAGAGCAAAGUAAAAAGAUAAGACAUUUUCAUUCUGGAAGUAUAGUGUAAGGUGUUGAGUAGAUGUAUGAAUUCGAAUAUAGCAUGUAUUUCUUUAGUAUUUUCAAGUUUUAAGUUUUAUUAAAUUUUUAUAAGUUAUGAGCAUGAUAUCUUGUAUUUGUGAGAGUAAGGUCUCAUCGAUACUGUGUGCAACAUCACAAAUCCGAUCCAGAAACCCAAAUUUGAUGCGUGACACCUUUGCCCUCCAAGUAUUGGGGGAAAAAGAAAGAGACUUAUGCGAUCACAUCCUAGUAGCAAAAAAGUCCGUCUGGGCAUGACAUAUUAGGGGUGAGCAAAUUCGGUACGUACCGAAUUCAAAUUCAAUUUGGUAAUUUGAAAUUGGGUAUUUGGUAAUUUGGUACAAAAGCAGUAUUCACCGAAUUCACCAAAUUCUAAUAUGGUAUGAAAUAAGUAAUGAAUUUAUGAAUUUGGUAAUAAUUGAUUUCGAAUUUAAAUUCGAUAAAAUGAAAUAGGAUACCGUAUUACCGCAUUCGAAUGCCAAAUUAGUUUAUAAAAUUAUAUAAUAUAUAGAUAAAUGUUAUUUAGUAUUAGUAUAUACUACUUAUAUAUUAUUAUAUUAUAUAAGUAAAUGCUAUUAAUAACAAUUAGUAUAUGGUAUUAUCAUGUAUUUAUGAUAACAAUAAUAUAUAAUGAUGUACAAUAUACUAUUUUAGUAUUUGUUAAUUGUUAUAUGACUAUAAUAAUACAAAUAUACAACAAUACAUAACAUAACUAUAAUACUUAUUAUUUUAUACAUGACUAGAAUUAGAUAAUAAUUAAUAAGUAGAGGUAUAAUACUAAAUAUUAAACAAUAAACAUAAUUAGUAAUUAGAAUUUAGAUAUUGGUAAUUUGGUAUAUCACUCAUGUAUUGUAUAUUGGCAUUCCAGAUUUCUAUUUGAUGAAUUUUGGCAUUGGUAAUGUGUGUGUAAUAAUUUGGAUGUUGAUUUCCUUUGAAUUGGUGUUGUAGCCUGUAAGUUUGUAAUUAGAUUGAUUACAAUAGCAGCGUAGCUAUUAAACUUGAUAACAAGGUUAAUUAGGCCGGAAAUUGCAAUUAAAGGAUUCAGUAGAAUUUUUAUAUAUUUUUUAAUGAAUUCAGUUAUUACGGUUUCGAAUUCAAAUUCGGAAUUGAAAUGAAUUCGGGUAUCUCCAAUGCGAAUUUGAAAGCGGUUUAAAUUUCUGUAAGUUCAAUAACCAAAUUUACCAAAUUCAUGUACCCGAAUUACCGAAUAUGCACUGUUUGCUCAUCCCUACGACAUAUCCAAUUCUCAUCACACAAUAUCAAUCAGUGAUCAACUUGAGGACCUCCCUUCAUUUGAUUGUCUAGAGACUUGUGAGAAACCAAUCUACCAUCGAGAAAAUUGGGGAUCCAUUUGUCUUCCUAGAUACAAAAUGAUCUUGCGCUCUCGCUCUCAAUUUUACCCUAGAUAUUUUGAAUACCAUGAAGUGAUAAGUUUGAACUGUUUCAAAAUCCAAAAGCUUUAGCCUUUUUUUACCCUUCCUUUAGGGGAGACUAGGAAGCCAGCUACACACUCCUUUAGUUAGGUUUCAUUUGGUUCUUCCUGCUACUCCUUUCCAUUUCUAUUAAUUGUACUGUUGUUUUUUGUCCCAUUUACUGCAUCAUUUUUUAUGUUCCAUAAAGUUUUUCAAAUUUAUUUGACCAUGAUAAUGUUUUUCAAUUGUAAAAAUUAAGCUAAGUUCCAGUAAUUUUUCAAUUACUCUUUUUGUCGUUCAAAACUGUACAAAAGAAGUUUUAAUCAGAAUAUAUUUCUUUUUUUUUUUGGCCUUUCGGUUACUUUUUCAAACUUUGAAAACUUUUUUGGUACUAAUCAGCAUUGUUCAAAGUUGAUGGGGUUAUUAUCAGACGCAGCAAAAGUUCAAGGGCCCAAAUAACAUUUGAACCUUCCAUCUUAUAAGUCACCCGUUCCCUUUUUACUCCAUUAACUGAUACGAAAAUCCUUUUACAACCACAGGCGUCUCUGAUAUGGGACUCUCAGCUUCUAAACGAGUCAACCAAACCCUCACAAACUCAUCCGAUUUCAACUCAGCUUGCGACUCAGUCUACGAGUCCUCACUCGCUCUUGCCCAACACGCCUUUCCAGGAAUCAGACCUUACCAACUCUUCUCUUCGAUCGAACGCCUUCAUCAAUCUCUCUCCAUUCCUCUGAUUACCAAAUGGGUCCCGUCUCCUCCAACCAGGGAGCAAGUUGACCGGGCUUUUAAGGUCGUUAUUAACCGUCGCAGCCGGCCUGGCCUGAGUCAAGAAGAAGAAAACGAAGACGACGUGAUCGGAAAGGAGGAAUUUAAAGAGGUCGCCCUCGAGGUUUUCACUGACGGCGUCGUUUCCAACGCGCGUAAAGAGGUAUUGAAGAGGGUUCCUGUUGGGGUUGCGGGAAUCGCUGGAGUGGGGAUGUUGGUUCGGCCUGGGAAAGAAGUUGUUGGCACGGUGAUGGGUGUGUACGCGCUUGGUGUUGCUACUGCUGUUUAUCUUAGUUUGGCUGGCUGAUUGCCGAUUACCUCGAUGUAUUGAUUUUUUUUUAUUUAUUUUUUUACCCUCCCAACCCGUGAGUUAGAAUCACUGAGUUUGUUUGGAUAUAGAGAAUUUGGUUUGCUUAAUUUAUUCUCACAAAUCCCAAUCACCUUUUUAUUUUCCCAAUAACCUUUUUAUCUCACAUACAUCACAUCACAAAAAGUGCUACAGUAAAUAUCUCAAAUAAAUCAUCUAAAUAAACUCUUAUCCAAACAAACUCACUAUGUAAUGUAUUAUUAGUUGUGUAUAUAUUUGAACAGUUUUUUUUUUUUUUUUCUAAUUGUGAGUUUUGUGUCUCAAAAUCUAUUUUUCUUUUUUUUUUUCUUUUACAAAUUUUGUUGUGGUUCAUGUAUGUUCUUCUUUUUCUUGCUGUAUGAAAUAAUGAAUACAACAUCGAAAAUUAUAAUUACAAAAGGGAAAAUGAAAUAGUUAAUUCAUUCAAUCCCUCUUGUGAAUCAGUAGAAAAAUCAAUUGUGAGUAUCUCUAGAAAAAUUUCAGCUUCCAGCGUUUUCGAGAGUCGAGAAAGGCAGAAAAGGUAAGGUAAGAAUUAAAGCUGGAAGGUCUUAAAAUGGAUUGGCGCAAAGGUAGAUAGAAAGUAAAUUCCUUGGCCAAAGGGGAAAAUGAUGUUCUUCAUUUCUCUGGCAAUUCGAUGCCCAAACUAAAUGGAGAAGAUACCAGUGUGACGUAUGCCUUGUUUGGCAAGUAAGUUUUUUGGUCCAGUUUGAAAUGUGAGUUUUUUGGGUGUUUAUAUAAAACUUUACUGUAAAUUACGGUAGAAGUUGUAAAAAAAUUUUUGUAAGAUGAAAUUUUUUUUUUCUUUUCCUUUUUCUUUCUUUCUUUUUCUUUGUUCUUUUUCUUUCUUUCUUUCUUUCUUUUGUCUUUUCUUUCCUCCCUUUCCCCUUCUUCUCCCUUCCCCUUCCUCCUCUCCUAUUCCCUCUCCCGCAACUGCCUCUGCAAACACAUACAAACUUUUUUUUUUUUUGCUUUUCUCCUUUCCCCCUUCCUCUCCCUUUCCUGUCACCCCUUUCCUCCUGUGAGAACCCUAAAAAUUUUCACAUUUUCUUAGCCUUUUUGUUUAUUCUCACUUCCAGUGUUUUAUUAAAAUGACACUUUGCUCGCCAUGUUUCUAAGGGGAAUUUUCAUUAUAAAUGUAAGUAUGUGGCUGUGUGUAUUACGUGUAUUUGUGUGAAAUUAUGUAAGUAUAUCCUUGUUGGACAUACGGAUGAACGCGACGUGUGAGUUUGGAAAAGAAAAUUUUUGCUGAAAGUGCUUGGUACCAAAUCCGGCCAGUUCUUGGUCGGAUUGUUGGCUGGAUUGCUUGAGGGAUUUGAAAAAAAAAAUUGGAUCCGCCACUGCCUUGAAUCCGGCCGGAUUGUGACAUGGUAGGUCCGGCAGCCAAGUUUGACCGGUUGUUUCCUUCCUUUUUAUUCCACUUUUUGACCAAAAUAUCUUCAUUUCCUCUUCUUGUUCAACCGUGCACCUUGAGAGAAAAGCAAGAAAAGCUCUUCAUUUUCCAACUUCAAUUUUUACUUGAAUCUUGCGAUUUCACCGAUGGUUUUGGACAAUACUUCAUACAAGUGUGUACUAAGGAGGGUUAAAGCUUUUGAUGGAUUGAUUUUGGAAGAGAAGCUUUAAGUUGAUAGCUUUCUUGAAUUUGAGGUAAGUUGGAUAAACAAGUUCCCUUUUGUUCUAAUAUUGGUUAAUUAAUGGUUGUGGUGGUUAAGUAUGUUAUAUUGUGGAGUAUUUCAUGGGUUGAAGGAAUUUAUGGUGAAUUUUUGAUUUAUUAGGGGAUUUUCUGAUUUUAUAUUAUAAUCAUGGAUUGGUCUUGAAUUGAUGGAUUGUUAUGGUGUUAAACGGACUCUUUAUAAGUUAAUUGCGGUUGAUUGCGAAAAAUUUACGCUUGAGGGGAUGAAUUCCGAUUUCUAGGGUUUAAUUUGGGGGUUUUUCUAAUGGUUGGCUUUUGAGUCUCUAAAUGGCUUGGAUUGAGGGGUUUUGUGCCCUAAUUAGGCAUGUUUUAUUAUCUAUGGACCAUAUGUGUGAUUGUAACUAAUGGUAUGAGAAUGGGCUUUUUAUUUGUAGAGUGAAAGUGAAGUAAAUUAGGGGAAAUGCUGUCCGUUUCUUUUCUUGUUUUGUAAAUGAGUUAAAGUGGUUUUGCAAAUGUGUUUUGUGUCGAGUUGGAUGUAUUUCCUUGAAAAUUGCAUCGGUUCUUUCAAAAGGUGGUCGAGAGCUAAGUUUCUAUUUGAACUUGUAUAUUUUCGUUUGGCAAAUAAUGUGACCGUUUUACCAUUUUAAAACAUGAUACCUUUUCCGUUUGAACCUUCAAAUGUUUAUUUACUACGUCAUACCAAAAUAUAGAGGUAUGACUUAGGGUUUUCUCGGCCACGAAAGAACAACUUUUAAGUGAAGUUUUAAGUGUAAAAGUAAGGUUUGAAGUGUCCUCCUCUUCCAUAUGAUCUUCAUUAAGGCCUUUGCUAUAGAACCUCUACUUGAAUAUAUAUUGACUUUUAGCCACACAAACGAUUUAGAAAGAAUAUUUCCUUAACCUAUCUAUUUGGAUUUUGAUUUGUCCUCGAUCAAAUGUUUUCCGUUGGAAUUUUAUAACCCUUUUGAGUUUGGUUUCGCGGUUGGUUUAUGAAACCCUAGUUACUCCCGUUCACGGAUCCAAAUGUCCUCUUUUCACUUUAAAUCCAUCUUUAUACGUUUUACUCGUAAUUAGUCAGAUUUUCUUCAAUUUAACCUAAUUGUUGUGCUAGAUGAACUAUAAUAUUUUCUCUUGUUUAAUCUUAGGUUUUAUCGGUGACUGAGGGUAAUAUCCGGCAGGAUAUUUUGGACAUUAUUUUUGCAUAAAUAGGUGAGUGUUCCUUGUUUGUUAUAUUUUUCUUGACUUCAUGACUUGUGUUAUUGUUUGAUAACGUGUUAAGCGCUUUUAAUGAUUUUGGUUUUUUUUAUUUAGUAUUAGUUGCAUUUCAGAUUUAUAUGAAUUAGAUGUUUUUGGGUGUAUCUUUGUGAGUACAUUACUAUAUCAUUACAUACAGAAAACUUGUUUUUAUCAAUUUUCCUUUAGAGUACUUGUAGGAUUUCGAUGUACACUUGCAUAUGUUGACAUUCUUUAAGAAUGUGACUAAACAAUUCACUUGUAUUAUCAUUAUUUUAUAACAAAUACAAGAAGUGAAAACAUUAUCAUAUAGAAUUCUUAGCAGCUAAGGUAGAGACCUCAAAAUGUUAGAGAUCCUGAAUUUAAAUCCUUCUUCUUUUUAUUCUUGCUUUGUAAAUCUCACAUCUCCUCUAUUUAAAAAGAAAUUAUUAUAUAGAAUCAUUUAACUGAAUUCUCUUAGGUUGCUUUGGAUUGAGUGAUUUGACAAAAAAUUUAAAAUUCUCUCAAUUUUCUUUAGUUAUUUAGAUUAUUUAAGACGAAUUUGGGUUUGCAAAUUACCAAGUAUUCUAAUUUUUAGAAUGUAUUUAGAUAAUUAGUGAAUUACAAAUCCAAAUGUCUUUUAAGCAAUCAAAACAACUAGAGCGAUUUUAAUGAAUUUUAAAUAUUUCAUCAAAUUUCUCACUUCAAAUGAAGUUAUAUAUUUAACUAAGUAUGUGCUACGGAGAUGAAAAGGGCUGGAUAGAUGUGUACAUCAAGGCCCAUAUUUUCGGACCAAGUUCACUUCAACCUUCCAAAUCUUCUAUCACUUUGGGAGAAAUUCCCAUGGGAAAUCUUGGAACACAAUUCUUCCAAGGGAAAUUUUCAGGAACCUCCCUUAAGGUUUUUGACAAUCUCACCUAAUUCUUCUCUAUUUUCAUAAAUUACAUAUACCUUCCUUAGCAUACUAAGCUACUGAAAAUGACCUUCACAUCAUUGCCAUUUUUUAAUGGAAAACAAAAAAUUGUAAUCUUAAAAGAGAUAAAAGAAAAAAGGAAAAAAAUUAGAAAAGCUUAUUGGAAUAAUUUUUUUUUCAGUAUUGGAACAAGUUUGGGAUAUUACAAAAAAUUGAUAAAUCUUUUCAAUUGAUAAUUGUUUUGAGAUAUUAUAAAAAAAUAGUUUUCUUGAAUUGUUUAGAUAAUUAUCUUUCUUUAUUGGCUUUGAUACCAGACAGGACGAGGUGUUAGCCCCUUAAACCAGGAAAGUAAAUGUCGCGCCCCACUUUUCGAUUCGAGUGAUGUGUGUGUGAAGUGUGGUGUGAACGUGUGCAAAAUGAAAAGUAAAAAGGCCAUGGGACUUUGGAAAGCGACGAUUUGGCCAAAUGAAAUUUUAAAAAGGGUUUUUAGAUAUGAAAACGGAGUCGCCACUUGGUAUAGAUUUGGGGUGUACCAAGUCACCCAAAAAAGUGUUUUUUAAAGACAAAAUAGUAAAACCCUUUUUAAAACGACUCCUAGUCCACGUAAGCCAAAGAAAAAGGUUCGGGGGUCACGUUUGACAAAGGGGAAGGCAAGGAUAGAAUCCAAGGCACCCCUUUGACCUAGCCAAGGCUAGUUGCGCGACUCAAACCAAUUUUUCCUAAUUUUUCUACCCAAGGUAUGUAUCGCGUAUUGGAUAUGUCUAUAUGAAUGCAAAAACCUAGACCUAGGGGGAUUGGGGGAAAUUUCUCUUCAAAGGUUGAGUGGUGCCAAUCACAUUAAUUGUGAAGCCCAUUAAUGAUCCUUUUGGAGAGGUCACACCUAAACCUAAAUGACGUGAAAAAUGAGUGGAAUGCAUGCCAUGUGAAAGUGUGAGUUUGUGUGAAGUGAGAAAAAUGAUAAAAGUAAUAAGAUAAGAGUGAAGGUGUGCAAAUGUAGAUGAAAGUACUCGUGUGCGAGUGAAGAUAAAAUGUUCGUGUGCAAGUGAAGAUAAAAGGGUUCGUGUGCAAGUGGAGAUAAAAAAGUGUUCGUGUGCAAGUGAAAGUGAUAAAAAGGUGCAUGUGUGCAAAUGAGACAAAAGUGAAAGUGUAAUGAUAGAGUGGAUUGAGAAUGCAUGAGCCUAGGGAAUUCAUGCAUAUUGGGUACGGGGAGACCUAAAUCGUGACUUGAUUUUCCCUUUGAUUAGAAGGCGAAACUAGCGUGCUAAGGCUAUCGAGUAGCCACACUCGCUCGUUUCCCUUAUCGGAAGGGGACACUCAAGCAAAUGGACCCUACAACUAUCAUGAUAUGCAAAAAUCCUAAAAUGAAGGGAAAGGGGGUUCGAGGAGCAUGCCAAGUGAUGAAACUAAGAAAAAUGCAUGAUAUGUGGUGAACAAGCAAAUGAUAUGCUAAUGAGGGGAAAUCCCUAAGGGUCUAGUAUUGGACUAGCCCAUUCUAUGAAUUCCGACUAGCGUUGGACUAGCGGAAACGUACAUUCAUCCAUUCCAUUCAUUCAUGGCUAUGAAAGCAAGUAGACAUGCCAAAAUACUCGUAAACACAUAGCACAUAGCACUUAGCAUGCUCGACUAGAUGCAAGAGCCUAUCAAAGCAAUUAAACAUGUAGCAACAAAAGCAAGCAACCAAGGGGAAGGGGAAAUGGACAGAUGCUCUCCGAGCCCUAUCUAUUACAAGCCAAGAGGUGUACACAUACCCCAUAAAAGCAUAAAGGGGAAAGGGAAAUGGACCAGAUGCUCUUCGAGCCCUAUCUAUUACAAGCCAAGAGGUGUACACAUACCCCAUAAAACUUAAAUAAAAGUAGAAAGCAAGUAAAUGCAUGCAAGGAGGUAAGGAAAGCGAAGUAGACAUGCAUAUUCACAUAACACGUAGGAGCACAUAAGGUCAAAUGUAGUGCAAAUGAGGGAUAGAGUGUACCUCCCUUGAAUUGACGCCCCAAUGAAGUGAAAUUACUUAUUUACCCUCCAAAAAUAAUAAAUGAGUCAAGGUACCAAUUUAUUUAUCAAAUAAUCAUAAAAAAUAAAAUGGCAAACUUGAAAUUGAAUCAAUUGAAUCAUGUAAGCAAACAACAUUCAAGAAGUCAAAAGAAGAAAGGAUUUGAUUGCAAAAAUAAACAAAGUUUUGGGGUCAAAAUUAAAGAAAAAUAAAGUUCAGGGACCUAUUUGCAAUUGAAGUAAGGACCGAAUUGAGAGAAGUUGAAAAUAUCCAGGGCCACAGUACAGUCAAGGAAAAAUUCAGGGACUGAUUUGCAAGAUCGUUUUCUGGUUUCUUAAUGGACCAAACCAUUGGGCCUUUGUAUUUAUUUCGUGGGCCAAGACUUAUCAAAUCCAAUAGAAAAUCCAAGGCAAAUGGAAUGGGCUAGCCCACUAUUCUGACCCCAAAAAUAAACCAACAAACUGGUGGGCUUUAAUGCUCCAGCCCAGGACGAACCCAAAUGAAAGAAAACCAAACCCAGUUCCAAGUAGCCCAAACAAAUAGCCGAACCCAAUUCCUCUUUUGUUUUACCAAAAACCCAACAAAGCUAAUAGGUCUAAUUUCAUUCCAAAAUCCAGGAUUAAUUAUUUUAAAAGUAUACCUAAAACAACAAAAAAAUAAUAAUAAUAAUUAAGCUCGAAAGGGGGUAAAAAUGAUUAUUUUGCAGAAGUUUUCGGGCCUUAGUGAAAUUACCCAAAGAUUUGGGGGUCAAACAUGAUUUGUUAAACAUUUUCAUGCAAGUUCACGAUGCAUCUUCUUCUUCUUUGUUGGGUUUCUUUCUGCUGUAAUUUCUACUGCAACUUAGCAGCCAUCUCCUCAAGAUUUUAAGCUCAAGUGCACGAUGCACAUAUACCCAGAUCAUCGACAAAGCCAACCCAACAUUAUGCAAUGAAUUCUGACAAGACAGAUUGCACAACAAAUGGACAGAUUACAGGCUUUGGAAGAAAAGAAAAACCGCAUGAACACUAGAAGAAGCAAGACCCAGGAACAAGAAAGCAAAUAAACGCGAGAUGAGUUAGGACAUCAUUUUGGGAUGGUACCUGAUGAAGACUUUUGUUGAAUCGAAAUCCAAAACAGGAAACGCGCGACGGAGCCGUUUUGGAGCUGAUUCGUUGCAGCUUUUGACAUGCAAUAGGAAGAUGGGAUCAACGACUUCAGGUCCAAAUCGAACGGAAAUCUCUCUCCGGAUGUCACAGAGUAUGUAGAAGUUAACGGCUUGGUGAAUGGUGCCCAAUCGAUGGAGAAAAUCUUCACUCAAGAAGGCUGGAUUAUCAGCCUUUUCCAAGGAAAAAACGCAGCCUGCAGUCUUCUUUCCGCUCUCGUUUCUUGCCGUUCUUCUUUUCCUCUGUUUUUCCUCAAGCUCUCAGACCUCCCUUUUCGUAGCCGAAGCCCCUCUGUCCGCCACCAGCUCUUCUUGUUUUCUCAGUUUCCUCUUGCUCAGCUGAACUCAGUUCUCUCUCUCGGUCUUGUUUUUGUCCAGCCCUCCUAGACCCUCAGCCGUCAUUCCCCUCUGUUUUUCCUUCUCUUCUCUCAAACCCCAGCUCUCUCUUUCUCCUUUCUGUUUUUGUUUUUCUUCAUCCGAGACCCCCCUCCCCGAUGAAGCUCUCUCUUUUGCGGCUGCCAUUCCUCUUGCUAUUUAUAUGGGAGCCUCUACCCUAAAACCUCAGCAAUCUCCUUCUAUAUUUGCAGCCAAAGGGCUCCUGAGCCCUUACUUGCAAGCUGCGAAAAGAAAAAAAAAAAAAACGCAGCUUGCCCGCGGCAUAUUCCCUUUUUUUUUUUUUUUUUUUUUUUCAACUUAAUAAUACAGAAAUGAUGAAAUAUAAAAAAUAAUUAUAAUAAUAAAUUGACAAAAACCAGGUAAUAAUAAUAAUAAUGAAAAUAAUUUAAAAACUAAACAACUAGAAACAACAAAAAUGGCCAUUUUUCCAUCUUUUUUCUACAUUUUUCUUUUUCAUAGUUUUUUCAUUUUUCACCUUUUCUCUUUUUUCUAAAUGAAUCAAACAACAAUAAAAGAUAAAUUAAGUAGAAAUGACUAAAAUAAAGCUAAAUAAAACAAAAUUGCUAUUUUUCUUUUCUUUUUCCUUUUUUUUUCCUUUUUUAUGAUUUUUCUCUUUUUUUUCAUUUCAAGAAAUUCUAUGCUAAAAACUUACAAAUAAAAAUAAAACUAUAAACUAAAAACUAAAAAUCGAAUAAAACUAACACGACAAAUAAAAAACUAAAAAUAAACAGUAAAUGAAAUUACACCAAAAAUUUGGUGUCUACAGUUUGCCCCUCUUUGUCUGAGUUUUGGAAAAACUUGAGACAAAGAAGUAGACACCAAAUACUUACCUACUUUAUUCGGCGGCGAACGUCACGAACGGUGGACGUUUUAAAAAUGGGGACUGACCCCUUUUGACGAAGUUUAAAGUGAAAUUGGCUUAGACGGGAAAUUAAAGCGGGACUGACCCGAACAAAAAAUUAAAACGGGACUGGCCCGAACAAGAAAUUUAAAACGGGACUGACCCGAACAGAAAUGUAAAUGGGAUAGACCCACGGGAUAGACCCGGACAGGAAUUUAAAUGGGAUAGACCCACGGGAUAGACCCGAACAGAAAUGUAAAUGGGAUAGACCCACGGGAUAGACCCGGACAGGAAUUUAAAUGGGAUAGACCCACGGGAUAGACCCGAACAGAAAUGUAAAAUUGGAUAAGACCAUGGGAUAGACCCGACAGAAAUUAAAAUUGGAUAGACCCACGGGAUUAGACCCAUGGGAUAGACCGGACAGAAUUUUAAAAUUGGGAUAGAACCACGGGAUAGCCCGGACGGAAAAUUAAAUUUGGGAAUAGACCGCACGGGUAGGGAAUAACCGGACAGGAAUUUAAAUGGGAUAGACCCACGGGAUAGACCCGAACAGAAAUGUAAAAUUGGGAUAGACCCACGGGAUAGACCCGGAUAGAAAUUUAAAAUUGGGAUAGACCCACGGGAUAGACCCGGACGGAAAUGUAAAUUUGGGAUAGACCCACGGGAUAGACCCGGACAGGAAUUUAAAUGGGAUAGACCCAGACAGAAAUUUAAAAUUAGAUGAAUUGAAGUGAGAUGGAGUGUUGGUGGGAUGAAAACACGCACAUUAGUGAGAUAGGCUCGAUGCUAACGGCGGUAGGAUGAAAACGCGCACGUUAGUAAGAUAGACUCGAUGCUAACGGCGGUAGGAUGAAACACGCACGUUAGUGAGAUAGACUCGAUGCUAACGACGGUAGAAUGAAACACGCACGUUAGUGAGAUAGACUCGAUGCUAACGGCGGUAGAAAUGAAACACGCACGUUAGUGAGAUAGACUCGAUGCUAACGGCGAUAGCAAUGAAACACGCACGUUAGUGAGAUAGACUCGAUGCUAACGGCGGUAGAAAUGAGACACGCACGUUAGUGAGAUAGACUCGAUGCUAACGGCGGCAGAAAUGAGACACGCACGUUAGUGAGAUAGACUCGAUGCUAACGGCGGUGGAAUGAAAACAUGCACGUUAGUGAGAUAGACUCGAUGCUAACGGCGGCAGAAAUGAAACACGCACGUUAGUGAGAUAGACUCGAUGCUAACGGCGGUGGAAUGAAAACAUGCACGUUAGUGAGAUAGACUCGAUGCUAACGGCAGUAGGAUGAAACGCACACGUUAGUGAGAUAGACUCGAUGCUAACGGCGGUAGAAUGAAAACACACACGUUAGUGAGAUAGACUCGAUGCUAACGGCGGUAGGAUGAAACGCACACGUUAGUGAGAUAAACUCGAUGCUAACGGUGGUAGAAUCAAAUAUAGUUGUCAAGAGUAGGGAAUGGAAGGGUGCGCGGCGGGCAUUGAAGUUUCGCCCACAAGAAAUCAAUUUUGAUUUUUUUCAAGAAACAAGAAUUUGAACUUGAUGUUUGACUUUUGAAUUUUUCUGAUUGAUUUUUUUUUUUUUUUUUUUGAGAGAGAGAAUUUUCCAAAAAUAAUUUGCCCCAAGUGUAGGGCCCUUUUCCUUUCUUUCUUCUCUUUCUUCGGCAUCGGCCUCCCACAUCACCAGAUGCUUUUCUGUCAUUUUGAACCAUGAAUUCCUGUACAAGGGGUUCAUCGAAGUAUGACAUGCAUUCAAAUUUCUUAUUUGGAAAGAACAGCGUGAUUGGUUUGAUAUCCUCAAACGUAUUAAAAAACUUUUGCCCCAAUAUGGAUUUAUUUCAUGAAAACUUUUGCCCCAAAUAAAAUUUUGCCCCAGUGUGGAUUUAUUUCAUGAAAUCUUACAAAUAAAAUUUUGCCCCAGUGUGGGUUCCCUUAUUUGCAAAAAUUCGUUCAGAUGAUUUCCCAUUUAUUUGAACAAAGAAAAGCCGCACUUUUGCCCAUUUAGAAAAGAAUGCACAUAUACAACAAUGUGAAGAAACUUUAAGCGUCAAGUUUGAACUCAUGCAGAAAUUUCAUGAUGAAUUCCUCGAAGUAACACCAAAUUCAAGAAGAUUUCUUCCUCACUUUUUAGCAUUGGUGUUAGGGUAACGGGUCACCACUUUUGGUUGGCUCAUCUUUUCAGAAUCAAUCAAGUGACUUUAUUUUUGAAAUGGCUAAGGAAAUGGGAGAUAAGAAUCUGUCUCAUUUUUGUGUCCCAGUUGUAUGUAAUCCAUUCAAUGUCACAUCUUAGUGAAAGCAAAGAGUUUGUUACCCUUAUUUUCAAGAAAACUUAGUCAACAAACAAGCUUUCUAGGCUUGUAACGUAUGGACAGAAGUGAUAGCUAAACAUGUGGAAACGGGUUAUGCCCUUAUGAUCACAAAUGAUUUGAUGAGUUUCUUAUGAGCAUGAUCCUCAUUUUGGAUUGUCAUGAAAGAAUAAGUCAACGAUGGACUUUCUUAGCUUGUAAUUUGGCUUGAAAACGAUAGUUUAAGACUUUCAAGGAUAUUGCACCAUAGAUCGCAUUUUUCCAAAAUUGCCCCUAUUUUGAAAUCAAAAGAUCUCAGACUUUGUUUGCAUUUUUCUCAUCACUCACCGGAGACUUCAGCGUCGAAUUUUCUGCAUUUUCUUGCACUUACUUUUCUUGCUUUGCUUUUUGCCUCUUUUCCCUUUCCCUCGAGCUGAUAGGUUUUCACAUGGUGAGUAGCGUCAACCUCAUACUCAAGCAAUUCAGAAAUACAGCUAAAAUUUUCCGGCAUCAGAAAUUUUCUUGACAGGGCCAUUGCAAAGAACAGAAGUCAGGACUUUCGGCUUUUGUAAUGGGGUCAGGUGGGGUGCUUAGAAAAGUUAAGGCCUGAAAACGGAUUUCAAAACUGGUUUGAAGAAUCUGAGAUCGCAUUGUUGCGCCAACCCUAUUUUAGGGUAAAAUCAGAAUUUGCCUCAGUUUUUGCUCAAUUGAGGCUUUUCACUUUCAUUUCCUUUUUCCUUUUGACUUUUCGGCCUUUUGCCAUUCUUUUGAACUUUCACAAAAUUUGCCCCAGUUUAUUUUGAACUGAGGUUCUCUUUUCUUCUUUUGUUUUUGAUUUUGUUGCUUUUCACUUUUUUUGAAAUUUUCUUUUCAACUCAAACUCGCCCCCAGUGUGGGGUUUGCGAUUCUCAGGGGUUGCCAAACGAAAUAAUUUAUUCUGAAGGCUCGAAAAGGAUAACUAGGGAUAAAGUGUUCGAUUGGAAAAGAAGAUGGCCUGACUUGUAUUCCAUUCCUUACAACAGCUCUGAAAGGAAACUUUCGUUAAUGCGAAAUUUUUUGCGUGUGUCUGAAUUAAUUGACUGAGGAAGACCCUUGCUCAUCCAUAUUUGUGAAACAUAGGCGAUUCACAUGGACAAAAACCCUUCCUUUUCUUUUUCAAACUUGGAACCCAAGUGGAAUCAAAUUUCCCCAAUUUGCAGUUCCCUCCUUAUUCUAGCAUUUUUGCUUUUUCCCUUUUUUCCUUUUUUCUUUUUUGUUUUUUUUUUGAAAAUUCUCCAAUCUCCCUCCCCAAUGUGGGGUACGACCAUGAGUGCAUUAGAAAAGAACCACCAAUUUUAGCUCAAAAUGGGGAUGCAAGGGGUGAUCAGUGUUUAGGUUGUAGAAACGACGGCCAAAGCAUCAUUCUUACACCUCAUGACAACCAAAGUAACGAAACGGUUAUUGAAAAUCCAUUCCCCUAUUUGAUAUUUGAAAAUUUUCCAAUAUAGGGUAGUGAUCAUUAGGGCUCUUAUCUGAAACGAAAUUAUUCUUUUCAUAGGCUCAAAUGGGAGAGCAAGUGAUAAAAAUCUGUAUAGAUAGUGAAACAAAUGCUCAAAGUAAAUUUUCAAAACAAACAAGAAUAAUGCACAUUUUUGCUUUCACUUAGAUGUGAAUUGAAUCGAUUAAACACAAUGGAUAUUUUCAAGCAAAGAUGGCCCCAAUUUGCAAUUUAUCAAUCAAUGUGACUGAUUUUAUUUUGGGGUUCAGUGAAGGAGAAAAGAUAUCUCAUUGGGCCUUCUGAAUGACCUCUUUUAAUUCUGAACACUCUUAUUGUGAAUUUUCAGGUCGGAGGUUGAAAAAAUCCCAAUUUAGUCUUAUUUCUUAAAAUUCAUCAUGCAAUCUCCAAUGAAUAAGAAUAAAGAAUGAAAUGUACAUAAAUAUACACAAAACAAUGAUUGUCCAAAAAAUUUAUUGCUGAAAAAGUUUGAAACAAAAUUUCUCAUUCAAUUACGAUACAAAUGAGAAGAGAGAAAAUUGUAAAGAGCUCCACAUAUACACUUUUUGUCUCCUUUUUCAAAUAUACAAAAUUUUCCUUUGGAAAACAAUUACAACAUUUCUCAGAGGGUUUUCAUCGUAGGACCCGCCCAAGAAUCAAAUAACACUUGUAAUCUUCAAACUUCAUUGGAUUAAAAUUAUCAUCAGAUAUAGAAGAAUAUUUCCGUCUUAUUGAAAUAUUUUUAUGAAUGCAAGGGAGGGGGGAAACAAAAGAAAAAUACCCCGAGUUAGUAGACAAAACUGCAAAAUCGGUAUGCAUGUCCUAUGGGGGGAACCCUUUUUAUGCCAAAGGUAGGCCUAGCAUGAAAAUGCAAUCCUCUAAGGUAGGCACCAUACCAUACCUGAUGGAUCUGAUCAACUCAUUGAGUGAGAAAUAAUUUUGACAAAUUUGGUCAAUUAGAGUGAGAAGAGACGUUUGUCAAAAUGAGGACAUCGUCCAAAGGGAUUGAUCACUUUUGAUCGAUACAAGAAUUUGCAAAAACGCACAGGUUUGACCUUGACGAACUUCCUAUCGAAGAGAUUGGAAUUCGUUGACCAAAUUUUUUCAGUGAAGCACGGGUCAAAACCCCAACUGAUCAAAUGGCUGGAUGCAAUAGAUGGUUUUCUCAAAAAUCGACAAAGUUUCCC